UAUUUUGUGGGCGUCUUCCCAGACGAGCUCUUCGGCCUCGUCAGGCUAAGGAAGCUCUCCCUCGCAUCCAACGAGCUCGCCGGCGAGCUGAGCUCACGCCUCGGUGAGCUCACACAUCUUACCUUGUUGGAUUUGUCUGCCAACCGCUUCUUCGGCCCCCUCCCGGAUGUGUUCGGCGACCUCACGUCGCUAGAGCAUUUGGCCAUGCAUUCCAAUGGCUUCUCUGGCUUCUUGCCACCGUCUCUAUCAUCACUAUCUUCUCUCCGUGAGCUCAACCUCCGAAACAACUCCAUCACUACAGGAAAAUUCGGUUUUCCCGUGUGUUAGCCUAUAAGCCGUGCGCUAUUUUUCGGGCACCCGGCUUAUGCACCUCGAAGCCGAGUCUAGGGAACAAAACACCCGGCAAACAGGAAGAACUCGGCUUAUGGUCACCUAUAAGCCGAGUGCUGCAAAAAAACUCUCGGCUUAUACGAAGCACACGGUAUCUACUCGAAAAAGCACCCGGCUUACAGCACACGCUCGGCAAAGACAGAUUGCCACGUGUCCGCAACGGACGUGGCUGACGGCGCCGUCACGGAGCAUCAUGUAAGCCGUGUGUCCGACGCAGGCACUCGGCUAACAGGACAUAUAAGCCGUGUGCCCCAGCAAGCACUCGGCUUACAGGACAUAUAAGCCGUGCGCCCCGCCCAAGCACUCGGCUUACAGGAUAUAUAAGCCGUGAGCCCGAUGAAAGCACUAUGCUUACAUAUUUGCGGAUUUUUUUUCAACCCAUAACAUUUAUGCAAAAUUGAUUUAAGAUGGUUUUCAUUGCAUUUAUAUUUACUACUUAAUUAGUAUUAUUAUUCUUCCCUAGUAGUUUUCAUGGGUCUUAUUUGAAAAACUCUAAAUUUAACGCCACUUUAAUAUUUAUAUGACUUUCGACCCCUAGCGUAACCAUAUUAUGAUGACAUGCAAAAGCAACUACUGAAACUUCACUCUACGCCGAGUGCGUUGCUCUUCAUUUAGAGCCAAUACACGGGCACUCGGUAACGUGAAGUAAGGCAUGGAGCCGAGGUAAUUUUGCCCCCCCCUAGUGGCCGGGCCCGCCCCUCCCUCGUCUGCAAAAGGCCUACGGAUGUCGCAAAGACAUCACAUAGGACUUUACAUGCCGCUUCUGGGCAUGAUUUCAUGUGCCGCCUUGCAGAUCUGCAAUUUCCGGCAUCGAAACUAUAGCAGUGGAAUAAAUGUCUCAAAUAUUCUAGGCGGGUCCGAAAAUUGCGGGGGCCUGACACAUGUCAUUCGAUCGCCUCCUUUGAGAGCACGGUAAGUUUCGAUGCCAAUGGAGAAACAUGGCCCACACUUCCUUCACAAAUCGCACUCGUUCCCUCUCGGUACCUAGAGACUACAGCAGAGACGGUGUAGUUUACGAGCAGUCGGAGGUGAUCCCUACUCGAAACACGCCCAAACUUUUACCACACCCUACAGGGGCCAUGUUAUGACACCGUGCCAGCUCCCGAGGAUUUCCGGCAUCGUACGAGUUUUCGAUGAUUUAAACGGUUGGAUCAGGCAUGGCGACGAGGUAACUCCCCCCCCCCCCGGUGGCUGGGCCAGCCCCUCCCUCGUCUGCAAGAGGCCUAUGCAUGUCGCAAAGACAUCACAUAGGACUUUACAUGCCGCUUCUGGGCAUGAUUUCAUGUGCCACCUUGCAGAUAUGCAAUUUCCGGCCCCGAAACCCUAGUUGUGCAAUAAAUGUCUCAAAUAUUCCAGGCGGGUCCGAAAAAUGCGGGGGCCUGACACGUGUCAUUCGAUGGCCUCCUUUGAUAGCAUGAGAAGUUUCGAGGCCAACAGAGCAACAUGGCCCACACUUCCUUCACAAACCCGACUCGUUCCCUCUCUGUACCCAGAGACUACAUCGGAGAUGGUGUAGUUUACAAGCGGUCGCAGGUGAGCCCUACUCGAAACGCUCCCAAACUUUUACCACACCCUACAGGGGCCAUGUUAUGACACCGUGCCAGCUCUCGAGGAUUUCCGGCAUCAUACGAUUUUCCAAGGAUUUAAACGGUUGGAUGAGGCAUGGCCCCGAGGAAAUUUUGCCCUCCCCGGUGGCUGAGCCUGCCCCUCCCUCGUUUACAAAAGGCCUACGCAUGUUGCAAAGACAUCAUACAGGAGUUUACAUGUUGCUUCUGGGCAUGAUUUCAUGUGCCGCCUUGUAGAUCUGCAAUUUCCGGCGCCGAAACCCUAGCAGUGGAAUAAAUGUCUCAAAUAUUCUAGGCGUGUCCGAAAAAUGCGGGGGCCUGACACAUGUCAUUCGAUCGCCUUCUUUGAGAGAACGAUAAGUUUCGAUGCCAAUGGAGCAACAUGGCCCACAUUUCCUUCACAAAUCAGACUCGUUCCCUCUCGGUACCUAGAGACUACAGCGGAGAUGGUGUAGUUUACGAGCAGUCGGAGGUGAUCCCUACUCGAAACACGCCCAAACUUUUACCACACCCUACAGGGGCCAUGUUAUGACACCGUGCCAGCUCCCGAGGAUUUCCGGCAUCGUACGAGUUUUCGAGGAUUUAAACGGUUCGAUCAGGCAUGGCAACGAGGUAACUUCCCCCCCCCCCCGGUGGCUAGGCCAGCCCCUCCCUCGUCUGCAAGAGGCCUAUGCAUGUCGCAAAGACAUGACAUAGGACUUUACAUGCCGCUUCUGGGCAUGAUUUCAUGUGCCAGCUUGCAGAUCUGCAAUUUCCGGCCCCGAAACCCUAGCUGUGCAAUAAAUGUCUCACAUAUUCCAGGCGGGUACGAAAAAUGCGGGGGCCUAACACGUGUAAUUCGAUGGCCUCCUUUGAUAGCAUGAGAAGUUUCGAGGGCAACAGAGCAACAUGGCCCACACUUCCUUCACAAACCCGACUUGUUCCCUCUCUGUACCCAGAGACUACAUCAGAGAUGGUGUAGUUUACAAGCGGUCGCAGGUGAGCCCUACUCGAAAUGCUCCCGAACUUUUACCACACCCUACAAGGGCCAUGUUAUGACACCGUGCUAGCUCUCGAGGAUUUCCGGCAUCAUACGAUUUUCCAAGGAUUUAAACGGUUGGAUGAGGCAUGGCCCCGAGGUAAUUUUGCCCUCCCCGGUGGCUGAGCCUGCCCCUCCCUCGUCUACAAAAGGCCUACGCAUGUUGCAAAGACAUUACAUAGGAGUUUACAUGUCGCUUCUGGGCAUGAUUUCAUGUGUCGCCUUGUAGAUCUGCAAUUUCCGGCAUCAAAACCCUAGCUGUGCAAUAAAUGUCUCAAAUAUUCCAGGCGGGUCCGAAAAAUGUGGGGGCCUGACACGUGUCAUUCGAUGGCCUCCUUUGAUAGCACGAGAAGUUUCGAGGCAAACUGAGUAACCGGGCCCGCACUUCCUUCACAAACCCGACUCGUUCCCUCUCGGUACUCAGAGACUACAUCGGAGAUGUUAUAGUUUACAAGCAGCCGCAGGUGAGGCCUGCUCCAAACACGCCCAAUCUUUUACCAGAAUAUUGGCACGAUAUUUUAAAGAAUGAAAAUAAUGAAAUAAGGGGAGACGGUAUCAUUUAUGAGAACAAUUAAAUAAAAAUACAAUAAAAAGUAUUAUAAAAAUAAAAAUAUAAUGAAAAUAAAAAAAUAACAAUACAAUAAAAAUAUCAAAAUAAAAAUAUAAUAAGUAUCAUAAAGAUACAAUAAAAUAAAAACACAUAAAUUAUUAAAAGUAAAACUAAUAAACUUUUUUUAUUAAAAUAAUUUUUUUUAUAAACCGUGUAUUUUUCUUUGACACUAGGUUUAUCGUGCUGCACCAGGCUUAUAGUGAGCGCGGGACUUGGCCAAAAUAGACGCGCGCAUAGCUUAUUUUGGCCCAAUUAUCGNNNNNNNNNNNNNNNNNNNNNNNNNNNNNNNNNNNNNNNNNNNNNNNNNNNNNNNNNNNNNNNNNNNNNNNNNNNNNNNNNNNNNNNNNNNNNNNNNNNNNNNNNNNNNNNNNNNNNNNNNNNNNNNNNNNNNNNNNNNNNNNNNNNNNNNNNNNNNNNNNNNNNNNNNNNNNNNNNNNNNNNNNNNNNNNNNNNNNNNNNNNNNNNNNNNNNNNNNNNNNNNNNNNNNNNNNNNNNNNNNNNNNNNNNNNNNNNNNNNNNNNNNNNNNNNNNNNNNNNNNNNNNNNNNNNNNNNNNNNNNNNNNNNNNNNNNNNNNNNNNNNNNNNNNNNNNNNNNNNNNNNNNNNNNNNNNNNNNNNNNNNNNNNNNNNNNNNNNNNNNNNNNNNNNNNNNNNNNNNNNNNNNNNNNNNNNNNNNNNNNNNNNNNNNNNNNNNNNNNNNGCACUCCCUCCGCCGACGCACAGGUCUCUCUCUCUCUCUCUCUCUCUCUCUCUCUCUCUCUCUGUCUCUCUCUGACAGGUCUUGGUUCACCGCUGCUCUGUUGGCUGCUCCAGGUCCGGCUGACAGGUCCGGCUGCUCCUCAUCUCCGCCUCGCCAGCCGGCAGCGCAGCGCAGCGCAGCCCCCGCCGCCUCCUCCCCCACUCUCCCGUCAGCAUGGUCCACGGCUCCUGGAUCUAAAGCAGCCGCACCGUGCUGCCGCGGUGCACAGCAGCAGGUUCCCAAGACAACCCUCGCCGUCCCUCUGACUGUCUCUCUCUCUCUAUGACUGAACCCAACACAACCCUCAUUCGCAGGUCGCAGCUAGCUAGGCAUCAGCGGCACCGGUCACCGGCGGCAGCGUACAUCACCGGCUGCAGCGUACAUCACCGCGCGCGGCAACGGACGCAGUACGCACUCAUCCCCUUUUUUUAACUUCUCAAUUUCAUACAGUCUUGCAGGUCAGGAUGUCAAUGGACAGCUCGCUGGGCAUUGUGGGACUUGCCCGCUCUGACCACCACUUAUGUGGGAUUAUGUCAUAGUCCAGUUAACUUUUUUGUGGCGUAUGUAGUGUCCACAUAGUACCACGUAUUCACAGAGCAAACUGACACGAAUAUACUACUUACAAUAUAGUGCCAUUAGUGCGGGCCUAAUUAGUAACACCUCCGAUUAUUCGGUACAGAGCAAACAUAGUACAGGAAAUUGGCAACUCUAAAUCUCUAGAUUCAACAUUUAUCUACAACUUAGAUUAUCAAAGCUGAACCCAAUGGACAUGAUUAUGGCUAUCAAGAUGUAAUGGAGAGUGACCAAUCUGCAUCAAUGAGGUGUUUGAAGUCUGAACCUUUCAUCUACCUAGAAGGGAAUGGCAUGCAAUGAGGUGUCCGAAGUCUGAACCUUGCUCCAUAUCAUUUAGUUCUCAAGUUACUGCAACCCGAAUUUGCAUCAGUCCUCACCGUCUACUACUCCGACGACGUACGACAUCCACCGGUCCCAUCUUCCAAGUCCCAUAGGCUGCAUCGCAGCAGAGGGGGAGAGGCAUAUGAGCGCUAGAGGAGCAGAGCAGAGGUACCGUGAAGUCGUUGCCGAAGGCCUCAUCUGAAUCAGCUCCGGCGGCGACGACGUCGGCUUUGACGUCAGGCGCAACUGGGACGGCAGAUCUGGUCUCACCGGCUUUUCUGGGCUGUCCAUUUGUGCCAUUUAUUUUUGCUGGACGUCCACCAACUCCAUUUGAUCUUUUUUUGCUGGGUGGCACAUGUGGGACUAGUGGGACCCAACGCCACUUACAUCCUGACUUGCAAGAAUGCCAGUAGUCGCGGCUGUUCUUCUCUUAGUUUUAUAAUGCUGCAUAAUACACAAGUUUUAACACAUCUAUCAACUAAGCCAAGUUUUAACCUUUGAGAGAAACUAUCAAAGGACCAUUGGGAUUUCAGGAUAAGAAAUGAGCAAGUAGCCUUGUACAAACGAAAAACGAGUUCCAACACCACUUCUAAAUUUGAUUCGUGUUGCUGCAGCCACUCAACCCAAAGACCAAUCCACAAGGGAAAGCUUUUUUUGCAGCUAGCUAGGCCUUUAAUUUGUGGCUACCAGCAACCAAGAUUUAUCUAUCACAUCACAUUUGAUUCAUUGGUUCCUGCCUGGAUAUGUAAGAUUCUUGGAGCAGUAUAGAACUAAAGGGAUGCACAAAUGGGCAACCUUCAAAGCCUGUACAGAAGUUCAAUGACAUGAAUAUUUCCUCUAUGCAUGAUUUUAUAAUUUUCUAUAUGCGUUUGAGAUUAGGCUUUUGUAUUUUCUUUUGAGAAAAAAGGGAAAAGCUAAGUAGCUAAUAAACGGUAUAUUAGAAAGGAGUGGCCAGAGCACAUAUUUGUUAUUGUUAUGGAAAUACAAGUAUUGCCACUGUAAAUACAAAAGGAGUGGGCAGAGCACCUAUUCUGCAUGUGAAUUAUGUUUAGUCCCAGUUUGCAAGUUUUGCAUGUGGAUUAUGUUUGAUCCCAAUUUUCACUUUAUUGCAGGACAUGCAUUAGUUUGACGUCGAGACCGUUGUCGCGGAGCUUCUUGCUGGACGGAAGACCGGCACCGAACAUGCUUCGAGGGUAAGAAUCAUUCGCCUCGUAGGAUUUAUGGAUAUUAUUGCUUCUAUUGCAGAAUAGGGAGAGAGGUGAGGGCCAAGAGAAGCUCAAUACCUUCACGGGAUUAUGUCUCUCCCGCAAGUCAAAAGAAACCGGAAGGGGGGUGGGUCAACCCAGGCGCUGGCUUGAGGAUUGAUGCAUACAGUGGGAAGUUCAAGGAGCACAACGGGCCUGACUCUAAUCCGGCCUCACAGGACAUUGACACUACAAUUUCCCUCCAGUCGGGAGAUGGCAAGAAGGGUGGUCGGUUAUAUGUUGGCGACGGUGCCAUCCGUAAGAAGGACAUCCCAAAACUCUCUCACGUCCGUGCUACCACGUCGAGCUCAGGUCCUGCUAUAGAGCAUCGCCCACAGCCUGGGCUGCACAUGCUCCAUCAACUCGAGGUAUCUUUUGCUUCAUCGACCUUCCUUGUGAUUUCUUCUUUGUAUUGCAACGAUGGUGAACUUGUUGUGAUGGCAUAUUGUAGGCCAAUGCCAGGCUUCGAGAGGAGGAAGCCAUGAAAAUGCAGCAGGCCCUAUUUCAACAGCAAGAAUUCAUGGUUAAACAACAGGCAAUCCUGCAGGAGACAUUUGCUCAACUCAGAAAUAAUAUGCAGGGUUCCACUUUGCCCGUUCUUCCUCCUCUUCCGACUCUUCCUAAUUUCAACUUUGUAAGUCUCUGAACUUUUCAGUCAUGCAUCUUACCUUCAUGCUUGAAGAUCAUGAAUCUUACCAUCUCAUCCUCUUGUGCUUCAAGUUUUCUCAGUCGGGACAAGGCUCCAAUAACUGUGUGGUAGGUGGAUCUUCACCUGGACAAGCAAGUCCAGUGACACCCACUACGGUUCAUGUUGCUUCGACCUCCCCGCAACACUGAUCACUUGAGGUAGUCUUCCAUGUUUGUCCAUUGUUGAUGCUUGCGUCUUCUCGUUGCUUGUGCUUCUCAACUUAAAACUUGUGCAUUGUUGAUGGUAGAGUCCACAAAUGUCGAUGCUUAUAUUGUACAUACUUCCUAGCUUCUAUUUGAGCCUCAUAUGUUGAUGCUUGUUAACUCUUUUUCCUUAUCCAUCUUUUCAACUUAUGUUUAGAAACUCAUGCGUGUGAUAAUGGACUUAUAGGUUUGCAUUGUGGGCGUUGACGGUGGGCAUAUAUGCUGCGGUGGAGCUCAUUGGUUCAUGCUUGGUGUGAACUUGGAACUCAUGAUCCUUUAAUUUGUGAACCUCUCGUUGCAUAUGUAUGUAUGUUGUUGUGAACCUUCGUUGGAUAUGUAUGCACUGUGUGGACCUGAAACUUACGGUCCUUUCGUUUGUGAUCUUUUGUUGCAUACGUAUGCAUAUGUGGACUCUGCACUCAUGUACGGCUGGAUAUAUGUAUUACUUGAUAUAUGCUUGUUGGUCAUGGUCAUGUACUGCUGGAUACAUAUAUUUGUUGGAUAUAUGUGCUGCUGGAUAGAUGUAUUACUGUAUAUAUGUUGUUGCUGCUCCCUGAAGUGAUAUAUGUGCUGCUGGAUAGAUGUACUAGUGUAUAUAUGUUGUUGCUGCUCCCUGAAGCACCUGUAUAUAUGUUAUAUGGCCUAUAAGCCGUGUAGCCAGCACCUGGCACCCGGCUUAUAAGCCAUAUGGCUGCGGCCAACACAUAAGCCGUGUAUCCCAACACCUGGCACCCGGUUUAUAGACCAUCUGGACACAUGAGCAGGCUAUAUAAACCGUGUACCUCAGUUAACCGGCGCCCGGCUUAUAUAUGUAUAUAAAAACUGUGUUGUUGUCUGCGGAACUCGGCUUAUAUAGUAACCGUGCGGUUUGCGGUUGCACCCGGCUUAUAUAUAAACCGUGUGUUCGUGGUCGCACCCGGCUUAUAUAUAAACCGUGCGUCCGCGGUUGCACCCGCCUUAUAUAUAAACCGUACGUACUGAGGUGCACUCGGUUUAUGUUUAAACCGUGCCCUGACGACGGUACUCGACUUAUAUAGACGGUGACACGUGGCCGUUAACAUCAGGCUACCGUUAUGUUACUUUAUUAAACCGAGAGCCCUGUGAAAAUACUCGGUUUAUACAUAAGCCGGGCUUUUUCGGUCCGGCUCUCGGCUUAUAUGGUAUAAGCCGAUUGACUGUAAACCGAGUGCUAUAAGCCGGGAGUUUUACUCGGCUUAUAUAUAAACCGAGUUUAAAUCGAUAUAAGCCAAGUGUAUUAGGUACACGGCUUAUAAGUUUUUCCCUGUAGUGCAUGUCCGGUCCGAUUGCUCGUGUUAGCUUCUCCGACAUGCCACUUCUUGCUUCCCUUGACUUUUCCACAAACUCCCUGACUGGGUGGCUCCCGACUAGCCUCGCCGGCUGUGGUGAGCUCAAGUCGCUCAACCUUGCCAACAAUAUAUUGGUCGGCACCAUCCCGUCGUGGAUUGGUGAGUUUGACAACCUUUGGUACUUGAAUCUCUCAAAUAAUUCAUUUGUUGGCGAGGUACCCAAGAGUUUGUUACGGCUCACUGGCCUCGCCGCCACGGGUCGUUCAUUGGGUAUGGUUUUCACUAACAUGCCCUCUUUCGUAAAUUACGAAAGAAGAGCACUCGAUGAACAACCAAAUACCAUAACUGGGACCAACAACACAGUGAGAUCUGGGCGCAACAACACCAUGUCUGAAAACGACAACAUUGUCAUGUCCGGAGACAGCAACACUGUGUCCGGGAGCUUCAACACCCUUGUAUGUGGGGACAACAAUGUUCUAACUGGUGAUCACCAUGUCGUAUCUAGGAGCAACCAUAUUGUAACUAACAGCUACAAUAAAGUAUCUGGGUGCACCAAUAAUGUAUCCGGCAGCCACCAUACCGUAUCCGGUAGCAACAAUGCCGUAUCUGGGAGCAACAAUACGGUAUCUGGGAGCAAUCAUGUCGUAUCCGGGAGCAACAAAAUCGUAACUGACGAUUAAUGAUCUGUCAGUGGAUUGAUUCCAUCCUCGAGAACGAGAUCCCGGAGCACAUCAGAGACUCGUGAGAAGAAGUUCUUCACCCAGAACCGAAAACCUAGGUACAUGGACCCCCAUAUCUUGUUCCAAGCUGGGAGGGCACCAUAAAGACCUUUUGUAUCUUUUACUGUUUUUAGCAUAUUUAAAUUUCCGCAACUAUAUACAUCCGUAUAUAGUCCAUGCGGAAAUUUCUAAAAGGGCUUAUAUUUAGAAACGGAGGAAGUUGUAUGUAUUUCCGUGCUUGCAAUAUUAGUGUUAACUUCCAGCCUACAAUGAGAAUUAUAUCAAAUGAUGCACUCGUCGUUUUUUGAUGAAUGUCUUUGUUACAGCUUCUGGUUAUUGUUAUUAGAUGUGUGACUCCUGUUGAAUGAUCCCUUACUUGAUAGUUUCGAAUUGGCCGCUAUUCAACACCAUUAGUGCUAAUUGUCAACAACAGCUUAUUCUUUGCCGAUAGAUACAAAUUGUGAGGUGGGGAAGUGGGUACAGACCGAAGUUGGGUAGGAAGCUGUUGUUGCUAGGUUACGACGAGGCUGUGGCAGUGCAUUGUUCAUAUACAGAUGGGUUGGACGUUAGCAUGUACCCACUUGCAUGAGCUGCACUUGACCUGACUUGGACAGGUUUUGGGAGAGAUGGAUUGCAGCACCCGAGCUCCACUGCUCUCUAUAUUUAAACAUUUUAAAAUUUGUAUUUUUGAAAUUUCAAAAAAAAUGUGAAUUUUUCGCAGGGAUACAUAUACACAUUCCGAAUACAGAAAAAAAAAUUCAGCUUCCGAAUACAAUUUUUUUGCAGGGAUACAUAUACACAUUCCGAAUACAAAUUUUUCGCAAGUUCCUGUAGAAAUCUCGUUUUGUUUUGGGCUACAGAAAAAGAUAAUUUCUGACACUAUAUAGGAGAAAAGGUGUGCCAUUUUCUGUCAGAAAUUUAUCUUUUUUGUAUUUCCCAAAAUAAAAAGUAUUUCUUUUUCAGCUUUUUACCAGGCCUUAGGAAUGUGUGUAUCUAUUCACGUAUUUGAUAUAAGAUUCUUUAAGCAACGAAACUGUGUUUUUCAAAAAUUUCAAAUACCAGGAGCCCUGGAGCCCGGUAGUUGCAGGCACUUUUUGAGGCUUGGGAAGGUCUCUCUCUGUCUCUCUCUCUCUCACACGCACGCACGCACGCGCACGCACGCGCACACGCGCACACGCGCACACAUGUAGUCAUAGGUGUGGCGAUGCAUGGCUUUGACUGGCUGCAGUGAAUUGUUGGUUUUGUUUUGUCCUUUUUCUUCUUCCUCCUCCUUAUUUUCAUCCUCUUGUUCCACGUACAUGCAUGCUCCUCCUCCUCGUGCAUUAUCUCUUUGUCUGUGACAUGCAUCCAUGUAUGGAUUUUUUUUCUCCUACGGUAAAAUUUCUCCCAUGAGGGCAAUUCUCGUUGUUUUUAUUCCUUUCCUUCACUUGCAUGAGCCCCCUGCCGGAUAUACAUCAAUACAUGCAUGCAGCACUUGCAUUAGCAGCCCUACGCGUUUGAGACGUGCUCUGUAAGAAAGUAAGCUGUUUUUGGGCUAGCUACAGUCAUUUCACGCUGUUUUUGUCGGUAAGUAAUUUUCCAGCUUGAAAAAGGUAUUUGGUCUGAAAAACCUGGAAACUUGCAUGAAAUAAAAAUACAAACUUGCAUCGAAAACUACAGAUUGUACAAAAAUAGGCUGGAAUCAUCGUAAUAGUUGGAGUUGCAAGAACUCAUCUACAAUACGAAACUAUCAAUCAACCAUGCAUACAAAAAGCGCAGAUGGUUUUUUUUACCUUUGUUGAUAUUUCAUCGAACACCUAGUGUGCGAGGAGGAGAAAUCCGUCCGGCGAGCCAUCAGUGGCUUGCGGCUGUCGGGAGGGGGUGGACAACGGCUACUGGAAGUGCUCCCUCGACAUGCAUACGGCGGUUAUGCAUCCGGAACUCGGAGACGUAGCCGUUGUCGCCUAAAUUAAAUGCCGCCGACUCUCUGCUCGGCCGUGGCGGUGGGGCGACCGCUGUGGAGCUCCGGCGGCCGCUAGGCCAUAAUGUAGGGGCACAACUGACUGGCCAUGGCGACUACAAUGGUGAAUCGAUGUGGCGGCCACGACGCGGGCGCAGGCCAAAUCGGGGCGGGCGGAGGAGCUCCGUUGUGCAAGGCGAUCAGCGGUGCGUCUUUCUUUUGGCUUAUUUGUGCUGCGGCCAAGCGAGCUCGAUGUAUCGGGUAUUUGCUUUAUAAUAUAAAGUAGGGGACCCUUUAUCGUAUAAGCAGUGCGUCUGAUGUGCGGAGCAUGCGAAGCCACGAGACUCAGCGUACAUAUGUACGCUGUGACACCAAAAUGCAAUAACAAAUGAUACAAAGCCUCAUUAUUAACUGCAUAUUUUCUAAUCAUUCUAAUCUUCAAGCGCAUUGCAUCCAUCUUGAUCUUGUGAUCAUCGACGACAUCAGCAACAAACAACUCCAGUUUCAUCUUCUCUUCUUCAAUUCUUUUCAAUUUUUUUUCAAAUACUCAUUUUCUUUUUCAACUAAAUUUAACUUCUCAACAAGAGGGUCGGUUGCAAUUUCCGCUUCACAUACCUCCUAAAUAAAAAUAUCUAUGUCAACUUGAUGGGAAGAAUUGUCAUAAACAUGAAAUGCAACAAAUAGUUAUCAAAGAGAAUAUACCACAUCCAAAUCAUAAACCGGACAAGGGCUGACGGAUAUCAAAUCCAUGCCACUAUGUAUAAUAAACAAAGUACGUGUAAGAAAAUUAUACAAGUAACUAUCUAAAUCUCAUAGACAUGAUUUUUUUUAUAAAAAGGAUAAGAAUAAGAGGCUCACCAAGGUGGUGAUGACGACAGGACGGUACGGGCGAUGGACGGUGGUUAGGACGGGGACGGGAUGGCACUAAGUAAACCACACCUACAUAUGCAAAUUAAGAAGUUAAUUUGAGCUCAAAUUGCAUAUAAAUCAAAUAAACUACCACAUAUAAUUACUCCCAAACUAAAACCCAAAAAUCACUAUACUUAUAGAGCAUUGCAAGAGCUAAUCUAGAAAUGAGAGAUGAAAGAACAAAGUUGCUGACGGUGUCCUGGACUAGGGGUACUCAUCACAUCGUCUCGCGACCAGGUGGAUCUGGCCGAGGACCCCUGUUGGGGAUAUGAUUACUGAGUUAAACCGCCCAGGAAGGGGCCGGAUUAACUCACAAGGAGUCCUGUGCAAGAGCCCAUGAAGAUGAAGGCUAUGGCGCUUUAACCAUGAAGACAUAGAGGCCCAGAGCCCGAUGGCGGAUUAGGGCCCAUAAUGGUAAACCGCCAUAGAUGUGUAACUUGUGUUGUAAGUCAGGGAAAGGAGAAACCGAGUCGGACACUUGUAUGAGCCGAACUCGGGAUCUUGUAAACCGGCCGGGCGUCAACCUGUGUAUAUAAAGGGACGACCCGGCGGCGGUUCAGGGACAAGAAACAACAACUCGAAAGCCAGACAUAUCGUGUUUGCCCCCUGGUAAUCGAGACCACAUCAAAAACACCCCAACUGGAUCGUAGGCUUUUACCUUCACCGCAAGGGGCCGAACCAGGACAAACUCCCUGUGUCCUUUGUCCGGUUUAACCCUUCUAAGCUAACCCGUUGCGAUGGCUCCACGACUAAGUCCUUUCACUAGGACAUCUGACGUGAUAAUUCCACGACAGUUAGCGCCCACCGUGGGGCGAUCGCACGAUGGUUUCAAGUUCUUAGAGGGCAAGUUCGAAGGGCUCAAGGGAUACGCAGUGGUCCGGAUGACUAAGAGUCGUCGCGGCAAGCUCUACAUCAAUGACACAAGCUGGGGCCCCGACGCCGGCUCAGUCGAGUACGGAUACCGGGUCCCCUUCGGAGGAAUUCACGUCUUCAUCGGCAAGAUCGGCGAACCGGGCCCUGAGUCGGACAUCUGCACCGACCACGUCGAGAUGGCUCAGCGUGCGAGCCCUACCCGGGGUCAGCCCGCCAUGAAGCAUGCGUUCGUAGGAUGUAUCCAUAGGAUCGAAUCUGAACCGGUGUCCGAUGGUGAGACGGCCGUUUACUCCGAUGGUGAGUCAUCUACCGGUGAGACUGAGUCUUUGUAUCAAGUUCAGGAUGGCCUGUUUGGGGGGUAUUCCGAUGGCAGCAAUAUUCCGGACCCCUUUGAACCGCCAAACCGGGUUGCAAUCUUCAUGGCUGGCACGCAACUCGUCCGACAAUCUUCAACAGCAGCGGCGAUAAUCUCCGGAUCAACAGCUGGGGCAGGUGGCCCUGGGCGCCCGUCGGUUCAAGUCUUGUCUGGAUUAUUGGACGCUUUGGCAACAUUAUUGACUGCUGAAGUUAGUACGGAAAAUCGGGAGGAGCAUAAUACGGAAGUCAGAAAGUUGCGAGAGCAGAUAGCUCAGGCUAAUUAAGGAGGACAUGGCUGCUGAGGAGACCAGGAUGGUCGAGGAACGAAUCGCUUUAAAUGCUAAGGCACAGCGAGUUCAUGCAGAGGCUUACCGGCUUAUGUUGCAUCAGAACGCUUCAAACGAAGUGAUGAUGAGAAGGCACCAAUCUCGUCUGCCGUCGGUUUACGAAGGAAGAAAUCUUUUUAACACGCCAGGAGUGGGCACUAGCAACCCGCCCGUGGUGAACCCGAUUGAAGCACCAAGUACAGGAGCGCUAGAUCAGCUGGGCAUGAUGGGUCCGCCUCAGCAGAAUCAUGAUCCUCCGCAAUACGCACCAGCUCCACCGGGUCAUUUUGCCACCCCUUUGGACAACAUGAUUGCUGCAGCGUCAAGAUUGGCUGCUAUUCCAAUGGAAGGUGACUCCCUGAUACGUCUCCAACGUAUCUAUAAUUUUUGAUUGUUCCAUGCUAUAAUAUUACCUGUUUUGGAAGCUUAUGGGCUUUAUUCUACAUAUUUAUAUCAUUUUUGGGACUAACCUACUAACCGGAGGCCCAGCCGAUAUUGUUGUUUUUUUUGCCUAUUUCAGUAUUUUGAAGAAAAGAAAUAUCAAACGGAGUCCAAACGAAAUGAAACCUUCGGGAGUGUUAUUUUUGGAACAAAUCAGAUCCGGAGAGACUGGAGUGCAAGUCAAGAAAGCUCCGAGGGCCCCACGAGAUAGGAGGGCGCGACCCCCUAUAGGGCGUGCCACCUGUCUCGUGGGCCCCUCGGGCGUCCACUGAUGUACUUCUUCCUCCUAUAUAUACCUACGGACCCCGAAAACAUCCAGGGGCACCACGAAACACAAUUUCCACCACCGUAACCUUCUGUAUCCGCGAGAUCCCAUCUUGGAGCCUUCGCCGGCACUCUGCCGGAGGGGGAAUCAACAACGAAGGGCCUCUACACCAACAUCCUUGCCCCUCCUAGGAGUUGUGAGUAGUUUCCAUAGACCUACGGGUCCAUAGUUAUUAGCUAGAUGGCUUCUUCUCUCUUUUUGGAUCUCAAUACAAUGUUCUCCCCCUCUCUUGUGAAGAUCUAUUCGAUGUAAUCUCUUUUUGCGGUGUGUUUGUCAAGAUCCGAUGAAUUGUGAGUUUAUGAUCAGAUUCAUCUAUGGUUAUUAACUGAAUCUUCUCUGAAUUCUUUUAUGUAUGAUUGAGUUAUCUUUGUAAAUCUCCUCGAAUUAUCGGUUUGGUUUGGCCUACUAGAUUGAUCUUUCUUGCCAUGGGAGAAGUGCUUAGUUUUGGGUUCAAUCUUGCGGUGUUCUUACCCAGUGAUAGAAAGGGUUGCAAGACACGUAUUGUAUUGUUGCCAUCGAGGAUAACAAGAUGGGGUUUAUAUCAUAUUGCAUGAGUUUAUCCCUCUACAUCAUAUCAUCUUGCUUAAUGCGUUACUCCGUUCUUAUGAACUUAAUACUCUAGAUGCAUGCUGGAUAGCGGUCGAUGUGUGGAGUAAUAGUAGUAGAUGCAGGCAGGAGUCGAUCUACUUGUUUUGGAUGUGAUGCCUAUAUACAUGAUCAUGCCUAGAUAACGUCAUAAUUAUUCGCUUUUCUAUCAAUUGUUUGACAGUAAUUUGUUCACCCACCGUAAUACUUAUGCUCUCGAGAUAAGCCUCUAGUGAAACCUAUGGCCCCCGGGUCUAUCUCUUAUCAUAUUUGCUUUCAAUCUACUUUAAUUUUGCAUCUUUACUUUCUUGCAUUUAUAUUACAAAAUACCAAAAAUAUAUUUAUCUUAUCAUACUAUCUUUAUUAGAUCUCACUUCCGCAAGUGGCCGUGAAGGGAUUGACAACCCCUUUAUUGCGUUGGUUGCGAGUUCUCAGUUUGUUUGUGUAGGUGCGUGGGACUUUUGAGGAGCCUCCUACUGGAUUGAUACCUUGGUUCAUAAAACUGAGGGAAAUACUUACGCUACACUUGCUGCAUCACCCUCUCCUCUUCGGGGAAAACUAACGCUAGCUCAAGACGUAGCAAGAAGGAUUUCUGGCGCCGUUGCCGGGGAGGUCUUCGCUCAAGUCAAGACAUACCAAGUACCCAUCACAAACUCAUCUCCCUCGCAUUUACAUUAUUUGCCAUUUGCCUCUCGUUUUCCUCUCCCCCCACUUCACCCUUGCCGUUUUAUUCUCCCUCUCUUUCCCAAUCUCCUCCUCUCUUUUCCGUUUGCCGUUUUCUAUUUGCUUGUGUGUUGGAUUACUUGUUGCCAUGGCACAAGAUAAUACCAAGUUGUGUGAUUACUCGAAUACCAAUAAUAAUUAUUUCCUUAAUACUCCGAUUGCUCCUCUUAAUGAUGUUGAGUCUUGUGAAAUCAAUACUGCCUUGCUGAAUCUUGUUAUGAAAGAUCAAUUCGCCGGCCUUCCUAGUGAAGAUGCCGCUACUCAUCUAAAUAAUUUUAUUGAUUUGUGUGAUAUGCAAAAGAAGAAAGAUACGGAUAAAAAUAUUGUCAAAUUGAAGUUAUUUCUGUUUUCACUUAGAGAUCGUGCUAAAGUUUGGUUUUCGUCUUUGCCUAAAAAUAGUAUUGAUUCUUGGAACAAGUGCAAAGAUGCUUUUAUCUCUAAGUAUUUUCCUCCCACUAAGAUCAUCACUCUUAGGAAUGAUAUUAUGAAUUUUAAACAACUUGAUCAUGAGCAUGUUGCCCAAUUUUGGGAAAGAAUGAAAUUGAUGCUUCGCAAUUGCCCUACUCAUGAUUUGAAUUUAUGGAUGAUCAUACAAAAUUUUUAUGCCGGUUUGAACUUUGCUUCUAGAAAUCUCUUAGAUUCGGCCGCGGGGGGCAUGUUUAUGGAAAUUACGUUAGGAGAUGCUACAAAAUUGCUUGACAAUAUUAUGGCUAAUUAUUCUCAAUGGACACCGAAAGAUCUUCUAGUAAAAAAGUGCAUACUAUAGAAGAAAUCAAUGUUUUGAGUGGAAAGAUGGAUGAACUUAUGAAGAUGUUUGCUACUAAAAAUACUCCUCUUGAUCCCAAUGAUAUGCCUUUGUCUUCUUUGAUUGAGAAUAAUAAUGAAUCUAUGGAUGUGAAUUUUGUUGGUAGGAAUAAUUUUGGAAACAAUGCUUAUAGAGGAAAUUUUAAUGCUAGACCGUUCCCUAGUAAUACCUCUAAUAAUUAUGGAAAUUCCUACAAUAAUUCUUAUGGUAAUUUUAAUAAGAUGUCCUCUGAUUUUGAUAAUAGUGUGAAAGAAUUUAUGAUUUCUCAAAAGAAUUUUAAUGCUUUGCUUGAAGAAAAAUUGCUCAAAGUUGAUUUGGCUAGGAACGUUGAUAGACUUUCGCUUGAUGUUAAUUCUCUUAAACUUCGAUCUUCUUCUCCUAAGCAUGAUAUCAAUGAGUCUCUCAAAGUAAUGAGAAUUUCCAUUGACGAGUGCAAGGAAAGAACCGCUAGAUUGCGUGCUAAGAAAGAAAGCUUUAUAAAAGCAUGUUCUUCUAGUCUAGAUGAAAAUAAUGAUGAGGAUCUUAAAGUUAUUGAUGCGUCUCCUAUCAUAUCUGUGAUUAUGGGACUGAUGAUGAAUCAACUUUGCCUAGAAGGCGUCCCAAAAAUUCGGAGUCUUUAGAUCUUAAUUCUAAAUUUGGUAAAAGAGAGAUUGGAGAAUCCUCAACUUCUAAUAAUGUUGAACCUACUAUCUUGGAUUUCAAGGAAUUUGAUUAUGAUAAUUGCUCUUUAAAAGGUUGUAUUUCCUUGUUGCAAUCCGUUGUUAAUUCUCCUCAUGCUUAUAGUCAAAACAAAGCUUUUACCAAACAUAUUGUUGAUGCCUUGAUGCAAUCUUAUGAUGAAAAACAUAAUUUGGAAGUUUCUAUACCUAAAAACCUUAAUGAUGAGUGGGAACCUACUAUAAAGAUUAGAAUUAAAGAUUUUGAGUGUUUUGCUUUGUGUGAUUUGAGUGCUAGUGUUUCCACAAUUCCGAAAACUUUAUGUGAUAUUCUAGAUUUCCAUGAUCUUGAUGAUUGCUCGUUAAAUUUGCAUCUUGCGGAUUCCACCAUUAAAAAACCUAUGGGAAGGAUCAAUGAUGUUCUUAUUGUUGCAAAUAGAAAUUUGGUGCCCGUAGAUUUUAUCGUUCUUGAUAUAGAUUGCAAUCUUUCUUGCCCUAUUAUUCUUGGUAGACCUUUCCUUAGAACGAUUGGUGCGAUUAUUGGUAUGAAGGAAGGGAACAUUAGAUUCCAAUUUCCCUUAAAGAAAGGCAUGGAGCACUUUCCAAGAAAGAAAGUCAAAUUACCUUAUGAAUCUAUCAUGCGCGCUACUUAUGAAUCAAGUGCCAAAGAUGGCACUCGUUAGAUCUAUCCUUGCUUUUAUGCCUAGCUAGGGGCGUUAAACCAUAGCGCUAGUUGGGAGGCAACCCAAUUUUCUUUAUGUUCUUUGUUUUUGUUCCUGUUUAGUGUUAAAUUCUGUUUCUACUUUCUGUUUAGAUGUGUUUGUAUCUUUUGUUUAGUGUUUGUGCCAAGUAGAACCUAUAGGAUAAACUAUGAUGAUGGUUGAUUUGAUUCUGCCGAAAAAGAGAAACUUUGCGCUCACGAGAAAAAAUUCAAUAAAUCACAGAAAAGUGCUUUUGCAUUGAUUCUUUUUGCUGAUGAUCAAUAAACAAAUUGUACAGUAUGUCCUAUUUUGGUACGAUUUUUAGAUUUCUGAAGCAUUAGUUACAGAUUGCUACAGAUUGUUCUGUUUUUGACAGAUUCUGCUUUUCAUGUGUUGUUUGCUUAUUUCAAUGCAUCUAUGGCUAAUAAAUUAGUUUAUAAGCCAUAAGGAAGUUGGAGUACAGUAGGUUUAACAUCAAAAUAAAUAAAGAAUGAGUUCAUUACAGUACCUUAUGUGGUGGUUUUGUUUUCUUUUACUAACGGAGCUUAUAAGAUUUCCUGUGGUGUUUUGUGUUGUGAAGUUUUGAAGUUUUGGGUAAAGCUUUUAUGGACUAUGGAAUAAAGAGUGGAAAGAGCCUAAGCUUGGGGAUACUUAUGGCACCCCAAUAUAUUCAAGAAUAGCCAAAAGCCUAAGCUUGGGAUGCCCCAGGAAGGCAUCCCGUCUUUCGUCUUCGUUCAUUGGUAACUUUACUUGGAGCUAUAGUUUUAUUCGCUACAUGACAUGUGUUUUGCUUGGAGAGUCGUGUAUUAUAUUGGUCCUUGCUUGUUAGUUUACCACAAUCAUACUUGCUGUAACACACCUUUUUGGAUAAGCCUAUUUGUUUAGAACUAGAUGAUGCCCCGUGCGUUGCUGCGGGACAGGUGUAAAUACAUAUUCAUAGAAUUAGAGAUAAAAUAUAAAGAAACAUUUUCUAGGUGCCCCGCGGAUUGCCGCGGGUGCAAAAAGAAUCCCGUACAUAAGUCUCAUAUACAAAGGAAAUAUCACUGAGAAUCCACAUAAACAAAACUUACGAUAUGUGGCUCGGUGUUACAAUUUCUACUGAUCCCUAGCAUCCGUAUGAAAAAUCAGCUUGUCAAUGUGAAAGUUUUCUUUUACCUAUAAAAAAACUUUGGUUACAAACUUUGAAUCAAUACAAUUAACCACAAUAAUUAAUUUUGCCAAGGCAUGAACAGGGUAUAAAUCAAAAUCACACUGUAUAAUCUAGAAUGAUAUAUGUUGCUUUAUGUCCAAGCGAAAGAGAUAUCCACUGCUGAAAAGGCAUAUGAAAUUCAGAGACAUAUAUUAUCAAUCAAGCACUUGUGUGGGACGAAUGGAAAAAAGAAAAUCAAAAUUGCAUUAACAAUCUAAAAUGAUAUCCGAUACCUUAUGUCCAAGUAAAAGAGCAUCUUCACGAAGUCCAUAUGGGAGCACAUGGAGCUUAUAAGCCUAGACCAGAGAGUGUCGGACGUGUGUGGAGUGGAUGAGCAAAUGUUGCAGAUUACAGAGUAGGGACUGGGAAGUGACCGGAAAGGCAAAAUCUGAACGACCUACCACAUAGAGCUGAUGCGCUAGCCCCAACCGUGGAGUACCAUUGGAAGCCAAGUUUGCUGAUUGAGUCGGAUUCCUCGUCACCGACGGCAACCGCAGGGGCAUAGCAAAGACGUUCCGAAGCCUCAGCGGUUGUGCCCUUCUUCGACGAUCCGGGAUUCUGGGUAUCCCGCAACGGAACAACAGUCCAUCUUGUGUUCCCACAAUCAAAGAGACACCGGAGGCGAGGCAGGCGAGGCGAGGAAAACCGGCUGGCGUGCGGCAGGAGAUUUGAAGCAGAGCAAAUGGGGUGCACAACGACAUGUCUUCCAUGACGACGUGGGUGCUCGGCAACGGAAUCGCGUCGCGACCCACUCUCAUAGUGGCAUCAGGACAAAGGAAGAGCAUCAAUGGUGCGAGAAGAUGGUAGUAGAGACAGGUUGAUAGACGCGAAGGCCGUGGCCGUGCCGUUUAAUCUAGCCUCUUCUUUGGGUAACGGAGGGCGAAGUAAUGAGGCGCGAUCAAUGUUUCGGUUUCAUGUGCAUUUGCGCCAGGGAGAGAUUCGGCCACGAGCCCGCGACAACAGAAGAGAUAACGGCGACGAUGAUUCAUAGCGGAGAAGUUUUAUUUUUUGAGCAAAUCAUAGCGGAGAAGAUGACCUAGUGCCGUGGUUGACCCCCAUGGGCUAUACAGCCCACAUGCAUAACAUACUAACAUUGAAUCGGGCCCUGUGUUUUGAUUUUCGGCCGAAAAAAGUGGACUUCGGCCGAAUUUCGGCCAUCUCGGCCUGGGGCGAAAAGUAUAUUAGGCCAAAAUUGCUCAAAUUUGGCAAAUUUUGGUUAAAUUUAAGUCAAAUUGUAGUCAAAAUUUGGUCAAAUUUCAGCCAAAAUUUUAGAAAAUGGCCGAAAUUCGGCCAUCUCGGCCUAGGGCGAAAAAAAGCUCAAACCGAAAAUCAAAACACAGAUCGGGCCCCAUGUGCGCAAACACAACCCACAUGCAGCUCGGGCAACCCACAGUUAGUACGUGGGUUUGUAAAGCCCAAGCGAUGGAAGUCGGGGAAGGCAGCCAGAGUUAGCGCACGACAGCUGAUUGCGUUCAAGCUUGAUCGAAUGGCUAAUAAUAAUUCAGGUGACGUGGCUGCACGAGAAUCCAAGAAAAUCAGGUAGUGGGGUGCUUCUAUUUAGAUAUAGAAGAUUUGCAAGAAUACUCUAUGUGCUUCACUUAUAUCUUUUGAGCUUAAUAGUUUUUGCUCUAGUGCUUCACUUAUAUCUUUUAGAGCAUGGUGGUGGAUUAAUUUUAUAGAAAUUGCUAGUCUCUCAUGCUUCACUUAUAUUAUUUUGAGAGUCUCUUAGAAUAGCAUGAUAUUUUCUAUGGUUUUAAUUUGGUCCUAAAAUGAUGAGCAUCCAAGUUGGGUAUAAUAAAAACUAUCAUAGAAAGUGAAUUGGAUGUUAUGAUCAAUUUGAUGCUUAAUAAUUGUUUUGAGAUAUGGAGGUAGUAAUAUUAAAGUCAUGCUAGUUGGGUGAUUAUGGAUUUAGAGAAUGCUUGUGUUGAAGUUUGUGAUUUCCGUAGCAUGCACGUAUGGUGAACCGCUUUGUGAUGAAGUUGGAGCACAAUUUUAUUGAUUGUCUUCCUUAUGAGUGGCAGUCGGGGAUGAGCGAUGGUCUUUUCCUACCAAUCUAUCCCCCUAGAAGCAUGCAUGUAGUGCUUUGAUGUUUGAUGACUUCUAAAUUUUUACAACAAGUAUAUGAGUUCUUUUGAUUAAUGUUGAGUCCAUGGAUUAUACACACUCACUACUAGGGAAAAGCCUAUACACAGAAUCUUAUCAGAAGCACGCUUUAAAAUAAGGCGCUGCUGCUAAUUAGCAGUAGCAUGCUCAGGAAUAACUCGCUGCUGAAACCAAUAUAGCAGUAGCACGCCCGCUCAAAGACGCGCUACUGCUAUAAUUCCCACGAGGCCGCCACGAGGCUAGUUAUAGCAGCAACGCGUUAUAACGACAGGCGCUACUGCUACGUAGCAUAGUAGCAGCGCAUUUCUGCAAUAAGCACUACUGCUAAAUUUACUACAAAAAUUUAGCCCCGUCUCCUCUAUCCGAUCCACUCACACAGUCACACACUAGCUCACUGGAUCCCCUCUCAAUCCCCCGCGCCGGUCCACCCCCGUCGCCCCUUCUCCGUCUGCGCCGCCGUCACCUCCUCCUCCUUGCUGGACUCGGUACCGGCCUCCUCCUCCGUCCUCCCUCUCCACUCGCCGCUGGCCGGCCCCUCCUCGCUCCGCCUUCCUCCUUCGUCCUCCCUCCACUGGCCGCGCCGGCCGGCCCCUCCUCGCUCCGCCUUCCUCCUCCAUCCUACUCUCUUCUCCCUCUUCGAGUCGCCCCUCCUUCUCCCUCCUGCCUGCUACAUUUUGAUUUAGUAGCUAGGCUAGUUCAUAUGCAACAUUUUGAUUUAGUUGAUAUGAUUUAGUUGAUUUAGUAGGCUAGUUGAUUUAGUUGACUUAGAACAUUUUGAUUUAGUUGAUUUAAUAGGCUAGUUCAUUUAGUUGAUUUGGUUGACUUAGAACAUUUUGAUUUAGUUGAUUUAGUAGGCUAGUUCAUUUAAUUAGUUGAUUUAGAACAUUUUGAUUUAGUUGAUUUAGUAGGCUAGUUGAUUUAGUUGAUUUAGAACAUUUUGAUUUAGUUGAUUUAGUAGGCUAGUUGAUUUAGUUGACUUAGAACAUUUUGAUUUAGUUGAUCGUUAAUCCUUUGCUCAUAUUGCUUUAGGAAAAAUGGCGCCACCACCACCACCACUAUGUCGACUGUGCAAGUCAAGAUGCGCCAACAGCCUUGCAACUGAUCAACGUCUCCUUCCGAGCAGAAAGACCCAAGCUAGCUGUCAUUUAUCUCAACCUGGUGGAAGAUGAUGAAGAUGGCGGAGAUGAUGAAGAUGAUGAAGAUAAUGAGGACCCACUCGAUGAAGAUGAUGAGGACCCACUUCAUGAAGCCAUCAUAGCUCAAAGAACAAGGCUGAGUGAGGAGGAGGUGUCCAACCUAUGGGACAUAAUUCCGCCACGUGCUGACUUUGUCGGGGUGCCAUUCGUGACUCGCUUGACAAAUACCAUGGUUGAUCGACAUGAUAUGGUAUGUUAUACUUACAAAUGCAAAUUAUCCAAUGAAUUACUUAGUGUACAGUCCAAUGAUAUGGUAUGAUGUGUGGAAUCUAGUCGAUGAUAUGUUUUAGUGUAGAGUUCGAUCACCUGCUUAUUAGUGUAGAAUCUAACGAAACUAUUAAUAGUGUAGAUAAUCCAUAUGUACUUAUUUGCGAGGCAAUUUAUUAAUUGAUAUGUUUUUCUUAUUCAGAAAUUGGCAAAGAGCAUAUCUGUGAGUUAUGGUAUCGAGCCUGAUGAAGAAGGCUCGGCUGGACUACGCCUUACUGCAAGGGGCUCCGUCACAACCUGUACUGACCGCGUGGAUACGGACGGUCGCACACACUUAAACUCGGUUGGGUGGAAGAAAUUCCUCGAUGGCAAGAAUCUUCGUGUUGGACAGGCCAUCCUAAUUACUAUCAGGAACACCAACCGCCCAGGCUUAAGGAUGAUGAUUGUCUUCGAUAUCAUGUAGAACUACAUAUGUGUGUGUGUGGCUAUAUCAUCUAGAACUAUAUAUGUGUGUGUGGCUAUAUCAUCUAGAACUACAUAUGAUGAUCGUCGUCGAUAUCAUGUAGAACUACAUAUGAUGAUGGCCGUUGAUAUGACCUUGUACUGCUUGAGGAUGCAUGUUGACUAUGCAUGAAAUUGUUAUCUAGUACUCCCUUCGUUCCAAAUUACUCGUCGUGGUUUGAACUAAAACUACGACGAGUAAUUUGGAACGAAGGGAGUACUAUCUAGUAAUGGUUUAUGAAUUUGAUAUCUACUAGCAGUACCUAGUAUCUAGUAUCUGAAAGGGAAACUGAAAGGGAAAGGGGUAAUGGGAAAAUGAUGAAAGAUAUAGCAGUAGCGAGGGAUGGCGAAAUCGCUACAGCUAGGUAAUAGUAGCGCAUUCUUAAAAAGCGUUGCUGAUAUCGUAAACAGUAGUAGCGCGGGUAAGGGCCGCGCUACUACUAUAAGUUAGCUGUAGCGCCUUAUUAGUAGCGCGUCCACCCGCGCUGCUGCUAGCCUCAAAACCCGUGCUACUACUAGGGUUUUCCCUGGUAGUGACUCCUUUCACCAUCCAUUAUUGCUAGCCUCUCUUGUAUCGUGCAACUUUCGCCGGUACCAUACACCCACCAUAUACCUUCCUCAAAACAGCCACCAUACCUACCUAUUAUGGCAUUUCCAUAGCCAUUCCGAAAUAUAUUGCCAUGCAACUUUCCACCGUUCCGUUCAUAUGACACACAUUACUUUUGUCAUAUUGCUCUUUGCAUGAUCAUGUAGUUGACAUCGUAUUUGUGGCAAAGCCACCAUCAUAUUUUUCAUACAUGUCGCUCUUGAUUCAUUGCAUAUCCCGGUAUACCGCGGGAGGCAUUCACAUAGAGUCAUAUCUUGUUCUAGCUUUGAAUUGUAAAUCCAUAAAAGUGUGAUGAUCUUCAUUAUUAGAGCAUUGUCCCGGUGAGGAAAGGAUAAUGAAGACUAUGAUUCCCCCACAAGUCGGGAUGAGACUUCGGACUUUACAAAAAAAAGAAAGGCCAAAAAAAGGCCAAAGAAAAAAAUGAAAGAAAAAAAAGAAUGAGAGAAAAAGAGAGAAAGGACAAUGCUACUAUCUCUUUUUCCACACUUGUGCUUCAAAAUAGCACCAUGAUCUUCAUGAUAGAGAUUCUCAUAUGUUGUCACUUUCAUUUACUAGUGGGAAUUUUUCAUUAUAGAACUUGGCUUGUAUAUUCUAAUGAUGGGCUUCCUCAAAAUGCACUAGGUCUUCGUGAGCGAGCAAGUUGGAUGCACACCCACUGGUUUUCUUUUGUUGAGCUUUCAUAUAUUUAUAGCUCUAGUGCAUCCGUUGCAUGGCAAUCCCUACUCACUCACAUUGAUAUCUAUUAAUGGUCAUCUCCAUAGCCCGUUGAUAUGCCUAGUUGAUGUGAGACUAUCUUCUCCUUUUUUGUCUUCUCCACAACCACCGUUCUAUUCCACAUAUAGUGUUAUGUCCAUGGCUCACGCUCAUGUAUUGCGUGAAAGUUGAAAAAGUUUGAGAUUAUUAAAGUAUGAAACAAUUGUUUGGCUCGUCAUCGGGGUUGUGCAUGAUUAAAUACUUUGUGUGAUGAAGAUAGAGCAUAGCCAGACUAUAUGAUUUUGUAAGGAUAACUUUCUUUUGGCCAUACUAUUUUGAGAAGACAUGAUUACUUGCUUGGUAUGUUUGAAGUAUUACUAUUUCUUAUGUCAAUAUGAACUUUUAUUUUGUAUUAUUUCGAUCUGAAAAUUCAUGCCACAAUGAAAGAAAAUUACAUUAUGAAUUAUGCUAGGUAGCAUUCCACAUCAAAAAUUCUCUUUUUAUCAUUUACCUACUCGAGGACGAGCAGGAAUUAAGCUUGGAGAUGCUUGAUACGUCUCCAACGUAUCUAUAAUUUUGAUUGUUCCAUGCUAUUAUAUUACCUGUUUUGGAUGCUUAUGGGCUUUAUUCUACAUAUUUAUAUCAUUUUUGGGACUAACCUACCAAUCGGAGGCCCAGCCCAUAUUGUUGUUUUUUUGCCUAUUUCAAUAUUUCGAAUAAAAGGAAUAUGAAACGGAGUCCAAAUGGAGUGAAACCUUCGGGAGCGUUAUUUCUGGAACAAAUCUGAUCCGGAGAGCCUGGAGUGCAAGUCAAGAAAGCUCCGAGGGCCCCACGAGAUAGGAGGGCGCGCCCCUUGUCUCGUGGGCCCCUCGGGCGUCCACGGACGUACUUCUUCCUCCUAUAUAUACCUAUGGACCCCGAAAACAUCCAGAGGCACCACGAAACACAAUUUCCACCACCGCAAACUUCUGUAUCCGCGAGAUCCCAUCUUGGAGCCUUCGCCGGCACUCUGCUGGAGGGGGAAUCGACUAUGGAGGGCCUCUACAUCAACAUCCUUGCCCCUCCUAUGAGUUGUGAGUAGUUUACCACAGACCUACGGGUCCAUAUUUAUUAGCUAGAUGGAUUCUUCUCUCUUUUUCGAUCUCAAUAUAAUGUUCUUCCCCUCUCUUGUGGAGAUCUAUUCGAUGUAAUCUCUUUUUGCGGUGUGUUUGUCAAGAUCCGAUGAAUUGUGAGUUUAUGAUCAGAUUCAUCUAUGGUUAUUAAUUGAAUCUUCUCUGAAUUCUUUUAUGUAUGAUUGAGUUAUCUUUGCAAGUCUCUUCAAAUUAUCGAUUUGGUUUGGCCUACUAGAUUUAUCUUUCUUGCCAUGGGAGAAGUGCUUAGCUUUGGGUUCAAUCUUGCGGUGUUCUUACCCAGUGACAGAAAGGGUUGCAAGACACGUAUUUUAUUGUUGCCAUCGAGGAUAGCAAGAUGGGGUUUAUAUCAUAUUGCAUGAGUUUAUCCCUCUACAUCAUAUAAUCUUGCUUAAUGCCUUACUCCGUUCUUACGAACUUAAUACUCUAGAUGCAUGCUGGAUAGCGGUCGAUGUGUGGAGUAAUAGUAGUAGAUGCAGGCAGGAGUCGAUCUACUUGUUUUGGAUGUGAUGCCUAUAUACAUGAUCAUGCCUAGAUAACGUCAUAAUUAUUCGCUUUUCUAUCAAUUGCUUGACAGUAAUUUGUUCACCCACCGUAAUACUUAUGCUCUCGAGAGAAGCCUCUAGUGAAACCUAUGGCCCCCGGGUCUAUCUCUUAUCAUAUUUGCUUUCAAUCUACUUUUAUUUUGCAUCUUUACUUUCUUGCAUCUAUAUUACAAAAUACCAAAAAUAUAUUUAUCUUAUCAUACUAUCUUUAUUAGAUCUCACUUUCGCAAGUGGCCGUGAAGGGAUUGACAACCCCUUUAUUGCGUUGGUUGUGAGUUCUCAAUUUGUUUCUGUAGGUGCGUGGGACUUUUGAGGAGCCUCCUACUGGAUUGAUACCUUGGUUCUCAAAAACUGAGAGAAAUACUUACGCUACACUUGCUGCAUCACCUUCUCCUCUUCGGGGAAAACCAACGCUAGCUCAAGACGUAGCACUCCCCCAUAGCGGUUGAGACAUGUCGGGCUAGGGAUUUACUCCAGACAGCAAUGGUUCAGCAACAGGCUUAUUCGUACAGUCGGGACAUGAUACACACUAACCCUCGUCCAAGUCGGAGUUACAGCCGGCGUGUUGAAGAGCCAGCUGUGUCAAGCAGUGGACGGAAUCAUCAUCCGCCACGGAGGCCUAACCUGGCAGGGGGAAGGAAGCGCAGGAUUUAGUGGACCAAGGACGAGCGCGCCGCGGCACCGGGUUGAAUGCACAGGACAUGGAGCGCCAGCUUACGCCGGUUCGUCCGACCACUACAGUAGAGCCAGCGGUUGCCUUUACCACUUUGGGGGUGUCGUGUCUCACACCGGCCCUGCACAAUGCGCGGUUACCCAAGGACUUCAAGGGCCCUCGGAAAGUACCCAAUUACACUUCUGAUUUACAUCUUGAGUCAUGUGUAGAAAGCUAUGAGAUGGCCAUGGAGAUGCUGGAUGUGGAUGGAGCGGUGUGUGCUAAGUACUUCACUAUGAUGCUAGAAGGAACAACUCGCACUUGGCUAAAGAGUUUACCACCCAAUUCAAUUGGGUCAUGGGAGGAGUUGAAGAGACGGUUUAUCAACAACUUCAAAGAUACUUGCAAGCAACCAAUGUCAAUUGUUGAUCUGGCUGCUUGUGUUCAAGCAGAGGGUGAAUCGACUACCCAUUGGGUACGCCGGGUUUCUGAGAUCUUACAUUCAUCUGAUCGGAUUAAUGCAGAUUCAGCAAUUAUAGUGCUAGAAGGCAAUUCCAAGUUCAAACCUUUGAAGUUCAAGUUGGGGCGGAUGAAGCGUCACUGCAAUGAUAUGGGAACACUCAUGGGGGCUUUGGUUAAAUAUGAUAACUCUGAUAAUACCAAGGAUCCCGAGUAUGACGAGGAAAAGCCGAGGAAGGGAAAGAAGAGCCGCAACACCAAAGGACAGCAACCCAACUCGGCGGGCAACGGUAACAACGGUAAACGAAAAGCAGAUAAUUCAGAUUUUGUGGCUAACACCAAUGUGCAGGGUAAUAAUCAAUGUCUUAAGGGUAAAUCGCCCCAGCGCGGCGGCGGUAUGAAUCUGGAACGUAUGUUGAAUCAGCCUUGCCCGAAGCACGGGACAAAGGAGGUUCUAGCCACGCACCUCUGGAAGGACUAUUUCAUUAUGCGAGAGUUCAAAAUUCUGACCUUUUCCGGUGUGAUCAGGGUCCAUCUGGCGGUUCAGGUCCUGGAUCUCAUGGGCCGGGUUACGGUGGUAGCGUUCAAACUCCGAAUUCCAGGGAAUCAAGGCAAUCAGGGCAAUCAGAAUAGCAGGGUGGUUAUAAUCAGUAGAAUAAUCAGGGAAAUCAGCAGCAGUCGGGUUAUCUGAGUCACCCGAAGCAAUUGAAUAGUGGGCAGUAUCAUGUUUUCACCUCUAGUUUGUGCAAGCGUGAUCAGAAGCUUCACAAGAGAGUAGUAAACAUUGUUGAACCGGCAGUAGCAUGUUACUUACGUUGGUCCGAAUAACCCAUUGUAUGGAGCAGAGAGGAUCAUCCACCCCGGUUGACAAUCCGGGUCAUUUGGCUUUGGUGGUGGCGCCUCAGGUUGGAGGAUAUAAGUUCACCAAGGUGCUGAUGGAUGGAGGGAGCAGUAUCAAUAUUUUAUAUUAUGAAACCUUCUGGCGCAUGGGAUUGACGGAUAAAAAUCUUAAACCGUCGAACACUAUUUUCCACGGAGUGGUACCAGGUAAAUCGGCAUACCCAGUUGGUAAGAUAAAUCUGGAGGUGGUAUUUGGAGAUGAUCAUGAUUCUAGAUCAGAAACCUUAACCUUUGAGGUAGUAAAGAUCCAGAGCCCAUAUCAUGCCCUGUUUGGAUGACCAACUUAUGCAAGGUUCAUGGCAAGGACCUGUUAUUUUAUCUACAGCUCAAGAUGUUGGGUCAUAAGGGGACCAUCACAAUACAUGGGAGACGUAAGAACGCUUUGGAUUGUGAAGAGGGUGAUGCGGCUUAUGCUGGGUCGGUUUGUGCGGCAGAAGAGUUAAAGUUCUACAAGGACAAUGUUGAUCUGGCAGAUAUGACUCCUCUGAAGAAGCCCACCACAGAGCAUGACCCAACCCUGAAGUUUAAACCGGAUGAUGAGACUAAAUUGUUGACUUUGUUACUGGUGAUUCAUCUAAACAGUUUAGUAUCAACACUAAUUUGGAUCUGAAAUAGGAAAGCGCGCUCAUCAAGUUCAUCCGCGAGAACCGGGACAUCUUUGCGUGGAAGCCUUCCGACAUGACAGGUGUACCGAGAGAACUCGCUGAGCACAAUCUCAAUAUUGAUCCCAAGUUUAAACCGAUCAAACAGUUUCUUCAUCGCUUCAACGAAGAAAGGCGCAAGGCCAUUGGCGAAGAGGUAGCCUGGUUGUUCGCUGCUGGUUUUAUCGUUGAGGUUUUUCAUCCUGAGUGGCUGGCCAAUCCGGUACUAGUGCUUAAGAAGAAUGGCACUUGGAGCAUGUGUGUGGAUUACACGGACUUGAAUAAAGCUUGUCCGGCCGAUCCUUUUGCCCUCCCUCGUAUUGAUCAGAUCAUUGAUGCUACGGCGGGUUGUGAGCGUUUGAGUUUCUUGGAUGCUUAUUCUGGUUAUCAUUAGAUCAAGAUGGCAGUUAAGGACCAGGAGAAAACAACUUUUAUCACUCCCUUUGGAGCCUUCUUUUAUGUAUCUAUGCCCUUUGGGAUCAAGAGUGCCCAGGCAACUUAUCAGCAUUGUGUGCAGAAUUGUCUUCAUACACAGAUUGGGCGCAAUGUUCAUGCUUAUGUGGACGAUAUUGUGGUAAAAUUCAGAAAAAAGGAGACAUUGAUUGACGACUUGAAGGAGACCUUUCACAAUCUUCGGGUUUACAAGAUGAUGCUCAAUCCGGCCAAAUGCGUUUUCGGUGUUCCGGCAGGCAAGCUCCUAGGUUUCUUGGUGUCUAACAGGGGCAUUGAGGCUAAUCCAGAAAAAAUCAAGGCUAUUACGUCUUUGGCUAAACCGGCAUGUAUCAAUGAUGUUCAACGUCUAGCAGGUCGGAUUGCAGCUCUGAGCCGGUUUAUCAGCCGUUUGGGAGAGAAGGCGAUCCCUCUAUAUCAGAUGUUGAGAAAGAAAGACACUUUUGUCUGGAGUAACGCUACUGAUGCGGCAUUUGAGGAUUUGAAGAGGCAGUUGGUUGAGCCGCCGGUCCUUGCCGCUCCGGUCGACAAUGAACCACUGUUAUUGUAUGUGGCUGCUAAUGUCCAGGCUAUCAGCGUGGCUAUUGUGGUCGAGCGCAAGGAGGCGGGGAUGGAAUAUCCGGUUCAAAGGCCUGUUUACUAUAUCAGCGAAGUGCUCAUCGAGUCAAAGCAAAGAUAUCCGCAUUGGCAGAAGCUGGUGUAUGGGGUUUUUAUGGCAAGCCGGAAGCUUAAGCAGUACUUUCAGGGCCAUCCCAUCAGAGUGGUCAGUUCUGCUCCUUUGGGCGAUAUAAUUCAGAACAGGGAGGCAACUGGCCGGGUUGCAAAGUGGGCUAUUGAGCUUGGACCGCACGGGCUGAAGUACAUGCCUCGGACAGCUAUCAAGUCUCAAGCACUUGUCGAUUUCAUCAAUGAUUGGACAGAGUUGCAGGCACCGAAAGACAAACUGGAUAACACAUACUAGACUAUCCACUUCGAUGGGUCCAGGCAAUUGGAGGGCUCGGGGGAUGGAGUUGUCCUUACUUCCCCUCAAGGUGAUAAAAUUCAUUAUGUUCUCCGCUUAAUGUUUCCUUGUACUAACAAUGCAGCUGAGUAUGAAGCCUUGCUCCACGGUCUUCACGUGGCUAAGGAAAUGAACUUAAGACGGGUACGAUGCUUUGGAGACUUUGAUCUGGUGGCUCAGCAAGUUUCUGGUACUUGGGACUCUAAGGAUCCGCUCAUGGCGGCUUACAGACAAGAGGUGGAUAUUGUGGCUGGUCACUUCAAGGGUUAUCAGGUUGAGCACAUUGACCGACGCAAAAAUGAAGCAGCAUAUGCUUUAAGCCGGCUGAGGUCUCACCGCAAACCGGUGCCACCCAAUACCUUUCUGGAUAUCCUGCAUAACCCGUCAGUUAAGUUGCCUACAGAGGAGGAUUUGGCUAUUCCUGAUCCGGAGGCACAGUUGGUGGUCGCUUUACAUGUUAUUCCGGAUUGGACGGUUCCAUAUUUGGCGCAUAUGAACCGGGGCGAGUUACCAGAAGAUGAAGUUUUGGCCAGACAGAUAGUUCAGCGAUCUAAGUCCAUGGUUAUUCACAAUGGCGAGUUACAUCACUUCAGUGUCUCAGGUGUGUUCCAGCACUGUGUUUCUCCUGAAGAGGGCCAAGAAAUUUUGCGUGAGAUCCACGAAGGAGAUUGUGGUCACCACGCUGGUUCAAAGUCCUUGGUUGCUGAAGCCUUUCGGCAUGGCUUCUACUAGCUGACGGCUCAUGCUGAUGCUCAGGAUUUGGUGAAACAGUGCGACGCUUGUCAGAAAUUCUCACGCAGCGCUCAUGUUCCGGCUCAAGAGCUAAGGAUGAUUCCAAUCACUUGGCCGUUUGCUACUUGGGGGCUUGAUAUGGUAGGACCUUUUAAGCGAUCCAAAGAUAAAAAGACCCACCUGUUGGUGGCGGUUGACAAAUUCACUAAAUGGGUUGAAGCGGAGCCAGUAAGCAAGUGUGAUGCAGGCACGGUGGUUCAAUUCAUAAAGAAGGUGAUCUUCCGCUUUGGCUUUCCACACAACAUCAUCACAGAUAAUGGCACGAACAUUUCCAAAGGUGAAAUGGAGGACUUCUGUCAAAGAGAGCACAUCCAGCUUGAUGUGUCAUCAGUGGCCCACCCUCAGUCUAAUGGUCAACCUGAGAGAGCUAAUCAGGAAAUCUUGAAGGGUAUCAAGCCCCGGCUUAUGGUUCCUUUGAAGAGGACGGCGGGUUGUUGGGUUGAAGAAUUGCCUUCUGUGUUAUGGAGCAUAAACACCACCCCAACCGGUCUACGGGUUAUACACCUUUCUUCAUUGUUUACGGGGUAGAGGCGGUCCUCCCAAGUGAUAUUCGUCAUGACUCGCCCCGGGUUGCCAAUUAUCUUGAAGAGGACAACGAGCAGGCACGUCAAGAAGCAUUGGACCUGUUAGAUGAAAAACGGGACAUGGCAUUGGCUCGCUCGGCGGUUUAUCAGCAAGACCUGUGGCGUUAUCACAGCCGCCGUGUUAAAACAAGAACCUUUCAAGAAGGCGACUUAAUGCUUCGGCUCAUCCAGGAUCACACCAAUAUGCACAAGCUAUCCCCACCUUGGGAAGGACCCUUUGUGGUCAGCAAGAAUCUUCAUAAUGGGUCAUACUACCUCAUUGAUGUUCGAGAGCACGCAGACUCACGCAAAGCUGAGGAGGAGACCUGGCGGCCGUGGAACAUAGCUCUCCUUUGGCCUUACUACACUUGAGCCAUAGGCUCCUCUUAUAUACAUAUUUUGACAAUGUAUAUAUUAUGAUCAAUAUAAUAAAUCGACAUCCUUGCUAUAAGCAGGGCCUCUGCUGUUUUUCCAAUAUCUCUUGAUGACAUGGGGGCUUCAGCUGACAAAGUGGAGUUCUAUCUGUCAAUCCGGCUAUCACGCCCUAACAUAGCUUUGGAGCUUCACACCCAAGGGGCCAAAGAGAGUCUUGUUGCUAUGCAUAGCUCAAACAUAGGCACCCAUAGAGCACAACUCACAAAGUUACUUGGGGGCUCUUUAUGCAAUGCAGCAAAGAGUUUGAAAGGACCCUUGUAAUAUGCUAUCAAGCACGGCUUGGAAGCCUGGUGUAUUCACCUAAAACCCCGGGUUAACAUGCCUUAUCAAGUAAGCCACUCCUAUCCAGGUAAUCCUGGCACGACCCGCCGAACGUUUGACAAGUCAAUCUUAUACAGACCCUGAACUUGUCAAAGUUAAAACGACGAUUGGUUAGUUGGAGGCCCAUCUUGAAAGGCUUUGCAAAAUGGUUUAACUCAGUGACCUGGCAGCCCAUGAAAAGCCUCGAAUUUGGGCCCGGCAGCCCUUGAAAAGCCUCGACUACACGGUUUGUUUGCCUUUAUCAAGAUUUUUCUCUUUUGAUAAAGUGUUGUGUUGAACCGGCGUCUAUUGACCCGGCAUGACUAUUAGUCAUUAAAUUAACCCGGUGUUUGUUAACCCGGUUUGGUUUUCAACUACAAGUUGACAGACCACAUCCAAUUGUAAACCAGAGUUUAUUAACCUGGUCUGGCAUUGACUAUACGUCACCAGGUUGAUCAUCCGGUGUUUAUCAUAACCCGGCAUGGUUUCUUAUGCACCAGUACAGCAUGGUGUGAGUUGUUAAACGCAAGUCUUGGGUUAUCACCCUUAUUACAAUCAAGUUGGUAAACCAACUAUGUGAUUCAAACAUCACAUGUAUGAUUUAAUUCAUAUUUUCAUAUUCCUAUAGCAUUGGUUAUAAACCAAGCUUUAUAUUGGAUAUUAUUAUUCGUCCGGCGGUAAACCACCAGGACAAUAUUUCCAUUCUAUCUUGUGCAGGAAUAAGAUUGCAUAAAAAUACUAAGGCAUAUAAGCAAGUACAACAAUAAUCCUGAUGGAUCAAAUAGUAUCAUGCAACACUACACGAUGGCGGUGGAUCAAAGUAUUUCAACUAGCCUAUUACAAGGCACUCGGAUGCCCAAGAGAAUAAAGUAUUUAUUUCACAGAAUUCAAUCUAUGGAAAUUAAACCGGCCGAUGGUCUACGAUUCAUCACCAGGUUAACGUGAAGUUGACAGAUCAUCUAGCGCCGGUUCACCCUCCUCCUCCCCAUCCACUGGCUGGAAGUCAAUGUUUGCCCAGUCAAUUCCAGACAAAGCUCGGAAGACGGCUUCAUCACUUAUAAGAUCUGACGGUUCAAUGUCAGGGGCAUAAGUAUGCUUACGGAUUGGUGGGAUAAGAUUCUGCACUUCAUUCACAGAUGCAUCAAUCCGUUUGUUAUCUGCAUCAUAGUUGGACCGAUGGACAGACAAGUCAGUUACUUUGGCCAAUCUGCUCGCAAGCGGGCGCAUCUCCUUCAUCAAAGCUUUAAGGGCAUCAUUGUCAAAGUGUGACCCGUAUGCUAUUUGGCUUGGAUAGCCAUUUCCAAUGUUCUCCGGAUCAAGAUCAGCUAUCCAACCUUUGGCCCGACUGAGUGCAGAUAAAGCGCCAGCCCUUGCAGUAGAUCUCUUCAAUUCUUCCAGCUGAGCAGGAGUCAUAGAUAAUCUGGCCAAUGUAUCCAUGAUUAAGGUCGGUGGUGGUUUAUUGUAUGAGGCUGCGCGGAUGACCCGUUGAGCGCCAGUAUACAACUGCUCUAUCAAUGUGUAGGCAGCCUUCAACUUUUUUCGCAUAUCUGAGCCAUGAUGAGCAAUACGACUACCUGCAAUGGUUUAAGAAAUUACUGUUAAACCGGCAUGAUCAAAGAUGUUUCCUAAAAAGCUGAAGAAGAGUACUUACCAAAGAUAGCAGAAGUCAUCGCAUCGAUUUGCCGCUUAAAGCCACUCAGCUCUUCUGCUACCGGUUUAAGUGCUGCUUCAGCAUCUUCAGCCCAUUUCAGCAAAGCGGCCUUUUCAGUCUCCCAGCCUGCCCGCUCGUUCUUGAAGCCAUCCUUCAAUUGUUCCAUGGACAUCAAAGCGUCCUUCAAAUCAUGUGUUGCUUUUGAGGUUGCAGCUUGCUGGGACUUAAUGUUUUCCUGGAGGUCGGCAAUUUGGGCAUCCUUGCUGGUUAAGUCAGCCUGCAAAAGGCAGAUAUUAAGAUGGUAAUACUUUUUUCAUAGUCCCAAGCACAUAACAAGUUAUACACUUGGCACUUGGGGGCUAAUGCGGAUUGUUUCUCUCAAGCUGAUAUUUUAAAGUCCCAAGGCUCAAUACAAGUAUUCAUCUUGGCACUUAGGGGCUAAUGCUUAUUUGAUCAUAUAAACUGGAUAUGAAGGAACUCAACAAGGAUAAGCCUUGCAACAUAAAGUACCGGUUCAUCUUCAAGAAGAUAAACCAGCCCUUGGGGGCUACACAGUUGAAGUUUUUCAUAUUGAAGUACCGGUUCUUCUUCAAGAAGAUAAACCGGCCCUUGGGGGCUACACUGGAGUAGACAUGAAGCAAAAGAAUAGUUUUAUGAAAUGGUUCGAGCAAUAAUUACCUCAUAGCGCUCCUUCAUCAAGUUGACUAAACCGGCUUCAUAGUCACAACUUGUGUAUAGGCGGUUUAGAAAUCCAGAGUGGAGUUCCUGAGCAGUGAGGUUAGCACAACUGGCUAAAUCAGUCUUCCACUUGCCUUUGCCCAUAGCAGCAACUUCUUCCUUGGCAGUAUGCUUCGCUAGAGCAACCGGGUUACCAGGAAUAGUAUGACCAGUACCAGUAAUGACAACGUCGUCAUCACCAUCUUUGGUUGUGCUUGGCGGAAUAUCAGUAUUCCUGGUUGGACUUGGCGGAUGGUCUUCAUCCUUGGCUGGACUUGGCGGAUCAGUAGGAUGGUUCAUAACAUUACUCUCAUCCGGUUCAACAAAAGUAUCUUGAACCGGAGGUACUGGAUCUUCCUGAACAACAUCGGUAUCCAGGUCAUGAGGUUCAAGGGUCUUCUCCGAUUCAAGGGUAUGAUUAUCAUCAAUUGGAACAGUGAAUUUGGCUUUCUUGCUAAGCCUGCCUUUAGCACUGAGAAGAGUAAAGUACAGGCAUUAGUACAGUAAACCGGAGCAACAUAUAAAGUAAGUAUACUGCACUUACCCAGGGACGGUCUUGAGUGGAGGCAUCUGUGUGGUCAAUGAAUCGCCAGAGGAUGAAUUGGAAGCUCCCUGAUAAUUUGAAUCAGACGAAUUAAGAGGAUAUCGAAAGCAACCCGCCUUGGGAUAAGAUGUAUUGGAAGUACAAGAGACCUCUGGUCGGCGUUUGCGAAUCGGAGUAUCCGGUAAACCAGAGGAUGUAACCUGUUGACCACUGUGACGAGUUGUGCGACGAGCCUCAUGUUGAUGUGUCUUCAAAGAAAAGUGCGGAUCCAAAUGAGCAAGAGGAUGUGAAUGUUUUACUUUCCGGACUGCGCGAUGGAGUUUCUGUACCGGCACAUGAUCUGAAUCAGAGGAAAGGGAAAUUACCUCUACAUGGUCAGCACGACUUGCCUCCACAUCAUCCCGAUAAUGAUUAUUGUCAAUAAGGUGCAUGAAAAGUGAACCAAGUGAAUCAAUUUCUACCUCCGUGUCUGAGUCAUCAACAUCUUCGGCCGGAUCAGAGGAUUCGGCGGUUCUCUUCUUAGCAGACUUCUUGGUAACCUUGGACUUAGCCUGAGGCGCUCUCACCGGUUUGUCUUGAGCUUUGGCCGGUUUGACCAGCGUUUUCCUCUUCCAAAAUGGAUCAUUGCUCUGCAAAGGUAAACAGAAGGGCUGUCAGAAAGUGUCAAAAAGGGCGGAGUAAAAUAGGAAAAAUGCAAUUCUUACAGCUGGCGGUUUAUGGAGAGCACAUAAUGGACGCAGCCCAGUUUUGCUGCAUUCAGCUACCAGUUCAUCCAGCAUCCGCUUGACAAAUUCAGUAAUCACGUCAUCAGUCAAUUGAAUGUCAAUAUAAUGUUGAGCAUCUUUCACAUCUCCUGUAUACUCGCACAUUAAACCGGAACGACGACUUAAAGGCAAGAUACUCCAUGAGACCCAGCAACGGACAAGAUCGAUACCGGUCAAACCGUUUGCCAUAAAAGCCCGGACCUUAGAGAUCUGUGUGGCAUAUUUCAUUCGCUCCUUAGCAGUCAGACAUUGAGGCAGUGGAUGUUCAUUACUAAGCCGGUGAGCACAAUAACCCGGCAGAGGGUUUUCAUCUUCAGGGGCAAUGUUCCGGCAGUAAAACCAGGUUUGGUUCCAAUCCUUGGGGUGGCUAUGAUGUUUGGCAUGAGGAAAACUAACUUCUUUCCUCUUCUGUAUUGACACCCCGCCAAGUUCAGUAUUGGGGCCAUCGAUGAAUUCAGUAUCGCGGUUCAAGUGAAAGAAACCUCUAAAUAGCUCAACGGUUGGUUCCUCUUGCAGAUAAACCUCACAAAACAGUUGAAAGUUGCAAAGGUUGGACAUAGAGUUUGGUCCAAUGUCUUGAGGGUGGAGUUGAAGGCUGGCAAGUACAUCACAGAAAUUUUUUGAUCCAGGAGGGCUAAACCCCUGGUCCAGAUGAUGUACAGACACAAUCACCUCUCUGUCUUGAGGUUCAGGAGGACAUUCAGUACCUGGGACACUCCAAUGAAUAAUUUCCUCUUUUGCUAAAUUGCCAGUCACAACGUACUCAGUCAGUUGUUCUUUAGUGACCCGGGAACGGACCCAAUUGCAAGUAGAGAACUGCUUGGCCAUUGUUGAUGACAACUGUAAAAGAAGUUCAAAAUGCCGGUUCACGGUUCAAUAUUGAUAUGUAUAAACUGGGGUCAAACCGGAGGAUUUAGUCAGAGCAUAUGUGCACGUCAAACCGAAUUCUUAUGUUUAGGUUAAGUUGGCGGUUUAAGUGAGGGCUAAUGGUGCCUGGCGGAUUGUCAUUUUCUAAAGGUUAAACCGCCUAUAGUGGAGGAAGUAGAUCCGAACAUUUCACUAAGUACUGUAGAAACAUGUUUCACAGGAUGGUGUUAUAAUUUUGGAUCUACUGCGGUUCAGUAAACAAAAAUUUCUGAACCCUAGAAUGGAGACAUCAGAACAGCGAAGAUCUAGAUGGGAUUUAUCCAGGAACGAAGAGAUACUAUGGUGAAGCAAACUAAAGCUACAGCUUCGGCCGCAAAAGGAGGAUAUCAAGUUUAUAUAGAUUCGAUGAUACAAUAAGGGCAAAGAGACGAACGAGGAUGAACACUGAUGAACACGGACGAACACCAAAAUCCUAAUACAGAUCUGAUAAGUUGGGAACAGGAGAACUUACUGGGGCUGCGGGGCAGCGGAAGAGCGUCGCAGUGUUUCUGGUCAAGAACAGGUUGAUGCAGUGGCCUUGUUGGUGCAGAUGCAAAAGUCGACGGCGCCGGUGAUGCUUGAGCUCUUCGGAGUCGCGAGGAAGAAGAAGAGGCAAGGGGGAAAAAGGAAAGGACCCCUGGGCCUAUUUAUAAGGCGAAUGGAUAAGUAAGGCAAGCGCAUGAAUCGAGGAGCCCGAAAAUGAAUGGGGCACAACUGUUGCCUCGAUCUUCGGAGAUCAAUUAAUAAAAAGAAAUCUUUAUGAGUUUUUUACGCAGAUGACGUCACAUCGGUUUAAUGUGAUUCCCGAAGAUGACGUCACGACAGUUUACAAGGACAACAUGGAGAUGUUCAAAUCAGAGUUUCUUUAAGUGGAAGAUUGACAUGAACAAGUUCAAAUCAAUCUGGGGCCUAAUGUUGGGGAUAUGACUACUGAGUUAAACCGCCCAGGAAAGGGCCGGAUUAACUCACAAGGAUUCCUGUACAAGAGCCCAUGAAGAUGAAGGCUAUGGCGCUUUAACCAUGAAGACUUAGAGUCCCAGAGCCCGAUGGCGGAUUAGGGCCCAUAAUGGUAAACCACCAUAGAUGUGUAACUUCUGUUGUAAGUCAAGGAAAGGAGAAACCGAGCUGGACACUUGUAUGAGCCGGCCUCGGGAUUAUGUAAACCGGCCGAGCGUCAACCUGUGUAUAUAAAGGGACGACCAGGCGGCGGUUCAGGGACAAGAAACAACAACUAUAAAGCCAGGCAUAGCGUGUUUGCUCCCUGGUAACCGAGACCACAUCAAAAACACCCCAACUGGAUCGUAGGCUUUUACCUUCACCGCAAGGGGCCGAACCAGGAUAAACUCCCCGUGUCCUUUGUCCGGUUUAACCCCAUUAAGCUAACCCGUCGCGAUGGCUCCACGACUAAGUCCUUUCACUAGGACAUCUGACAUGAUAAUUCCACGACAACCCCCAUGGCGGUUCACUCAUGGGCCACUUCAGGCAGCCCAUGUCGCAUACAAGGAUUAUUCCACAAGACUUGGUGAUCAAGACAAGGACUCCUAUCCACCAACGUAUUCGGCUAGGACUCUUGUUAUCCUAGGCCUCUGGUGCAUUAUAUAAGCCAAGGCUAGGCUAGUCGAUAGAUCAUUAUGAAAAUCAUACAAGCUAGACUUCUAGGGUUUAGCCAUUACAAUCUUGUGGUAGAUCAACUCUUGUAAUACUCAUAUUCAUCAAGAUCAAUCAAGCAGGAAGUAGGGUAUUACCUCCAUAGAGAGGACCCGAACCUGGGUAAACAUCGUGUCCCCUGUUUACUGUUACCAUCGACAUUAGACGCACAGUUCGGGACCCCCUACCUGAGAUCCACCGGUUUUGACACCGACAUUGGUGCUUUCAUUGAGAGUUCCAUUGUGUGAUCGGUAAAGGAUCGAUGGCUCGUCUGCAGAUUAACUGCGACGUCAGCAUCUUUGUCAUCAGCUCGACUGGUCAACUCGGCUUGACCGAGGACUGUGCCCUACCUCCGAUAGUCAUGUUCGAACGAGUGCCUUCAUUAACAUCAACUCCGAUCUCGAUCAUGAUCAUGGAGGAAUUAUCCUUGGAGCUCGGGGGCUCAACGUCAACACUGCCCUCAGGCGACCGAGCUAUUUUCCCGGAGAACAAACUUGUAUCCCCUGCCACCACCUCCUCGAGCAUCGCUUUGAUGAUUCCUUCGAUGGAAUUGUGUGGAAUUAUGUCUAUAACAACCAUGCAAAAUUUCGCGAGUUCCGAUGGAGGAAUCUCCGGCAAUCUACGAUAUACCAGAGCCUUGUCAAAUUUGGACAAGAAUCUGGACGAUUUUAGGGCGUGGUCUCCAGAUCCAAGCUCGCUCGGAGGUCCUUUGGAAGAUCCAACCGUUCCUCCGCUGCGGAAUUCUCAUAUCUACCACCCCUCAAACUUUCAGCUCGAUCUGACGGUUGAAACUCCAGGAACGUUCCGAUGAGUGGACCAAUUUUCUCAUGUUUUUUCUUCGCGAGAACAAAUCCGAGCCUAGUUCAUCUUUUUUAUGAACGGGAUUUCGGACAUCCUUUUUGAAGGAAGUUCUGUAUGGGGUAUUGUGUUUUGUUCCCAAACACAUCCCACAAAUUUUAAAGUCUUUCCCAAUAUGGUCUUCAAUGCACCGGUGUCAAACCAGCCUGACAACGUUACUCCACGGCUGCCGACCUGCGUUAAACAAGUCGUCCCUUUGUUGAGCCGAUCUCAACUUCUUCGGAUCAUCAUCUCAGCAAGCCGGACAAGUGUUCGGCACCGUGAAGGAUAGAUCACCACCAACAUCGCCGCCCCACGGAUCAUACGGAGCGGGCACACCGGCAUCGCCGCACGGUCACUUCAUCGAGCUGGCAUUUACCGCGUCAUAAGUUAUGACCUGCACCGUCAUGUGGCGGCAUUGUUGGUUCUUCAAGCCGAUGUCCAUCACGCUGAACUGCUUCAAUACCUCGGCUGACACGGCAGCUGCAAUGUCUCCUUACCGACCUGCUCCGUCACCUCGGCUAGACCGGGGGCUUCGCCAUCCCUUCUUCAACCUACUUCGGAGACUUCGGCGUCGUCAACCGACUAGCUUAGUCACGUUAUCUAGACCGGGGCUUUGCCUCGGUGAGCCAACCCUUACCAGCAUCACCAUGCCGUCACUUCACCGCCAUUAGGCAAUGGGUGUGCGGAUCAAUUCUCAAUUUUGGGAGUCACUUUUCUUCGGACUGCUACAACAAAUAAACCAGGUGCUAUUAAUCCUAGCAAUUUUUGCUUAUUUGGGUUUUAUUUUUCUCAAGAAAUUAUUAUUCUGCUUCGUUCCAUCAUCUGUACACAGGCCUAUCAAAUGGCAGCCACAUUAACAACGGUCGCGUGGUGGUUCGGUCAGUUUCCGUACAUAGUUUGGCGAACGCCGCAUCCGGAACUCGGACUGACCUUUGAAUUCAGGCUUUGCCACGCCUUUACCACAUCACGUUGUUGUCUGGCAUCGACAUUGACUUCGGCGCUAUGACACAUAUUUUUAAAUAAAUUAUCUUGCGUAAAUUAAUUACGCGAGGAUUUUUAUAUUAUUAUUGUCGGCCUGCACUAUUUUACUUGUACAUGUAAUCGACUUCGACUGCGUCACUUGGUCACUUUGACAAGCCGACGCCGUCGUCCCAAUCGGCUUAAAUCAGCUCGCGUGAUUACCUUGUUUGUCGAAUUGCCAUACCGACAUGCUCGGUCGCUUUGGGGACUUCGGCAUCGCUGAGAGAGCCCUACCUCAUCGACUGUUCCACACACGAGCCAUAUUUCUUUUAUUACUCACUUUGCAUAAAUUAUUAAUUAAUUAUUUAUUUAUUAUUACUACUAUUAUCUCCGGUUUGCACUAUUUUCUGUGCACACGUAAAUGAUUCGGGUCGGGCAGUGUUAUCUCCUCGGCGUACUGACAUAGCACGUCACCUCGGCUGGACUGGGGGUUUCGUCAUUGAGGGAGUCCUAGAUUAGGGGGUAUUCGGACAGCCGGACUAUAUACUUUGGCCGGACUGUUGGACUAUGAAGAUACAAGAUUGAAGACUUUGUCCCGUGUCCGGAUGGGACUCUCCUUUGCGUGGAAGGCAAGCUUGGCGAUUCAGAUGUUAGAUCUCAUUCUCUGUAACCGACUUUGUGUAACCCUAGCCUCCUCCGGUGUCUAUAUAAACCGGAGUGUUUUAGUCUGUAGGACAAGAACAAUCAUAAUCAUAGGCUAGCUUCUAGGGUUUAGCCUCUACGAUCUCGUGGUAGGUCAACUCUUGUAUUACCUCCAUCGAGAGGGCCCAAACUUGGGUAAACAUCGUGUCCCCAGCCUCCUGUUACCAUUGUCCUUAGACGCAUAGUUUGGGACCCCCUACCCGAGAUCCGCCGGUUUUGACACUGACAUUGGUGCUUUCAUUGAGAGUUCCUCUGUGUCGUCGCUGUAAGGCUCGAUGGCUCCUUCAAUCAUCAACAAGGACGCGGUCUAGGGUGAGAUUUUUCUUCCCGGACAAAUCUUCGUGUUCAGCGGCUUCGAACUACGGGCCAAUUCACUUGGCCAUCUGGAGCAGAUCGACAGCUAUGCCCCUGGCCAUCAGGUCAGGUUCGGAAACUUGAAUUACACGACCGACAUCCGCGGAGACUUGAUCUUUGACGGAUUCGGGCCUACUCCAGGAGCGCCGGACGGUCACGACGGGAACGACUUAGACCGGUUGUCGGACGGUAUUCGGGAUAACGCACCUGCAGCGGCUCUGGACCUAAAUCCAAGGCAGAUCGCGUCGUCCGAGGACGGGUGGAUGGACCCCGCCACGGAGGCCGCAUACUCAUCGGCGGUAGAGCCGAACACAGACUCCACCUCUAAGGAAAUCUGUGUCACCGGACCCCAGGACGUGUCUCCGGCCUCAGGUUCCAGAUCGCGUGCAUCCGGGCCUAUCGAAUUUGAUUGGGCUCCGAUAAUGGAGUUCACCACCACGGAUAUCUUUCAGCACUCGCCCUUGGGCGAUUUGCUGAAUUCAUUAAGGUCUCUCUCUUUGUCAGGAGACUCUUGGCCGAACUAUGUCCGGCUCGAGUGGGAAGCAGAUGACGAAGAAAUUCGUCACCCACCCACCACCCACUUCAUUGCCACUGUCGAUGAUUUAACCGACGUGCUCGACUUCGACUCCGAAGACAUCAACGAUAUGGACGACGAUGCAGGAGAAGAACGGGAACCACCGCCCACAGGGCGCUGGACAGCCACCUCCUCAUAGUAUACAUAUAUAUGGUGGACACACCCAAAGAAAACAAUGGCGAUGAGGCAACAGAGGAUAACCCCUUAGGAAAGCAAUCAAAGCAUGGGCAUCACCGAUGCCGCUCUAAGCCCCGCCACAGCAACACCGGCACAGGAGACGAAAACAAUCCGGAUGGUGCCGAAGAUUAAUAUAAUCCCAAUCAACCUACCUUCGAGCAGACCGAACAGGAGGACGGGAAAGCUAGCCCAGAUGAACAGGCGAUGGACGGAGACUUGGAGGAUGACAAUUAUAUGCCUCUCUGCGAAGAUGGGGUGAGCCUAGGCGAUGAUGAAUUCGGCGUGCCUGAGGAUCCCGUAGAGCAGGAGCGCUUCAAGCGCCGGCUUAUAGCCACUGCAAGAAGCCUGAAGAAGAAGCAGCAGCAGCUCCAAGUUGAUCAAGAUCUGCUCACAGACAGAUGGAAUGAGGUCCUGGCAGCCGAGGAAAACGGACUCGAGCGCCCCACCAAAGGUUACCCAAAGCACAAGUUGCUACCUCAACUCGAGGAGGAGGCCAUAGAGCCUACACUACUAGCACAGGACGAGGCUGACCAGCCACCUCGUGGCCGAGACAAAGGGGUGUAUUAGCCCGAAUACCAACCCGCACCCCGACGCCCAUAUACUAUGGCCCGGGGCAAUACACAGGACCUGCGACAUAUUGGAAAACAAUGCAGGACAACCAAGAUCGAUCUACGGAUCGCGGGGGCGCGUCACAUCACAUGACGAUGAUCGUCAUGCCGGAUACACUAACAAUAAGUUCGACCGGGCCGAACAUAACCGACCAGACUUAGUUGGACUGCGUCGUGACAUAGCCCGGCAUAGAGGCGCCGCACACCCCCUCUGCUUCACUGAUGAAGUAUUGGAUCAUGAAUUCCCAGAAGGGUUCAAACCCGUAAACAUCGAAUCAUACGAUGGCACAACAGAACCCGCGGUAUGGAUCGAAGAUUUCCUUCUCCACAUUCACAUGGACCGCGGUGAUGAUCUACAUGCCAUCAAGUAUCUUCCCCUUAAGCUUAAAGGACCAGCCCGACACUGGCUGAAUAGCCUGCCGGCGAACUCCAUCGACAAUUGGGAAAAUUUGGAUGACGCGUUCCUCGACAACUUCCAAGGGACCUACGUGCGACCACCACAUGCUGAUGACUUAAGUCACAUUACCCAACAGCCCGAAGAGUCAGCCAGGAAAUUCUGGACUCGGUUCCUAACUAAAAAGAACAAAAUUAACGACUGUACGGAUGCCGUAGCCGGCCUUUAAGAAUAAUAUCCGUGACGAGUGUCUUGCCCGACACCUCGGCUAAGAAAAACAGAAAUCCAUGGCGGCCCUCACGACACUCAUGACCCGCUUUUGCGCGGGCGAGGACAGCUGGCUGGCUCGCAGUAGCACCACGCCAAGAGACUCUGGCACCUCAGAUGUCCGCGAUAGUAACGGCAAGCCUCGGCACAACAUACAUAAGCGUCGGAACUAUGGCGACAACACCGAAGACACGACAGUCAAUGCCGGAUUCAGUAGCUCCAAAUCCGGUUAGCGGAAAAAGCCGUUCAAAAGAAACAAUCCGGGAUUGUCUAGUCUGGACCGCAUACUCGACCGCUUGUGCUAAAUUCACGACACCCAUGAUAAACCAGCUAACCAUACUAACAGAGAUUGCUGGGUGUUCAAACAGGCCGGCAAGUUGAAUGCCGAGAACAAGGACAAGGGGCUGCACAGCGACGACAACGAGGAGCCCCAACGGCCGAACACAGGGGGACAGAAGAAAUUUCCUCCCCGAGUGAAAACGGUGAAUAUGAUCUAUACCACCCACAUCCCCAAGUGGGAAUGAAAGCGUGCACUAAGGUACGUUUACACGAUGGACCCGGUCGUCCCAAAGUUCAACCCAUGUUCAUCCUAUCCGAUCACUUUCGAUCGCAGGGACCACCCUACCAGUAUCCAUCAUGGCCUGAACCUGCUUUACCAGGACACAGUGUGCAAAAUGGGCAUUGAUCCCUCAAGGAUCAAACCCACCAAAACUACCUUUAAAGGUGUAAUUCCAGGCGUAGAGGCCUAUUGUACGGGCUCAAUAACACUGGAAGUGGUCUUCGGAUCUCCAGAUAACUUCCGAAGGGAGGAGUUAAUCUUUGAUAUCGUCCCUUUACGUAGUGGCUAUCAUGCACUGCUUGGACGAACCGCAUUUGCUCGAUUCAGUGUGGUACCACACUACGCAUACCUCAAGAUGAAGAUGCCAGGACCUCGAGGGGUCAUAACAGUCAAUGGAAACACAGACCGCUCUCUCUGUACGGAAGAGCACACUGCGGCCCUUGCGGCAGAAGUACAAAGCAGCCUUCUUCGGCAGACCGCCAAUUCGGCGAUGACAACCCCGAACACCAUCAAGCGAGUCCUGAGUACUCUGCAACAGGAUCGGCAGGCACGCCAAGAGCUCAACUAGCAAUCUGGCCUCCAUCCAAGUCCCAUUCAGGCCGCAUUUGUGUCGCGCGUACACAAUUACGGACUCAAAAUACCACGGGCAUAGGCGGAGGCGCGAUGAUGAUGCGGUCCACAAUGCGGCUCAACCGCCACGAGACCCGCAUACCUCUAUAACCUUCUUUCUUUUUCAGGACCCUACUUUCGGGCAGCCCCUUCAGAGAGCCUAAUCAUCGGACUCGUCAUAGGAGGGACAACCAAGGGGGCAAGAGGCUUUGCACACAAGGGAAUACUUAGGUGGUCUUUGUUAACGAUCAUUAUGCCUGUUUUACAUACCCACAUGCAGCCUGCCCUUGGAUAGGACAUGUCAAAUAGUACUAUUUUUGCUUGUCGCAUUAACUUGUACACAUACGCUUUGACAUAUUAUUUAAAUAACAACGGGAAACAAUAUACAGCGUCAACUUAUUAUUACUAUUUUCAUAUUUUCCCUGGACUGUUUAUUUAAUAUUGCAUCCCUACACUCUGGUACGUUCAGUUUGCUAGGGGCUUUUUAUUGUGCCCCAUAACACGGCAAGAAAAGUCCGAACACUUUUGAUAUUGCGGCACCCCGAACUUAUAGCAUUAUAUGCAUCUGCCCCGAAUCAUGUAUUGGGUCAAUAGUUGGGUUUGGCGGGCUCCCUUGUUUUGGUACCUUACGUUCCGUUAUAUCGGCUAAGGUAGUGCAGGGAGAACUACUGCGAUUGUGUCCCAGUUCUUCCGGACGAGCAUCUCAGUAGAGAAAGCGGAAAACUGACUGUCAUGAUGCGGUGAGAGUUGGUCGCUGUUCGAGAGGUAUUAAAUCCUUAAAGAUUUUUUCCUCUUCAGGCGAGGAAUCGGCCUUGUCCGGUUUAUGCAUGUAUAGCGCCCCAAUUCGGCUUUCCGAAUACUAGGGGCUUCACCAAAAUUUAAAAUUGUAGACUUCUAUGGCUAAGUGAGAGUUAUAAAGCCGCAUAGUCCGAUUGCCUUGUUCACUGUGCUAAACACCUCCUUAAAGGACCAAGAAUUUGUAUACAGAGUGUUUGGGUUUUCCACAAACACCCCAGUACUAGUUACACGGGGGCGGAAGCUGACGACUUGCCUACUUUCAGAAUUUUAUAAACAGCCGCACAGAAGGUAAUAUUUCAAAUCAACAAAGCGUCAUAUAGCGCAAACGAACUCGUUUUCAUAUUACAAAGAUGACAUGAGUACAUUCACUCAACGAUUAUGUCCUUGGUACAUUCAUUGGCCACAAGGCAAGCGCCUUUUAUAACGCCAUCAUAAUAUUUCUCGGGGUAGCGAUGCGCCUUACCCUCCGGGGGUCCAUCCUUCACCAGCUUCUCUGCAUCCAGUUUGGCCCAAUGCAUCUUUGCACGGGCAAAUGCCCGGCAGGCACCUUCAAUACAAACGGAUUGCUUGAUAACUUCAAGCCACGGACAAGCAUUUACCAUCCGCUUUACAAGGCCGAAGUAACUGUCGGGCAGGGGCUCGUCAGGCCACAUCCAGACUAUGAGGUCCUUUAUGGCCAGUUCGGCCGCCUUGUGGAGUUCAACCAAUUGCUUCUGUUGGUUACUUAGAGGCAUUGGGUGUUCGGCUCCAGUAUACUGGGACCAGAACAGCUUCUCCAUCGAGAUCCCCUCUUCGGCACGGUAGAACUCCGUGGCAUUCGAUAUGCUGCGUGGUAGAUCUGCGAAUGCCCAGGGAGAGCUCCGAAUUCGAUUAAGUAAAAGAAAUGUCUCCUCCACAUGCUUGCUUCGCAUAUUGAAGGCCUUACCCGCCGCUAUCUUCUUGGCCGUCUGGAUUUCCUAGAGGGCCUUUUGGGCUUCGGCCUUGGCGUGUUCCGCGCUCUGGAGGGCCUUGGCAAGCUCAGACUCUUGCGUCUUGAAGUCAUGCUCCAAGGACUCGAACUUCUGGCCGAACUCCUGGAGCUCUUGCUGUACCUCACUCACCCGAGAAUCUUGCUUUUCACGCUCAGUACGGUCCGUGGCUGCUUUAUCUUUGGCCUCGGAUAGCUCUUUCUUCAGGGCCGCCACUUCGGUCAUGGCCCCUAUUAAAAAUCAUGAUGCUUUUUGUUAGCGUCACCAAUUUUUUCCUCUAUAUGACACACGGACGGGGUAUCACUUACUUCGUUCUCUUCGAGUUGCCUCUUCAUGAGGCUGAGCUCUUCUUCGGCCUGCUUCAGGUCCCGUUUGAGUCCGGCGACCUCCGCAGUACGGGCGGUAGCGGCCAGCAGCAACACCUGCUUACUCACAUAGACAUUCAUUGUUAGACUCCUGCGGAUUAAAAAUUGACCCUCCGUUUGGCUUUUCUUUCCGAACACCAAACAGAGUAUCAGGGGCUACUGUCUAUUAGGUGAUAUUUUCUCACACCUUUCAUCACUUACCUCAAAGCCUGUUAGGAGGCUGGUGCAGGCUUCUGUCAAUCCGCUUUUGGCGGACCGAACAUUCUCAAUCACCAUACUCAUAAGAGUAUGGUGCUCUUCGUCAAUGGAAGCAUCGCGAAGCACUUCCAACAAAUUAUCUGAUGCCUCCAGCUGGAUGGAGGUCAUCGGCACGGCCGGCUCGCCCUCCUUAGAGAGGGGCUACCUACUUGAAUCCGAAACCUUUGGAGGCUCCGGCGCAGUAACUGUCUGGGAGCCAGACUUGUUGUGGCUCCCGUCCGCAUAAUCCAUGGGGAUCUUACCCCCCACAUGCCCGGUGGCUGGGAUUUCGCCUUGGGGCGUCUCUAGAACCGCCAUCCCCUAUUCUGGUAUCCUUUGGGACAACACCUCGGUGUCAUCCGCGGGCCAAGGGGAGGUGGCCGUUGGGAGUGAAUUCAUCUCCGACUCGCUCAGGGACCCGUCCGAAGACGAUACCUCGAGGCGGGACCCAGUCGGACUACAUAUGCGUGUUCGGCAUUGUCACAAACCAUGAAAUUAAGAUGCAUGAAAAAUACUAUAGAGUGUGGAUACUUACUAUCUCGCCAGGGGCUUGCCCCUGGGCAACCACUCCUCCUCGCUGUAGGCGGCCGCGGUGGAGUGAUCCGGAAGGGAUGCCUUUCCCUUCUUCGGUGUCCUGGCCUCCCCGUAUGGGGUGGCUUUCCUCUUCUUCUCCUCCCCAAUGCGGGGAGGGGGAAUUUAUUCAGGUUUCCCCCCAUCUCCGUGGGAGGAAUUUGCCUCGGCGUACUCGGACGACGAGUCUAUUACAGCCUUCACCGGAGACCUUUCCUGGUCCCUGCGGCCGCUUUCUUGGACCUUUCGGCCUCCUCAGAUGGGGCGGCCUUCCUCUUCCUCUCCUUCCCUUCAUGGGAGGACUGUGCCUCAUCGUCUUCAGAUAAGGCAUCCGGCGCAACCUUGUGCCGAAGACCCUUCCUGGUCCCCGUGGUCUUCUUUUCGGCCUUAUUAUCCGGCACCUUGUAAGGCGCCAGAACCAGCAUCUCCGUGAGGAGUGCGGUUGCUAGAUCUUCCGGCAGCGGAGCCGGGCAGUCGAUCCGCUGCGCUGUCGCCACAUAAUCCUGUUUUGAUAAGCAUGGUGACUUAAAAUCCUCCCACGAGUUUUCUGGGAAAGGUACAUCUUGUGAUGUUCGGAGAACUUACUGGAUUGGCGAGGCACGUGGCGCUGAGUCCGCGGUCCUCGGAAGCGGGAGGAGGUACUUCGGCGGCCUUGAACAGCACCUUCUAGACGUCUUUAUGCGUCGUGUCGAAGAGCUCUCGCAGCGUUUGGUGUUCGGCUGGAUCAAACUCCCAUAUAUUGAACGCCCGUCUUUGACACGGGAGGAUCCGGCGAAAGAACAUGACCUGGACCACGUUGACAAGCUUGAUCUUCUUGUCUGUCAGGACCCCGAUCCUAAGUCACACCGAUCUGGCAUGUAACACAUCAUAUCACUCUGCGGCCUCACGCACGGUAUUCCCACGGGUGCCACCUUACCUGGCCCGGGACCGUUUGCACCUUUUGGCUCACAUAUAUGAUAGUGCCGCUAGCAUCCAUAUGACAAAGAACCCGGGCUGACAUGGCUAGUCGUGAACCCAAAGUGGCACUAACUUACAGGGACAUGCAUACAUGACCCAGCAACGAACGUGUCGGUCAUCAGCGAGUGAAUCUGGGCUGUAGCAACUGGGCUAGCAGGACUCCGGUAAACCAGGCUGUAGCAGGCUAACAGGACUCCGGUAGACACCGCGUGACAUUUCCCCGAAGGGAUAGACACAGGAAUGAAGAAGGACACAUGCCGGCCAGCCUAAGUGUUCCGGAGCAGUAUAAAGCUACCAAGGCUCAGUGGAAGCACUAGGAGACAUUUCCCGGUAAGAGAGGCUACCAAGGAUGAACAACUAGAUAGUCAGAUCCCACACAGACCAAGCAUUUCAAUAACAUACACACAAUAUGCUCGAUAUGUGCAAAUACAACAUGGCAUCACAACAUGACUCUACAACUCAAGUAUUUUUCAAUAGGCUCCGAGGAGCGAGAUAUUACAAUCAUGGGUCGCAUGACCCAACAUUCAGAGCAUACAAGUCAAAGCACAUGCGGAAGCUUAACAUGUCUGAGUACGGACAUCUACAAAAGAAAAAGGCUGAGAAGCCUGACUAUCUACUAGAUCCUGCCGAGGGCACAAGAUCGUAGCUGAGGUAACAAGCUAAACGUCAAAGUCCACAUGGAACUACUAGCGAGACUGAAGUCUCUCUGCAAAAACAUAAAUUAAGCAACGUGAGUACAAAUGUAACCAGCAAGACUUACAUCAGAACUAACUACAUAUGCAUCAUUAUCAACAAAGGGGCGUGGGGUUUAACUGCAGCAAGCCAGCUUUGACUCGAUGGCUAUCCUGAAUUAUGACUGUAAGUAUCUCUUUUGAGGUGACGCACACGAGUCCACAUAUUCACCAUAUCAAUACACCACUAUGGAUCCGCUCCCGUCUCCCUAUGAGAACGCCAUCCAUAGCACUCACGUAUAUCUUGCGUAUUUUAGAGUAUCCACUUUCACUUGUCUAUGAACUGUAUAGGCAACCCAAAAGUCCUUUGCCGCGGAAACGACUAUUCGAAUAGAUCAUAUUAACCCUGCAGGGGUGUACUUCUUCACACACGCUCUCACCACUUACCGCCGUUUACACGACAUGUACUCGGCAACCUUCAAGCGGAAGCCCAGCGAGGGUGUCGGCCACGACCUGACUAACCACACAAGUCUCUCAUCCAGGUUUAUCGCCUAUUCGGGUUCCAUCCGCAAGGAGAUCCGGCCGGGGUGUCGCUCACGGCCCCAAACGAUGUGUGCAGGGUUCCCAAGCCCACCAUCCGGGUGCCACUUGGUACACCGGGCCACUGUGCCUAGUCUGUCCCAAGCCCACCUGUACCGGGUGCCACUUGGUAGACUACUAGCACUACCUACAAACACCAGAAACUAGCUGCAACUCUUGGACACAGAUCGAGUUGAUUAAUAAGUCGAGAGAGUCAAUUAAGGAUCCCAAUGUGUGGUAGUAGCUGUUAAUGGAUCACAAACACAGAACUCAGUUCCUGAGGACGGCUGCAAUGAGACAACCCACCAUGUACUCCUACACGGCCUCUCACCGCUACCUUUACCAAAUCGUGUUCACACACUUAGCUCACACACAGUAGGACAUGUUCACACACCUCCAAUUCAUUCCCGAUGAAACAGACCUGACACAACUCUAAGCAAUAGCAGGCAUGACAAACAAGCAUGAAUGAGUAGGCACAUCAGGGCUCAAACAACUCCUACUCAUGCUAGUGGGUUUCAUCUAUUUACUGUGGCAAUGACAGGUCAUGCAGAGGAUAAGGGGUUCAGCUACUGCAACAAGUAACAAAUAUGUCAUUGUUGUCCUAAUGCUGUAAAAGAGAGCAGGAGCGAGAGAGUGGGAUUUUAUCGGAAUGAACAAGGGGGUUUUGCUUGCCUGGCACUUCUGAAGAUAGCAUUGAGUCUUCAUCAGUGUCAACGAUCACAAUGUCGGUACAACGUCUACCGAGGGGGAACAACACCGGCAAACAGAGAAGAAACACGAUCAAUGCAAUGCACAAUAUGAUGCAUGCUAUGACAUGGCAAUAUGAAUGUGUUUUGGGCUAAUGCAAGCUAGAACAGGUUGAGAUGAGUCCAUUUGAACCAAAGAUUCAAAUGCAAACCCAUUUUAAAAGGUCGUAUUAGUGCAUUACCUUGUUUCACCUAAACAGCAAGGUUAAAGUGUUCUAUCAUGCAUGAGAAUGGUACAGAUGGAUAGAUUGCAUUUUUCUGAUCAUUUUUCAUAUAUAAAUUGUUUGAUUUGGAGCUACGGUUGAUUUUCUAUGAUUUUUAGAAGUUUUGGUUAUUUUCUGGAAUUCCUUGUAUAAGAAAAUUCCAGUAAUUAGUUAUUGCGUCAGUGUGACGUAAGUGGUCAAAGGGGACGUCUAGGUCAAACUGACCUGUGGGCCCUGCGUGUCAGUAGUUAGUUUAACUAACUAAAUUUAGUUAGUGCUAAUCCUGGGUUAGUUAGCAGGGCGGGCCCCACCUGUCAUAGACCCAAGGGUCAAAUUGGGCCCACCUGGUCAACUCAGUCAACAGGGUCAACUCGCCGGCGUUUAGCCGCCGGCGAGGUCAGUGGCGCUCUUGUGCCUCGGGUUUCCUCUGUGGUGCUCCAAAUGACGUGCGGCUAGGCGCGUUGGAGAGCUAGCUCGACGGCGCGUCGGGUGGUGGCCGGGGUUGCCGGAGUCGACGGCGGUGAGCUCGAUUGCGGCUGCCGGAGUUCGGUUGCACUCGGAACCGACGUUGUGGUGCACGGCAUGUCGAGCGGUGGGGUCCUAGGUGCUCCUGCAAACGUGCUGAGCACGGUGACGCUCUCAGACGCGGCGGAGGUGGGCUCUAGCCACGGCGGCGAAGAAGCGCAACGGCGGCGAGCUUCGGUCGGGGUGGCCAAAGGGGCUAGAGGAGGAAAUCAACAGAGGGAAGAGAGGUGUUGGGAUCAGGGGCUCGCGGCGAUGCCGAAGAGGAGAUCAGCGAGCCUGGGGAGGUCCUGGCGGCGCCGAAUCGACCGGAGGCGAGCUCGGGUGCCUGGGGUUGAAGAUGAGGCAGAGACGUCGCUGUGAUGCUCCCGUGGUCGAACAGACUGGUGUAGACGACGGAGGAGAUGACGCCGGUCCUUCUGGAUGCUUCGGCAAGGCGAGGGGUGGACGGUGGCCACGGUUUCACGGCGGCAAACGCUUGGCGGUUGCGGCCAUGGCGAGGAGAGGGCAAGAGAGAGGGCAGAGGGGGGAGAGUGAAACGUCCAGGGGGUCGGGGCGGCACCGAAGAGAAGGCCCGAGGCGUCGUGGUGGCCUCAGUGACGCAGGCAAGCAGGGAGGUGUGUGGCGCCGCGGGCGCGCGUGCGCUGUCUCCCUCCUUUGCCUACUGGCAGAUGUAGGUGAUGACUGGCACGGGCCAGGUGGGCCGGCCCAGCCAGGUAAGUGGCCUGUGGCCUUUCUCUCUCUCUCUCUCUCUCUCUUCCAUUUAGUUCUAUUUUUCUAUAUUUCUGUAUCUUAUGGGCUUUAUUAAAAAUAUCUAGGCACUUCCAAAAAUCAUGAAACUGCUCAAUGUCACUUUUUGGAAUAUUUCCAACAGCAAACAUUUCAGUUUGUGAUUAUUUGAGCAUUUAAAAUAUUAUUUAGCAAAUAAAUGCCCAAAUGCAAAUACCAUAUGAUUUAAUUCAAAAAUCCAGAAUGGCCUAGAAAUAUGUGCACCAUUUUUGGGAGAGGUUCUAGACCAAUGCAAAAAUGAUGAACUUUCUGAAGGGCAUUUUGGGUUCAUUGAGAAUAUUUUUAUUUGAACCUAGUUGAUUUGAUCUGGUGCUAGGGUUUGAGCAAUCCCCAUUUCAGGUUUAAAAGAAAUUUAAACAUGAUGCAUGAUGCAACACAAGACUAACUAACUCAGAGCAGAUCAGAACUAGGGAUGUGACAUUGUCUAUCAUAUUUUUGACACAGUACUUGAGUCCUGUCAGCUCUGUAGGUUCGCCACAGGCCAGACCCUUCUUUUCAGAGGAGGUGAGCCGCGUGGGGAUGCCAGAUCGGAAUUCGGGGGCCGACGCCCAGUUGGCAUUGCAUGGCUCGGUGAUGUAGAAAUACCCCGAUUGCCACCCUUUCACGGUCUCCAGGAAGGAGCCUUCAAGCCAGGUAACAUUGGGCAUUUUUUCCACCAUGGCGCCUCCGCACUCCGCGUGCUGGCCACUCACAAUCUUCGGAUUCACGCAGAAGAUUUGUAGCCACAGGCCGAAGUGGGGCUUGAUGCGGAGGAAGGCCUCGCACACGACGAUAAACGCCGAGAUGUUGAGGACGAAAUUUGGGGCUAGAUCGUGAAAAUGUAGCCCAUAGUAAAACAUGAGCCCACGUACGAAUGGGUGGAGUGGAAACCCCAGUCUGCAGACGAAAUGAGAGAGGAACACUACUCUCUCUUGAGGCUUGGGUGUGGGAGUAAUUUGCCCCUUCGCCGGAAGCCUGUGCGUGAUGUUUGCGUCCAGGUAUCCGGCCGCCCGAAGCUUGGCAAUGUCCUCCUCUGUAACGGAGGAGGCCAUCCACUUGCCUCCCGCUCCGGACAUGUUGCGAAUGGUCCUACGGAGAAGGUGAGAACUUGGGCGCUGGGGCUCAAGGGUGCGAGAAUGGAUGAGCAAAGGAGGAAGAAGGCAUGGGUGAAAAUGGGGGAUCCUUAUACCUUUAUAAAGGCGGUGAAAACUGUGCGCCUCCCCGCUUGCCAGUCAAAAUCACUCAUUUUCCAGGCGCCACGAUUGAUGGUGCGGUUGGGUUACCCAUACCCGUAUUGAUGAGAAUCCCGUGAUAAGGGGACACGAUCUCUGCUUCGACAAGACGUGCAAAGGAAACCACCUCGCAAUAUGUGCGGUGGCUGGUUGUGAGAAAACGGUUCGAAUAAUGACCGGACCAUGGCGUGAUGUCAUUCAACAGAAGUUGUUAGUAGAUUUGAUUUGUCGAACAUUGUGCUCUCUACGGUGGUAUGUGGAAAAAAAAUUGCAGAGCCGGACACGAUCCUUGUGUUCGGAAUCUUCUACGGAGUAUUCGGAUAUGGAAACCGCCUUGCAAUGCCGAAGAAAAUCUGCGUGUCGGACUCAUCGUCAUUGAAGCCUGGUUCAGGGGCUACUGAGGGAGACCUGGAUUAGGAGCUAUUCGGACAGCCGGACUAUAUACUUUGGCCGGACUGUUGGACUAUGAAGAUACAAGAUUGAAGACUUCGUCCCGUGUCUGGAUGGGACUCUCCUUUGCGUGGAAGGCAAGCUUGGUGAUUCGGAUGUUAGAUCUCCUUCUCUGUAACCGACUCUGUGUAACCCUAGCCUCCUCCGGUGUCUAUAUAAACCGGAGGGUUUUAGUCCGUAGGACAAGAACAAUCAUAAUCAUAGGCUAGCUUCUAUGGUUUAGCCUCUACGAUCUCGUGGUAGAUCAACUCUUGUAAUACUCAUAUCAUCAAGAUCAAUCAAGCAGGAAGUAGGGUAUUACCUCCAUCGAGAGGGCCGAACCUGGGUGAACAUCGUGUCCCUAGCCUCCUGUUACCAUUAGCCUUAGACGCACAGUACGGGACCCCCCUACCCGAGAUCCACCGGUUUUGACACCGACAAUCAUCACUUCAUCAACCCACGCCGGGGACUUCGGCAUCACUCUGCCGGCCUGCAUUGGCUGAGCCAUGUCACUACCUCGGAAUGCCGAACUCCUUGCCCGGGCACCUCAGGCUUGGAGGCUGGGACCUCAGCCAUACCGAGGACUGUGAACCUUGUCGGAUCUGUCACGGAUCAAUGGGCAUCUUCGUCCCGCCACAAGCCCGAAUGGCGUCAUCAACAUCGAGCACAUUAAUCAGCUAAGUUGCUUUCAUGCUCAAAAACUUUGUUCGGUUCGACCAAGCAUUAUACUUUUUGGCAAAAAGUUGUUUGUGACAAAAUUCCUUGUCAAAACUUUGUUUGUGACACACAAAUUCAAAUACCCCAUUUAUUUGGGGGCUUCCUUUAUAAAGACUCUCCUCUUGCAUAUGAUUAUACUUGUAUGGCUUCGUUCCUUGUUCGUGUAUUACACCACAAUAUGCACCAUGUUGACUUAAUUAUUCCGCAAGCUGGAUUGCCUUGCUCCAGUAUUUACCCCUACGUUUCUGAUUGUUCGGCUAGGGAGUAAAGGGAGCACCUCUGCGAUUGUCACGAUCGGGUCAUCCGAGCUCGGACCUCAGACUGGGUGAAGCCGAAAGCUAGCGCUCUUAUUGUUUUCAAUCAUGGUCGGCACAUAACGGAACUCAUGUGUACAAAAAAUCUAUUGCACAAGUCUCAUAGUAACAAUGAGCAACCGAAAAAAGGUAUCGGUGGGGGUACUAUUUUCUUCGAAGAUGCUUCUUAAACUUCGUCAGUAAUAUAGCAUAAGUUCCCUGAGCGUGCUUUGUCUGUUACAGCCUUAUGGCCUGAUUGUCUGGUUAUCGGAAACACCAUCGAUAUUCUCUACAUGUGGGGUACAUAACACUUUUCAGCCCUUGACCGAAGAGGGAGAAGUUGAUGGUCAGUUAAGACGCAUUUAAAGUUCAGGUGAAUACAAAUAUGAUAUAAGUACUUCGGUACAUACAAUAAUCAUUAUACAUAAAAUUCUUUUACCCAAGUCACUUGGGGGUUCUUAAAAUUUAUAUGAGCUGUUUUAUAGUAAAUGUGUUUUCUUCUGGGUUGUUGCAAAGUCUUUUUCUACCGCUCCUUUUUCGACUCGAGUGUAUGGUCAAUAGACAGAUAGCCUGUCUUCUCUCUAAAAGCCGCUCGAGUUUAGUUCGCUAAACUGACCUCGGAGAAGUACUCCGCCUUUGGGAUAAGGAACUUGAAGCCGUAGGCUGACCUGCGUGAAGUCUUGAGAUCGGAUAUGUCAUGUUAAAGCACGACAAAAGCACAAUUUUUUUCCAAUUUUGGAUUGGCACCGAACACUUGAUCUUGUUCGGACAUCAACUUUUUACUGACGUUUUUUGGUUUUCCAAGCUUAUGGCACUUUUAAACUAUUUGUGUGUUUCCAGCAUAAGUCUCGCAGUGCAACAACGGACACCUUUAGAGAUUCGUCAAAAACAUUCUCGGAUAUUUCUAUAUAUGCAUCGGUUUGAAAUUGUGUCUUCGGUCAAUAGUUGGGUUGCCUGGCUCCUCUGCUUGCCUCCUAGGUUCCGCUUUGUUCGGCUAGGUGUGCAAAGGGAGAACCACUGCGAUUGUGCUUCCAGCUCGCAUGGUUAAGCACCUCAGUGGAGAAAGCCGAAAACUGACUGUCACAAUAAGAGUAAACUGGUCAGCGAUCCGAUGACUAUGUUAAAUGACGGGCCAUUCAUAAUAUUGGCCGAAGUGUUUACGGCUUGAGCUCGGCUGUCGCCAAACACUAACCGGAGGCUCGUAGUUAGCUUCCCCAGUUUAAAGCUCCUAUGACUACGUGAAAGUUAUAAAGCCCGCAUAUCUGAUUGCCUCAUUUCCACUAACACAACCGCCUUCGGGCACCGAGACGUUGGCUAAGGGUUGCCUUGUUAUUGCGGAAACACCCUGCGUAGUAUCUACAAAGAGGUAGAAGCCGACGAUGGGCCACUUUCAACUGAUAAACGGUCGCAACGGAGUCAAAAUAAACAUAUCAUCGGCAUUUGUAUUUAUUAUACAAGGGCCGCCUUCCAUAAUCAUCGUUAUAAAGCCAUAAAUAUGCAUCAAUUUGACUUAAGAUUUUUGCCAAGCUGGGUUGCCUGGCUCCUGUGCUUACCCCUACGUUCCCGAUUGUUUGGCUAGGCGGUAAAGGGAGCACCUCUGUGAUUGUUACUACCGGGUCAUCCGAGUUAGUACCUCAGACUGGGUGAAGCCGAAAGGGAGCAAUCUUAAAAGAUCAUAUUGGUCGGCAACAACGACAGAUUUUGGUUCAUUAAUACCAUAGAGUUCGGGAACUUUCCCCGAACUAAAUCCUCAAUAUUUUCCUCCCACAUUGAUCGGAGGUGAGGUUUCAUGAUCAUGAUAAGCAUGACGACCCAAAGAAAGGAACCGAUAGCGGGACUAUUUUCCUUGAAAGAUGUUUCUUACAUUAAGUAAUAUAACAUAUCUCUCCACGUAACUUUGUUUAUAAAACCGUAUGACCAGAUUGCCUUGUUUCUCAUAAAUCUUUGCUCUCAUGAAUGCUUUAUAAAUAAGGACAAACACUCCCCGGCUGCUGGCCGAGGAGGUGGAAGCCGAUGGUCGGUCAACAAAGUUUUAUAUAAUGCGGACCCAAGCAUUAAUGAUGUAAAAUACUUGGAUACAUAGGAUCCUAAAUUGCCAGUAAAGUCGAUUUAUUGCAGCUCAUCUUUUAAAGACCAAGCGAGCAACUUACAUAAAUCUCUCCUAAAUCCCAAGUGGCAUCGAUUUCCUAUCUAUUAAGCCCCUUGGGGCCAACCUUGGCUAGCCCAGCUUUCGCUGGCUCUAGCUCCUUUAAGAGAUCUUUAUUCUCUUUUCGAGAAGUUUGUGUUAAACACAACAAAAUUUUCUGUCACACGAAUAUCGAUCCUUAAUUCAGCCACCUAUGCCCAUAUUAAGGCUCGGGGGCUACUGGGCUUCACGCUCAUUAUUUAUUUAGAUAUAUUAAAACUGAUCACCUUUCCAACCAUCUCAGGCCAUUAGCAUUCUUGGCCGUCGGAUCUUCAAUUCUAAGCUUUUUUGGCCGUCUAAUCAAACUCUUGAGCACUACUUCUGGCCGCUGGACCGGGCAGCUACUCUGAUAACUAAAUUGAAGGCAUGCAGUUAAUUGGCAGCUACUCCAGCGGGUGUUUAGCGAGGCAUUAAAGAUGCAUCAAUGGCGCAUGUGGGCGAUUGGAGCUGAUCAGGGGCACAUCGAUCCCUUGAUCUAGUGUUGCCACCCCACCAGUGUCUCGGGGGCUACUACGUUGCCUGUUCAAUGCAGAAAAUUCAAAGUGCUUAGUGUUCGGCUUGACCGAACUAUGGGCAAACGCGUCUUCGGACAACAAUAGGUACCAUCUGGACCUAUAUGGCGUCAAGCUAACAUAUUGCGGCAACUUCUCAAGACCCUCUCUCAAGGGCCCGUUCGCCGAUCACUAUUAUCUCUAAUAAUAUUACACUGCGUUUCUAUUCCUACGUAUGCUGCCGAGCUAGGAGUUAAUUCUCAGGCCGAUUUUGCAAAUCGACCUGAGUCUCAGGGGCUACCAGGAUCAACAGUUUUAUGUUUUCCUUCACGUGCACCUCGGGUUUAGACCGACACACACCUUGAGGGCUACCAGAUAUACAUAUACUGGCUAUAUACCUCGACAGAGAGUAAAUUGUACCAAUCAAAAAUAUAAACAAAAAUCGGCCCGCGGUCGGAGUGGUGCACCACCUCGGAAGCAGUCCGGCAUAAAGCUCGGGCUCCAGUGGCUGGCUCCAUAGAGGACAUUUCCGGCAUUAAGCUCGGCUGAAUUUGUUCAAUAUUUUAAAAGACCGAGGUAGUUUACGACACCUCAGACGCUGACCAUCGUUGGAGCUCAGAAGUGGUCCGGCUUAAAGCCCGGAUUCGAAUGGCUCGUUCCAUAGAGAACUUUUCAGCGUUAAACUCGGAUAACCUCCCUCAAACUUUUUCAAGCCAAGGUGAUCUAUGACACCUUGGAUAUAGUCCGGCGUUGGAGCUCGGAUAUAGUCCGGCGUUGGUGCUUGGCUGCAAAAGAUAUCUCAAAUGCAGUCCUGCGUUGGAGCUCGGAUGCAAGAGGACACUGCCGCACGGGAACAACUUCAAACCCGAGGUGUGGCGUAAAAAAUAAUCCUAAGGAAUUGAUAAAGGCCGAGAACUUAAAGGGGCUCCUCGGAUACCCGAUGUGUAAACCCUUCGGAUUCAUUUCGGCAAUCCUCAAGAUCAAAGACGAGAAGAUUUAUUGAACCAGUUUUCAACACCGACGACCGAAGAUUAAGAACAGUUUGAAAGGAUGGAGGAGCGUCCCCCACUUCAAGACCAGUUCAGGGGGCUACUGACGGUGUCCUGGACUAGGGGGUACUCAUCACAUCGUCUCCGGACCAGGUGGAUCGGGCCGAGGACCCCCAUGGCGGUUCACUCAUGGGCCACUUCGGGCAGCCCAUGUCGCAUACAAGGAGUAUUCCACAAGACUUAGUGAUCAAGACAAGGACUCCUCUCCACCAGCGUAUUCGGCUAGGACUGUUGUCAUCCUAGGCCUCUGGUGCAUUAUAUAAGCCAAGGCCAUGCUAGUCGAUAGAUCAUUAUGACAAUCAUACAAGAUAGACUUCUAGGGUUUAGCCAUUACGAUCUCGUGGUAGAUCAACUCUUGUAAUACUCAUAUUCAUCAAGAUCAAUCAAGAAGGAAGUAGGGUAUUACCUCCAUCGAGAGGGCCCGAACCUGGGUAAACAUCGUGUCCCCUGUCUCCUGUUACCAUCGACCUUUGACGCACAGUUCAGGACCCCCUACCCGAGAUCCGCCGGUUUUGACACAGACAGUUGCUAACCUUUGCGAACUUGGAUGGAUGGGGUGCCUUGAAAUCUUGACAAAUUUUGGUAAAAAUGGAGGUGAGCUUGAGAAAGAGGGGAAGAAAACAGAGAUGAGGGAAAAAACAGAGCGCUUCGGCUCGGGCUAGACAAAGCACUAUAUAUAGUGAUCUCUUUAGUCUCGGUUGAUUAUACAAACCGGACUAAAGGUGCACCUCUAGUCCUGGUUUGUGACACGAACCGGGACUAAAAGUGUUCGUGGGGCCCCAGCCUGACACCAGCCUGCCACCACCCCUUUAGUCCCUGUUCGUGUCAUGAACUGGUACUAGAGGUUCAACAUGAACCGGAACUAAUGAUGCCCACCCCACUAGCCGUUGGAACCGACACUAAUGGUCACAUUAGUACCGGUCCGUUUCCAAACCAGAAUUAAUGGGGCUCACGUAAAGUCAUUUUUCUACUUGUCUUGCUCCAUAUGUAGUCACUUGUUGAAAUCUCUAGAAAGACAAAUGUUUAGGAACAGAGGGAGUAGAAGCCGUCGGCCAAGGAGGGCCGAGCUCGAUCUCCCUUGGCCGGCGCGGUACCUACUUUGUGCUGGCGCUCCAUUUUCCCUUUUCGCGUGCGUCGAACGGCGACAAUGAAGAGGUAAGCCAAUUUAGCCGACUGCUGAGGGUCAUGUCUCCGAAUUUAUGGAGGGGUCAUGGCUUCGCGUGUGUUGGCCUCUGGAUAUCGGUCUCGAAUUCAUCACACGGAUGAAUGUCCAGACCAUCCAAACACCGGCAUUCGGGGCAAACAACGCCAAUGCCAAAUUCUUACUCAGAAUGUCAACAUCCAAAUGGCGCCUAAGGGUUUUUCUAGAUAUUUAGCAUAUAUAAUUCGUUCAAACUUUUUGAACUGCAAGUUCAUGAAAAUGCUCAAAAAUGGGCUGACAAUGUUAUUUGUGUUAAUGAAUCUAUGUUUAGACCUUAUCCAAUAUAAAUAAAAGACACCCAGACAUCAGGGUGCGAAAACACGACCCCAAACAUUGAGCUUAUUAGUUUUUUAAUUCCAGAAAAUGCAAAUAAAAUGUGAAAAAUAUGAAAACUGGCAUGGUGUCAUGAUAUGAUCCCUAGAUGUCGUAGUAAAAAUUUGAGUAGUUUUCACAGAAGUUAUGACAUACACUUCUUGGAAAUUGAAAAUCUCUCAGGAAGAAUCAUGGUUUUGAAAAGAAAUUGAUCGGGUUUGAAGGCAAAGUGUUAGUUGCUUUAUCAUUGGACCUUGAAACUUUUUCUACACUCAACAUACACCACCAUAUGCUACAUGCCGUAAUUUGGCAUUUUCAGGGUUUGUUUAUUUAAGUUAUUAAGUGAUUUUCUAGAAAAUCAAUGGAUAUAAUUCAAAUUUAAACUGCAAGUACAUGAAAAUGUUGCUAAAAAUGGGUUGAAAAAUUCUAUUUGUGUUAAUGAGUUUACUUUUAGACCUGAUCCAAUAAAAAGAAAAGGCAUCCCAAACAUCAUGCUGCCAAAACUCGACCCUAGACAUUGAGCUUGGCAUGGAGAAGAUCCUAAAGGUGGUGCUCCAUGAUUGUUUACAUGCACUCUCCAUUCUUACUAUCCUACUAUUCUGAAUGAUCUCUCGAAACAGGCUUGCAUACACUUUUAUUAAUAAAGCCACACUCUCCAUUCCUACUCUUCCGAUUGAUAUCUCCCUUUUGUCGUUUUUUUUGGAAAAAAGGUUUAAACCCUAUCUCUACAUCAAUCAAUGCAUACACCCAUCUUUAUUAAUUAUUCAACAAAGUUUUGACAAAAACAUGCAUCAAGCCACUUGAAGCCACCACUCACACCUAUAUCAAUGCCACCGGAAGCCAUCACUCUCACUCCCCAUAUCUAAAAUCGGUGUCGUCGCCGAUCCAUCCGCACAAUGUAUCGGAACGAAUAGCCGAUGCAGAAAACCUAAAGCGUACACCACUGCACACAUUUUAGAAGCCGCAAUUAUUAUCGAACCGCUGACUCAUCUUCAGAAAAGAGACCCGCAUCAUCCUUGCCAGUCCGGCCCUUCAUCUAUGCCACCACGGCGCCGAACAGCACCACCUCCGUACAAGCAAACUGCUGAGCACGUUGUGCUCGCCGUCGGUACACUGCAACACCAUGCUGCCAAGUACCACAGUCCCACACAGCUUGAAGUCUCUCGAAGAUCUCGUGCGUAUCACCUGCCGAACAGGCAUGACACGACGUAGCACCUAUUGCCAAGGAAUGACUUGACAUCUCCACUGAAGCUCCGUGCACGACGAAAUCGCUCCACCUCCUGCCUCUGUCUUCCAGGGCUACUCCACAAACGAUGCUCCCAAGAGAGAAACGACACCGUAGUGUCGCCAUCGUCCGAUUUGAAAGACCAGAUCCUAGGGUUUUCCCUUGAGCACCACGAGUGGGUCGACAUUAGUUACACGACGAUGCCUUCAUCAAGGUAACAACGUAGAACGCCGCCAUCACCCGCCGUCGGCUUGGUUUUCACCGGAAAGUAUGUCUCCCCGAUUCACAGCCGAGACUACAUGACGGGUCUCGUGAUCCGACCACCCAGCCUCAAGCCGACCACCUCCGACGGAAGAGACGACCAUCACCGCCAAGCCUAGGGUCGCUACCCCAGGUGCGCGUGAUGCAGAUCAAGACCAGGAGCGCCAGUCGCCACCUGCCGCCCGGAGAUUCGAUUUGCCAGCCGCCACCGUGCCACAUGAGACACGCAAACAAGGCAGAGAUCCACCACCGCCUUCGGCCACUGCCGCCGAAAGGGAAGCAGUAUACUCCGACCUGCGCCACUUGCCGGCCAGAUCCGGCCGCUGCCUCGAGCACGCCCCUCCCACCACGCACUACUAGGAAAAGGCCUACUAAUGGCGCACCAGUUUUGCCUACUAAUAGCGCAUCACUGGUGCGCCAUUACUAGCACGCCAUUAGUAAUUUUUACUAAUGGCGCACCACUGAUGCGCCAUUAGUAUCUGGUAUACUAAUGGCGCACCACUGGUGCGCCAUUAGUAUAGGCCACAGUGCUCCAUUAGUAUAGGCCACUGGUGCGCCAUUAGUAUAGGCCACGGUGCGCCAUUAGUAUUUUUGAAUUUUGAAGGCGGGAAAAUAGAAGUGGCGCACCAUCUAACCCCCACCGUGCGCCAUUGCUAUUUUUGAAUUUUGAAUUUGGAUCUGGAUCGUGAUUUUUUUGCCCAUUUUUUGCUAGUUUUUUUGCUCGUUUUUUGGCAUGAUAUUAUUUCAAAUUUUGUUCCUGUUUUUGGAUCUUGUACGUUCUUUUGCCGUGUUCUUUUGCCGGAGAGGAGUUCGCCGGAGAGGAGGAGGAGGAGGUGACCGGAGAGGCGCUCGCCUACAUCGCCAGAGAGGAGGAGGAGGUCGCCGGAGAGGAGUUCACCGAAGCAUCGGAGAGGAGGAAGGAGAAACCAUGAGGGAAUGGGAGGAGAGGAGGGAGGAGGAGCUCACCGGAGAGGAGGGAGGAGAAACCAUGAGGGGAGGGNNNNNNNNNNNNNNNNNNNNNNNNNNNNNNNNNNNNNNNNNNNNNNNNNNNNNNNNNNNNNNNNNNNNNNNNNNNNNNNNNNNNNNNNNNNNNNNNNNNNNNNNNNNNNNNNNNNNNNNNNNNNNNNNNNNNNNNNNNNNNNNNNNNNNNNNNNNNNNNNNNNNNNNNNNNNNNNNNNNNNNGGAGAAGGAGUGGAGGAGAGGAGAGGAGGAGAUGGAGUGGAGGAGAGGAGAGGAGGAGAUGGAGUGGAGGAGGUGCGCCCAGCCAUAUAUACGACAUAGUAAUGGCGCACCGUGGGCAGGUGCGCCAUUACAAACUUUUUUUUAUUUUUUUGACUUAUUUUAUAUUUUGAAGGCGGGAAGAUACUAAUGGCGCACCAUGGGCCGGUGCGCCAUUAGUAACUUUUUUUUUUGUUUUUUGACUUAUUUUGAAUUUUGAAGGCGGGAAGAUACUAAUGGCGCACCAUGGGCAGGUGCGCCAUUAGUAACUUUUUUUUAUUUUUUUGACUUAUUUUAAAUUUUGAAGGCGGGAAGAUACUAAUGGCGCACCAUGGGCAGGUGCGCCAUUAGUGAGUUUGAAUUUUUUUUUGAAUUUUUUUGCCUCUCCAGAUCUUAAAAGCCCUGUAUCUUUUUUUCUGUUAGGUUUUUGAGGAUUUUGAAAAUGUUUAACGGGGUUCCCCCAGUUAAAUUCGGAUGUAAUUUUUCGAGUAGAUGAUUUUUCAUAUAAAAAACUUUUUCAUCCGAGUUAGUAUGCAAAAGUUAUGCUCAUUUUUAUAAAUUCUCGAGAGAUUUUGCAAAUGAUGUCGAAAUUCAUAUUUGCAAAUUUUCCCAACAACUAGACCACAUAUCACAUGGNNNNNNNNNNNNNNNNNNNNNNNNNNNNNNNNNNNNNNNNNNNNNNNNNNNNNNNNNNNNNNNNNNNNNNNNNNNNNNNNNNNNNNNNNNNNNNNNNNNNNNNNNNNNNNNNNNNNNNNNNNNNNNNNNNNNNNNNNNNNNNNNNNNNNNNNNNNNNNNNNNNNNNNNNNNNNNNNNNNNNNNNNNNNNNNNNNNNNNNNNNNNNNNNNNNNNNNNNNNNNNNNNNNNNNNNNNNNNNNNNNNNNNNNNNNNNNNNNNNNNNNNNNNNNNNNNNNNNNNNNNNNNNNNNNNNNNNNNNNNNNNNNNNNNNNNNNNNNNNNNNNNNNNNNNNNNNNNNNNNNNNNNNNNNNNNNNNNNNNNNNNNNNNNNNNNNNNNNNNNNNNNNNNNNNNNNNNNNNNNNNNNNNNNNNNNNNNNNNNNNNNNNNNNNNNNNNNNNNNNNNNNNNNNNNNNNNNNNNNNNNNNNNNNNNNNNNNNNNNNNNNNNNNNNNNNNNNNNNNNNNNNNNNNNNNNNNNNNNNNNNNNNNNNNNNNNNNNNNNNNNNNNNNNNNNNNNNNNNNNNNNNNNNNNNNNNNNNNNNNNNNNNNNNNNNNNNNNNNNNNNNNNNNNNNNNNNNNNNNNNNNNNNNNNNNNNNNNNNNNNNNNNNNNNNNNNNNNNNNNNNNNNNNNNNNNNNNNNNNNNNNNNNNNNNNNNNNNNNNNNNNNNNNNNNNNNNNNNNNNNNNNNNNNNNNNNNNNNNNNNNNNNNNNNNNNNNNNNNNNNNNNNNNNNNNNNNNNNNNNNNNNNNNNNNNNNNNNNNNNNNNNNNNNNNNNNNNNNNNNNNNNNNNNNNNNNNNNNNNNNNNNNNNNNNNNNNNNNNNNNNNNNNNNNNNNNNNNNNNNNNNNNNNNNNNNNNNNNNNNNNNNNNNNNNNNNNNNNNCGAGGGUCCAAUGUAGGUUGAGGUUGAGACGCAAAUAGUUGGGAGAUCGGUUUUUUCUAUGAUUUACUUCCAAAUGAUAUGGUCGUAACUGGUCAUAUACAUGUCUAUGAGUUGAGCUCCAUAUGUCCAAGUUUUAUGUCUUUCCAUAAACAACGCUCCUCUGUUCUAAUAUACUUUACCUUAUAGACCGUUAUGAUGUUGCAAGAAACCCGAAUGCUGAAACUAAUGUAUGGCAUCAGCUUGGCGUACUUGGUACCACCCAGGAUUUAUAUCAGACUUUUCGGUGCCAGCUAUCAAGGGUAUCAAUAGGUGCUGAUCAAUGUUGUGUUGUGUUGCUAUUGGGCUCCCUUUCUUUAAAGUAUUGCCCUUUUUUAAUACAUCUAUAAUUAACUCGUCUGGUUUCUGUAGUUGUUCUUAAUUUUCAAAUUAUGAGCUUUUCAUUUGUAUGAGUGAUAAUUAGAAGAUUAUUGAGGUCUAUUAUGGCCUUACCAAACAUCAAAUUAAUCACCAUUAGUUGUAUGCCCAUGCUUUGCCGCCGAAAAACAAGGAGACGUGUAAAUUUGAAAAAUUUAUUGAAAGGUCAUACAUACAUUGCAUAAAUGUGUAGCUUCCCCGACUACAUUGUCCUCUUUCCUGCCCCCUCUCUGGCAACCAUCACAUGUUAAGUAACAUGAUUGUAUUAGGAAACAUAGAUUAGACCAGGAAUUAUUCUGGCUUGCCUUGUACUCCAAGUAGAUUAUGUACUCCUAUAUAUAUGCCCACGAGGCUCAAGCAAUACAAAGGACUAUUCCACCAAUCCUCUCUCUCCUCUUCUAACAUGGUAUCUAUCGCAAGUCGAUCCUAAACCCUAGCCGCCACCGCUUCUGCACCUGCCCGCCGCCCCCGGGGCGGUCGGCCUCCAUGACCGCCGCCGGGGGCCGCGCCGCCCGUACCUAGGGUUCGUCCGCGGGUCGUGUUGACCGGCUGCCCUAGAGAGUCUUUUUCCCGAGCCCUUGCUCCAGAUUUUUUUCGCUCUCUCGCCGGUCGUUUUGAUCGGCGUUUUUCUUUUUGGUUUUCCGAUCUAUGCUUGAUCGGUAUGCGUCGCCCGCCGCCGCCGUCGACACCGAGCGCCUCUACUUCGACCCCGGCGCGACCAGCCGGCCUCUCCUCCGACCAGGCAGCCACGCGCGACGAGGUGGCCCGUCAGGACCAGCCGUCGUGCGGGCGUCGGUCCACCCGUCGCCCUGCGCCGGCUGUCACCGCCCUGCUUCGACCGGGACACCUGCAUCGCCCCGACCCGGUGGCCACGCGCCACGCGAUGGCCAAUCAUGCAUAGUCGUCGCUCGCGUGCCGGUCCGCCCAUCGAUCCACAUCACCCGCCUUCGCCGCUCUGCACGGCGGCCCGGCGGUCUACCUCGCCGGCCUCGUCCUCGGCUGCGUCAGGCUUGUCGGCUGCCCUCAACUCGGGCACCGCUGCUCCGUUGGUCGCUCGGGCCUUGCUGCUCGGGCGCCGGUGUUGCUUUGGCAGCCCGGGUGCCGGUGCUGACAAGCUCGUCCGCACGACGUCUCACGCCGUCUGUCGUCACCGAUUUCAUCUCGGACUCCGCCGCCACCACGCCUCCACCGGGCGGCGUCCCCGACCUCGCGCGCGAUCGGCUUGAUCACCCGCUCGCCGCCGCGAUCCGCCUCCUCUACGCCGCGCAACCGACCUAGCCCAUUGGUGACGCGCGCCUCCGCAGGUCCCGUGAAGAUCGUCCUGAGUACCGCGCGCCUCUCCACCGAUCGAGUAUCGGGCUGCCGCUGCGUCGCCCCGUCGGGCCGCAGCGCCGCCGCCCCGUGGUUCUCCUCGUGGCUGCAUCGACUUGUGUGUCGCUGAUGCGUCGCCCCUUCGGGCCAUAGUGCCGCGAUACGCGGUCCCCGCCGCCGCCCCGAGGCCAUCCCCGCGGUUGCACCGACUCGCGAAUCGCCGUUGCGUCGCCCCUUCGGGCCGCAGCAUCGCGGCCCACGGUCCCUGCCGCCGCCCCGAGGUCUUCCCGCCGUCGCCCCGACCCGCCUGCCGUCGCUGCGUCGCCCCUUCGGGCCGUAGCGCUGUGGCCCGCGGUCCACUCCGCCAUCACCGCGCGUCGACCUCCCGUGGUAUGCGCCGCGCCUUCUCCCUUGGCGCGGGAACGCCACCGUCCGCGCCGGUCUUUGUCACGCUGUCAGGGUUCUUCACCUACUUCGAGCACCGCCGCCGCACUCCUAACCUAGCCGCUGCCACCGUCAGGCCGCCGCCGCCGCUCUUCUUUGGCCACUGCCGCCGCUACCUUAGUAGCCGCCGUCGCCGCCCGUCCACCCCCUUCGUCUUCGUCCAAGCACCAGCCUGUCGCCAGCGUCGCCGUCAUCUACGCCGACCACUUUGUCUACUCCGACCACCGUUGGUGCCAUCGGCCCCGCGCCGAAGGACGCCGCAAUCGUCGUCGAGUUCUUCUCUGUUGGCCCCUCCGACUUCUUCGACAUGGCGUAUAGCUCGUGCAGGUCCCUCGUCUACGCAUGCCCGAUGCUGACAACACCGAUGCGUGCCUUCAUCCACGACGUGUCCCCGGGCCUGGCAAGCAUGGUCGGCGCUUCGUCAACUUCGUCUUCAUCCGUCUACGCAUGCCCGGUGCUGGCAACAUCGAUGCGUGCCUUCGUCCAUGAUGUGUCCCGGGCUUGGCAAACCCGCUGCGAUGCGUCGUCAACAACAUUUUCUUCCCGGUGCACCCCUACUCCGACACCACUGCGCCCAUGCUAAUCAGGCGCCCCCUUGCACCCGCGGCUCCACGGCGACUUCCUCGACACCGGCUACCCCGACUCGACAUCAACCACGGCAUUCUUCACACGGCUACCUCGACCACGGCUUCACCACCCACGCUCUCGGCUACAUCGACAAACGGCACAAAGGGCUACCGUCUGCUUGAGCAUCCUCGUCCGUUUUCACUCCAGCCACGACUCCGCGAUCCAUCGACCGUUACGACUGUGGGGGGUGUCCGUCGGCUUGCCUUCGAAUUAUUCUCCAGUCUCACCGUCUGCGUCACUACCGUUGUGACUGCGGGGGGGAUGUUGAGUAACGUGAUUGUAUUAGGAAACAUAGGUUAGACUAGGAAUUAUUCUGGCUUGCCUUGUACUCCAAGUAAAACAUGUACUCCUAUAUAUAUGCCCACUGAGGCUCAAACAAUACAAGGGACUAUUGCACCAAUCCUCUCUCUCCUUUUCAACAUCACACACCUCUUUAUUUCCCAUUCUCCUUUCCAUGUGUUCCUCUAUUCUCAUCCUGACCCCUUCUCCUCCAUCUCUGCUCGCCCCUUAACCUUAUCUUUGUGUGUUAGGCUUCACCGUUGUCUUCUCAACUCUGAUAAAUCCAAGUGAAUACUUGGAAACCCAUAGCUUUUGUCUCAAGAGGCUGACACAAUGUAUAAAACCCAUCACCUCGAUGUGGAUAAUGAAGGAGACAACUAAGACGGCAGCCACCACAUGCCACCAUCGUCUCUAGUUCCAUAUUUGUGGACACGUCCCGUUGUCCGCUUUGUCGAAGUCUCCGCCUCUGACUCACUCGAGGGUAAUAUCUCACGGCCGGUAUGCUCACGUGCAAGAGAACAUCUUAGUGUGGAUUUUUUUCGAAAAGGAGGAUGACCCCUGCCUCUGCAUCUGAGAGAUGCAUACAACCAUUUUAUUGAUUAUUCUCGAGGACCUUACAAAGUAUAACAACAAUAUGCCUGAAACCGCCAUCUUGACAGCAUCUGCCGCUACACCUAUCCAAAUAAUGAAGGGGUACAAGCUGGACCACAUACCCAUACCUCUCACUAAGCCUAACAUCUAAAGCCGGAGGCCCGACCGAGCCAUCUGCCGGGUCCGGGGCUCAAACCGGUCUGACGCACUCACAUGUGUUGUCGCCGCCAUCUUCCACUAGUCCAUCUUCAGAGCAGAUUGAGGUAACAACCUUGGCAGGUCCUCCGCCAUCAACGCCACCAUGACGCCAAACGACGACCUUCACCUACGCGAGCCUUGGCAGGUCCUCCUCCAUUGACACCACCACGACGCCAACCGACGACCUCCACCUACGCGAGUCCAUCUCCAAGCAACGGACGUAAAUCCAUGCUAGGAAAGGGCCACACCACCGCCGUCACCCACCACCCACAAGUGCCACCCAACCCCAAGGUUCCCAAAGCAGUGCCUUCAAGAAGGCAAUGGCGCCGUGAGCGCCGCCUGCGCCCAACAGAGUUAGGGCUUUAGCCUGGGAGACCUAGGGGAAGGUGAAAUGAGGAGAUCAGUCCAUGCCGACGCCUCCAAGGAGGGAAACGGCGCCCUCAGGCAUCGCCAUCGGCGCGGCCGGUCAUGGCCGGCCAGGAAUUUCGCCCGAACUAGAUUUCCGCCACCAGCAGCACCUCUUGUGCAAAACCGGCGAACAAGAGGAAGCGCGGCCCGACCAAGCUGGCCCGCAUGCCGAAUAGGGGAGGAAGGGAGGCGCCAGAUCGCGCACACCGACCGCCGCAGAAGCCGCCGCCGACCACCAACGACUACCAGAUCCCGCCGCCAGCGCGGCCGGGACACCGGAUCCACCACCCGCAUAGCUGUUAGCCGGGCGUGCCUUGCCAAUGGAGCCGCUGCUCCAGAUCCGGCGUUCCCCACAUGUGAACAGGGCAACUGAGGCCCCACCGACACCAUCGUUGGCGCCCCAAACUUGCCCGACGGCUGCCUCAGGUGGCGGUGAGGGAGGAAGGAGGGGAUGGGUGGGGAGGAGGAGGCGGCUAGGGUUCCUUAGUGUGGAUCCUACACUUGUAUGUCAAAUACUCCCUCCAUUACAUACUAGUUUCGCUCAAAAGGAGUCCUAAUCCUACUACUACUAUAGGUGCAUAAUCAGAAUCUGACUAGGAUACACCACUACACGUCAUGUUUAUUCCUACAUUCACCCUCUAAACAUGACGUCCUCGGUGCGACUAGAUCCCAAAUACGAUGACUACUACUCAUAGGCGUCACCGUCGGCACUGCCUUCAUCGUUCCUCGCAACAUUUUAGGGACCAACUUUACUGCCGAUAGCUCAUCCAUUGCUUGACGGCAACACUCUCCUUUGAUCACAUUUUCAAACUUCACCUGUUCUUCGGUGCUUGAUAGACUGUCUUUCCUAUCUUCGAGCGUGACCAAACUUCGGUCUAACUUUGAGUUCCAAGCUCUUGGCGCUUGCUUCAGCCCGUAAAGUGCCUUCUUGAGCUUGUAAACUUUCCCUUGUUUGCCUUUCUUCUCGUAGAAGAGGGGUUGUUCCAGGUACAAUUCUUCUAUGAGCUCACCAUUGAGAAAAGCGGAUUUAACAUCCAUAUGAUGAACUUUCCAAUCCUUUUGUGCUGCCAAAGCUACGAGCACUCUCACCGUCUCAAUUCGAGCAACUGGUGCAAACACCUCCUCAUAGUCAACUCCUUGACGUUGUACGUAGCCCUUUGCAACGAGUCUUGCCUUGUACUUCACAUAAACUCUCUGCCGCGAUCUGUUCGUAGAGCGCGAACCUUCACCUUGUGUUCCAUCUCCGUUGCAGCCUUUAGCUUCUUGAACGCUUCAAAUGCCUCAUCUUUAGAUCGUAGGAGAACAACCCACAGGUAUCUUGAGUAGUCAUCUACUACAAGGAAGAAGUACUUCUUUCCUCCGUGAGUUGCUGGGGUGAUAGCUAGGACCACAUAGAUCGCCAUGGAUCAGCUCGAGUGCAUCACUUGCACGCUAGGUAGACUGAACAGGGAACGGCCGGCGGUGUUGUUUUCCAAUCAAGCACCCGUCACAUACUCGAUAAACAUGGUCAAUAAACGGCAUCCCAGAUACCAUCUCCAUCUUUGACAUCUUAAAGGCGUAGAAGUUAACGUGUCCAAAUCUAGCAUGUCAUAACCAUGAAUCAUCAUCACUCUUGGCGAGCCAACACUCCGGUUGAGAUUGAUCAAGGUUGAGGAUAUAAAGCCUGUUCCGCGUGCGAUUCACACGGGCUAGCACGUUUCAGAGGUUGUCAAAGAUCGUCAUCACUCCGUUCUCAAUAUCCACGUUGCAUCCAUUCUCAUCAAAUUUCCCGACAAAGAUGAUGUUGUUGCGAAGUCAUGGGAUAUAGUACACUCCGAUGAGUAUGCGAUGUUCUCCCGUGAGACCCUCGAAGAGGACAGAAUCUUGCCUGCAAAUCUCCACAUUUGAAUCAUCACCGAACUUGACCGAGCCUUGAACAUCAUAUUCUAGCUCGAGGAAUUCUCCUUGCACCCUGUCAUAUGGUUACGGGCACCCGUGUCUAGAUACCACGACACAUUUUGGCUACCGGAUAACUUUGGUGUUACUUUUUUCUCAUGAAGUAGCACCUUCCGGGUUGGUUUCACAACCACCAUAUCAUAAACUUCGGCCAUUAGAAGACCUGGACGUUCGUAUUCCUGCUUCGCCAAAUUUGCCUUGAUCUCCCGCUUGUUAGGCUCCGGAUAAUCCUUCGCAAAGUGACCCAUCUCAAAGCAGUUAUAGCACUUGAGCUCGGACAUAUCCAAGUUGCGUGGCUUCCGCUCUUUAGACCGGUCCGCCUUACCACGACCUUGUGGCUUGCCUUUUCCUUUGCCUUUUCCGGUUUGUCCGCCGCUCUUCGCGUUGCUUGAUCCUUCGCCAACGUUGUGCCUUCCUUUGCUACUUGGAGACCCCUAAUCUGCGACGAGUAGAUGAGUUGGUCACUACCUCCUCCUUUGCCUUUCUGACAACCAUGAUCAUUCUAUUCCCAUGUCCGCAAGCAUCCGAUCGCCUCCGUUAUGGUCAUGUCGUCGAUGUCGUAAAGCUGAUCGAGCGUGCCGAUCAUGUACGUGAAUUUAUCAGUCACCAAACUAAAAAACUUCUCCACAAUCUCGGCCUCCUCGAGCUUUGCACCGAGCGCGCGGAUCUCUCCCACCAAAGUAGUCAGACACAUGGCAUAGUCAUUCACCAAUUCAGUUUCCUCCAUCUGCAACUUGUGAAAUUGACGCUUCAGCACUUGUGCCCGAACCUUCGUGACGUGAUCUUGUCCCCUCAUCCCAUUGAUUGCGUUCCGCACCUCUCUUUCUGUCUCGAACUCCGCCAAUGUCAUCAGCACGGAAUCCGGCACAGGCUGAGCUAUGGCGGCCAUGGCACCAUCGUCACACUCCUUGUUGACGUCGUCGUCCGUGAUGGCCUCCCACACUUAAAGGGUUCGGAGAAUAAUCUUCAUCUUUACCGUUCACACGCCGUAGUUGGCGUCUGUAAGCAUCGGACUGGAUGGGGAUGUUGUGAUGAGCCAGUACGUUGGCGUCGCCGGCUCCGCCACUACUGGUUGCUGACUUGCCUCCCUUCUUAACCUUGUCGCCGUUCUUAUUCGCUUUGGAACCACCGUUGUCGGACUUGACCGACUCAGCAUGGCUGUCCCCAUCAUAGAUCGUAGAUCGUCAAGGCUCUAGAUACUAAUUGUUGGCUUCUGAACUGUAGUUCAACUCACCCGGGAACUACACGUACGACGUGCAAAGCUAGCUAGCUAGAAACCAAGCAGGAAAGCUGCUGGAUCGCGUCUAGCCGGCGACUUGCGUCUACGUAUGCCAUGCCAUAGCUUCUGUACGUGAGUGAGCUAGCGAUCAAUUCACGGCGGCGGAACUCGUGUGUAACGUGGCGAUGGGUGGAAAACACAGAUCGGUAUGAUGGCCAAAGGCUCGUAUCGAGCCUUGCUCUUACUUUGUAUUUCGUUGCUCUUUUUCGUUGGUGAUUACAGGUGCUAUAUGUGAGUAUAUACUACUCACUCCGUUUCAAAAUAAAUGUUUUGAGCUUAGUACAAUUUUGUAUUAGAGCUAGCACAAAGUUAAGACACGUAUUUUGGGACGGAGGGAGUACUAUUAUAGGUGCCUAAUCAGAGUCUGACGAGGAUACACCACUACACGUCAUGUUUAUUCCUACAACAAUUGGCGUGCUGUAUGCUAAAAAAAAACCAAUUGGCGUGCUGCACGUCUGAUCCGUAAUGGAUUGGAUACUUGACAAGGACCCGAGUGACGGUGACUGCGGGUCUGGCCUGAUCUCCGCCACCCCUGAACGCCGACGGGGAGCACGCCAUCGCCAUGAAGUGGACGGCAGCCCUCCGCUCGCCGCCUGUCUACACCGGCUGACGUGUUUUUGGGCACCCCGCACGGAUGGGGUCUGUACAAUCUGCUGAUCAAAGUACAGUAUGAUGCAUGCAUGGACGUGUCCAAAACUAUACCGGUCACUUGAAUUCUGAUGAAUAUAUGCUGUAAUUAUCUCAGAACAAGUGAAUUGCCGGAUGAAUUCUAUUUAGUUCAACUCUGCAACUGGUAGCAACUGACCGAUUCCCGUAAAAUAUUGGCCACAUCUUUUCUAACCUUCACCGUAGAUCUGUGCUUACCCAAGGCAAUCUCCUCUUAUCUUUUUUUCUCGAAUACGCACGAGUGUGCGUACUAUAUUAUAAAGAAGGGAUCGGGGUAAAGAGCCCGUCCACGUUAGUGUUACAGAUUACAUAUUUACACUGAACACUAACUCCACACUCCACCUAUCUCUCCUAAGUCUACGUACUCUCCCCUGCCCACUCCUCCACCUCGGCAAAGAAGGCGUCCAUGUCUCCUCACAGUAUGCCCGCUUGUUUCCAUAUACGGCCCUCUCGGAUGACUGCCUGGAUGAUCCGGUUCUUCGAGGGUGUGGCUCCGUCAAAGACGAUCGAGUUGCGAUGCUUCCAAAUCUGCCAUAGUCCUAGAAUGAUGAUUGCGUUAGCAUCCCUCUCAGCAGGCCUUCUUCCUCCCUUGUCUUGACACCACGCCCCGAGGUUUUCCCUUGCAGAAGGUAUCCACUCCGGCCUUCGCAAAGGGUGACAGAUCGCCGUCCACACUUCCCGUGCGACAACACACUCAAGGAGGACGUGAUUUAUGCUCUCCUCUUCUUGGCUGCACAUAGGGCAGUACUUUUGAUGGUCCAGUCCACGCCUAGCUAGCCGGUCGGAUGUCCAGCACCUGUCCUGGAUUGCAAGCCACGUGAAGAAACGGCAUGGCGCCGGUGCCCUUGAUUUCCAAGUGAAAGCGGCCGUGGGAACGACCUGCCUGCCCCAGAACUUGGCCGCAUAGGCGCUCCGCACUGAGAAACAUCUGCUAGCCUCCCAUGUCCAAGAGAUGGCAUCAUUUUGUGCUGGGUCCAGCUCAACUCGUUGGAUCAUCGUCCACAAUUGCAGGUAUUCACGCAACGAUUCAGCAGUGACCUCUGGGCUCACCUGGGUGACCCAGUUGUCGUUCAGGAGCGCCUGGGAGACGGUGCAUGUCCUUCUUAUUUUCCUCUUGACUCGCUCGCAGGCCAAGGGUGCGAUCUCUCCGAUCCUGUGGCCUUCAAGCCAUCUAUCUUCCCAAAAGAGCGCCGUAUUUCCAUCCCCUAGGGUCCAGCGAGCAGCCGCGUUGAAUAUCUGUGUUGAGGUUUUUGGCACCGUGAUGUCAAACUCCGCCCAUGGCCUUGUUGCAUCCGAUCGCUGUAACCAGGGCCAUCUUGCUUGCACCGCCUUGUUCAUCCAUCCUAGGUUGGGGAUGCCUAGUCCACCUGCCCACUUCGGGGCGCAGACCGAAUCCCAAGCGACCGCGCAGCUGCCACCGGACGAAUUCGCCUCCGCGCACCAAAGAAAACUGCGUCAUAUUCUGUUCAUUGCUGAGAUUGUCUUCUACGGGAGGCCAAGUGCCAUUAUCGCAUGUAGCGGUAUUGCACACAGCACGGACUGUACAAGGAGCAUUCUUCCACUCUUUGGCAUCUUCGCAGCUUUCCACUUUGGCAACGCCAUGGCAAGUUGAUCCACAAGGCCUGAUAGUUGAACAUGGGACUAUUUUCUGAGGGUGAGCGGCAAUCCAAGGUACUUGCACGGGAAGCUACCUCUCGGACAUCUCCUCUUAUCUUAUUUAAUGGUAACGGACUAGAGUCAAACGAAUUACAAUUUCCAAUUAUGCUAUAGGCUAUAGCAUUGCCCUAGGUUUAGGGUAGAAUAAUAGACUAGAGUCUAUCGAAUUUCAGUCGGCACACAACAACAAAAACCAAGUUCCAAUUUCUGUCAGGCUUGUGUAACCAUUAGAUAUGUGAAUAAAAGUACAACAUGAGCUAUCAUUAUUUUUAACUGCACGAUGUACUAUGUUAGAGGGCAAUCUUGAAUUUGUAGUGAACGGUUUGUUUUAGAAAACCAGGCACAGAAGGUCACAUGCACGCACAUGCACUUACUUCUAUGAACACACAUACAUGUACACCCUAUAAGCAUAUCCGAGAGAGCGUGUCGGCGAGUCUUGUGAUUGAUUGAGUCACCAUAGGAGCCUCGCUAUCGAUUGAAAGAAUAUUUGGUCUCAAAUGAGACUCACAUGUAUGGAACUUGAGGUAUGAUCCGUGAUGGGCUUGACUACAACUACCAUCCUAACUAUUGAACCACCCGUUGGUUCUCAAUUUACAUUACACAGAUGAAUGGUAAUUAACUUGUAGUACUAUUGCAACGAACAGGUUCCUCGCAUAGAAAUAGGGUACACAAGAAUACAAUCACACACAAAAAGAUCUAUUCCAUCCCCUCCGGUAAUGGCGGAUAGGUUGAAGCUUUGUCCCCUCCAUGCUACGCAACGAGAGACCGCGCACUUGCCUCCCAUCUGUCUGGCGCUCCAGUGCCCGGCGGCGGCGAGGGGAGUCUUAGUGAUUCUUUGGGCAGUAGUUUAGGAUAGGUUUCUUAGUCAUCAUAGGGACGACACCUUGGUAAGUGGCCACACUUCAUCUUCGAACUGGUUUUUCAUGUUUCGAUCCUCCUCGAGUUCGUCCGUCGAGACCGAAUCCAGCGCUCUGACGUAGAUUCCUACUAUCUCCUUGUGGCGGUGAGGUUAGGGUUUAUCACUGUGCAUCCAAGAUGGUAAGAUUUGGUGUUAGGCGAUUCAGAUCAAUUUCAACAGUUCAAUGACAACGACAAUAACUCUGAAGCGUUGGCCUUAGGGCUAAGUGCUCGAAGACUUCCUAGUUGUGGUCGACAAGAUUAAGUCAGCUCCAGUAAAGGAGCAGCGACUGCGAUGCGUCGACAACUCUUUCUUGCGGCGGUAGUGAUUUUUCAAUGGCCUUGGGAUCUCGAUGUAAUCUACUAUAUCACUAUGCUCUCUAGGGGUAAAAGGCCUCACAAUCAAUUGAGGUGUCCAAUUGGAAUUGGAUCACCCAAUUUCAACCAAGUCAAUAAUUCUCAAAGCUCUCAUUAAAUUCUGUUAUACUAUACACUAUGCUUCCUGAUUUUUGAGUCAUCACAAUUAACUGAGGUCUUCAAUUUAGAACUUGGUCACCUGAUUUUGACCGGGUCAAUAAUUUCUCAAGGAGCUCUCCCAUUUAAUUAUUUUAUUUCACCAUAUUUCCUAAUUUUGAAGCUCUUUUAUUCGAUUGAGAUAUUCAAUUUUGAAUUUGGUUUACAAUUUUGGUCGGACCAACGAUUUUUCAAAUCAAUCAACACCAAUCGGCUAGAAAAACAUAUCAACCCCGUGCACCCUCUUACCACAUAGAAAAAAGAGACGCCGCCAUAUGAUGAUACGGUAGCACCAAUAUAGUACAUGUAGGCACCGACGCAAAAAUAUACCCACAAAAGUAUGAGUUGAUUACUACAUAACACAGAAUCACACCAUGAAAGACCCACAAAUAACCGCAUUAUAAAUAAAUAUAAAACACACUCCAUCAUCUUCCCCAUCCGCCAAAUUAAAUAUUCCAUCAGUUCCAAAAUACAAGAGGUAUUAGUUCUUUGGAAAGUCAAAUUUCUUUAACUUUGACCAAGUUUAGAGCCAAAAAUAUCGACAUCCACAAUAUUAAGCCAAUUUCUUUUGAAAAUUCAUUUCAUGAUGAAUCUAAUAACUCUAAUUUGAUAUUACGAAUUUUGAUAUAUAUUUUCAUACAUGUGAUCAAACUUAAAAAGGUUGGACUUUUCAAAAAAGUAAUACACCUUAUAUUUUAAAACAGAAUGAAUGACUUUUUAAAAGAUUCCCAACAACACCAAUGGUGCAGCAAAGCGUGCCCAACCCUUCUAGUUCCCAUUAUGUUUUGGACACUUCAUUCUUCUGGUGAACCUUUAUAAUAGAUCCGGGUCCCUUUCACAACAAAAGAAAAAGAAAAUUGAACAUGCUCUUCAAUGAUCUUAACCUUAUGUAGUUUCGGUGUCCCAAUUUGAUUGCUAGAAAAAUAAGUUUUUAUAUCUUUAUUUCAUGCCCAACCAGGCACCACAUAUUAUUUGGUAAUUUAUUAUAGCGCUGUGGCAUUUUCCCAGAAUUUUCCUAUUAGUUGAUGGAACUAGUCGGCGUAAGAAAAGACGACGUAGUCCUUGCGUGCACCAGCCCUGUCACAAUCCGCCAUCUCUUCCGAGCCUAUCCACAUCACCCACAUCAUGUAGGUUGGCGUACAUGAGAUGCCACACGAGCGCCACAGUGCAUCGUAUCUUUUGAUGCCCGCAUAAUAAAAUAUUUCCAGUAUUCUUUGUGUUCCCUCUUUCUCUAUGCAAUGGAACUGUGGCCGCACGGGAUCACUGAGCUAGCCAUAUGUGACAAGAGCCGUAUCUGUGCUUGCAUAAGAGCUAGUCCAGUAGUCGCCAUAGCAGCCCCGCAUAUGCAUACAGAGCAUUUCAUAUGCAUUAUGGAGGCCGUUCAGACAAGACGAAAGUCAGUCUUUUACAAGGGCUGCAUUCGUAUUGUAGGACCUCUAGUCAGUGGCAUGUUCUUUUUUCCUCCAAUCUUCAAUACACAUUUAGUUAAAUGAAUAACAUGUUAAAUCCGAGCACGACGGCGAGGGCUUGGAUGACCACGGGCACGAAGGUGAGGGCGAGGACGAUUCUGUUGGGUAUUGAUUUCGGUGGCGAUAGUGGCAACUUGAUUCCAGCAGUGGUGACUCGAUUCCGACGGUGAUACUCAAACUGUGGAUGCCUGUCAUAAUGCUUUUCACAAUUUCAAGCAUCGCCAUUGAUUUCACGAAUUCACAGCUAGAGCACACAUACAUAGCACAUGAUGACAAACUGCUCGUCCACAUGCACAGAUCCACCCAAUGAUAAAAAUUAUACUAAACAUUUUGGGGACACAUAAGAAAACAAUUAAUGAAAUCGUUGUAUGUCCCAUGAAAUUGUGAGUAUAAGUUUUGACAUCGCUUCACGGUGAUCCCACUCAUACCCGAGAUCAUCACCAGUCUGUCGGCGUGAUAGUGGAGGUUGUGGAUGGCUAGAAGGAAAGUGUAGGCUACGGGCGCCGAGAAGGCAAGUGGAACUUGUGGAUCUUUUCAUAGCUGCGUCUCACACCACCCUGAAGACCAAGGCGGAUCGGCUGUUCAGAGUCUUCACCAAUUUGACCAGGGCCAAGAAGCUACUCCCUCCAUUUUUAUAUAUAAGGUCACUGUCAGAAUUACAAUUUUCAGCUAUAUUAGGUCACUAACAGUAAUCGAGACAAAAUUGAUGGUGUUUGUCUCGUACUAGCAACCAAGGGCAAUAAUAUCCCUUGCAUGCAUGUAGGAAUAAGAAGUUUGGUUUGAAUGCGCUGCAUUAAUCAACCAAUGAGGAGUGAGAUGGUUGUCUUGUUGUGAGUUGAACAGAAAAAUACACAUUAAUUGAUACACCAAAAAAGGAGGAAAGCUAGAUUUCAACAAUGGAUAAAACCGACAUUAAUGUUUACCUUAGUACCUGUAAUAUGAGUUUGCGGCGUUGUAUACAAAAAUGGAAGAAAUAUUAUAGUUGGACCAGCUAGUAACCUUCGGCCUGAAGGAAGCCAUUAAGACAGACGAGAAACUAAGGUCCUGUUUGGUCCAUAAGUCCUAGGAUUUUUUUGAGUCUCAACUAAAAAGUCGCUAGUCCCUAAAAAGUUCCUAUCUGUUUGGUUUCUAGGACUAAACAUAGACUAAAAGACCAUGUUACAACUAAAAAUCCCAAAAAGACUCUUCCUCAGGGUCUUCUUUCAUAAGUUCCAAAUGCCCAUUCUAAGUCCCUAUAAAUCCCUUAUGCUUGGUUUAGAUGGGACUAAAAGGGACUUUUUCAAGUCCCUACAUCAAUAAGUCCAUGUAAACAAACACCCCCUAAGGAGGCGACAGGACGGAGAUCCAGACGGUGAUGCGUGAGCUCGAGAAAAGGGACGAUCUACUCAAGAGUGAAGAGCGCGAAGGAGGUGAUGCAGGACAUGUUCUCAGUCCUUUGGCCCAACGAGCUACGAGCAUCUUUGCCCUUGUCAGCACAAUGAAGCAGGGGCAGUGAGGUUGGGAUUUUUCGUUCCGCAUGCAAGACGAAAAGAUUGCGAUGAUUACAUGCCGUCAACAGCUCGCUCUUGUGACUAUAGUGGUCGUUCAGUGGUUCAAGGAUCUGAUUAUAAUUCUUCAUUAUGGUGAUGUUGAACAUGUAUAUAUGUAUGUAGGUCCGGGUUUUGUAUGAUGCAUCUGUAGUGUCUCUCUCCCCCUUAAUCUACUUGUAUCUUGGAAGACAAGACACCGGUCGCACCCCUUGUACUUAUAUAUGUGCUUAGUGCACGAUCAAUGAGAAUAUCGAUGCACACAAUCCCUCUUUCCCAAACUUACAUGGUUUCAGAUACCGUAUCGAUCCUUUCUUAAUCGCUUCCGCAACCCUAGCCGCCACCAUCUGCUGUUGCCGCCGCUACCACCUCCCCAUGCCCUGCCCCCCUUCCCGCAGCCGCGCCCUCCACCAGCCAUCGUGCCGCCGCCACCCCUUCUCCAACCCUAGCCGCCACCUCCACCCUAGCCGCCUCCCCUUCCCUCGCGCGUCGCCACCAUGUCCAUCGCCUCAUCUACCUCCAACCCCUUUGCCAGUCCAGACCCCGCCGACAUUCGCGACAUCAACAUCCAUGACCGCGUUCUUGUGAUCCUCGAUGCCACCAACUCCACGUACUACACGUGGAAGACCUAUUUCUCGCUCCUUUUCCAUGAGAACAAUCUCGUGGAUCAUGUCGACAGCACCGUCGACUCUCGCGCCAUGGUGAACGACUCCAAGAGGACUGCGAUCGACGCUACGGUCAUUCGGUGGUUCUUCACCACCAUCUUCAAGGACCUGUUUCACACGGUCGUGACUGAUGGGGUUGAUGCACGCGCCAUGUUGGUCAAGCUCAACGGCCUCUUCACCCGACAACAAGCUUCAACGUCGCGUCUUUCUGCAGCAGGAAUUUUUGACUAUGAUCAGGAUGAAUAGUCCAUUGAUGACUAUUGCCGCCGCCUCAAGACGUUGUCGGAUGAGCUCCGUGACAUCGGCGCCAGGAUUGAUGACGACCACCUUCAAAGCACGCUCACCGCCAGCCUCAACGAGGACUUCGGCAACGCCGCCGCCAACCUCACCUUGAUGUCGGAGCCCUCCUUCCCCAAGUUUGUGGCAUACUUGCGGUUGGAGGAGCACCGGAUGAAGGGGGUGACGAAGCGCGUGCAGCACCACGCCCUCACCGCCGGCACCUAUCAUGGCACCCCACCACCACCCGCGUCGUGGCAGCAAACGCAGCCCCCCGCACCCCAGGGGUAUUACCCCCUCCCGCCCGCGCCCCCCACUCCUCUCGCUGCUCCCUAACAGCGGCCUCAAGGCGGCGGGCGGCCCGGCAACCGCCGCCACGGCGGGCGCAAGCAGCAGGAGCAGGCGCACGGGGGUGGCCAGGAGUACGGGGGGCACCUCAUCAGCAAUAGCCCUCCCCGUCGUGGACUUAUGGCACCAACCCGUGGACAGGAGUUGUCCACGCAUACUCGAUGCCAGUGCCCCGGCCCCCCGCCCCGGGCAUCCUUGGGCCCCGUCCGGCGAGGCACCAGGCAAAUCUUGCCGCGCCCUACGCCGCCCCCCUACCCGGCCCUCCCUGCAUCGCCGACCACGGGUGGCUAUGGUGCCGCUCCAGAGCCACCUUAUGGCAGGUUCUACCCUCCCCUGGUGCAGCCGCCGUGGGAUCCCGCCCUCCUCGCCGCCUUGCACUCGGCUCCGCCACCUAGCAACUACGGUGGCGGCGGUGACUGGUACAUGGAGUCGGGCGCCACUGCUCAUAUGACAUUUCAUCCCGAUAACCUUACGUCUUCCACUCCCAUUCAUACUCCCACUCGCAUCACCGUUGGUAACGGUUCCUCUUUACCCAUUACACAUGGCGGGUCAUAUGUCGUUUCCAUCUACUUCUACUCCUAUUAACAUAUCUAAUAUUCUUGUCUCUCCUGACUUAGUCACAAACCUUGUAUCUGUUCAUCGCCUUGCUCGUGAGAAUCCUAUUACUGUCGAAUUUGAUGAUGUUGGCUUCUCUGUGAAGGACGCCCGUACACGGAUGGUACUCCACUGAUGUGAUAGCCCCGAUGAGCUCUACCCGGUGCAUCCCUCUGCCACCACCGCCACCCGUCCAGCCGCCCUCACCGCUAGCAUCGACCUUUGGCACACUCAUCUCGGUCAUCCCAACUCCUCGGUUUUGUGUCAUAUUCUUCAGAGUUUUUCCUUCUCAUGUAAUAAGGUUGACAACCACACUUGUGCGGCAUGCCGUCUCGGUAAGCAUGUUCAUCUUCUGUUAGCGAGUCUACACACAUUUCCACUUUUUCGUUUCAAUUAUUGCAUAGUGAUGUUUGGACGUCCCCGGUUGCAAGCAACACGGGCUAUCUAUACUAUUAGGUGAUAUUCGAUGAUUUCUCUCAUUAUGCGUAGACGUUUCCUCUCCGUCGCAAGUCCGACGCCCUCACCAAACUCACCAUCUUUUAUUCAUGCGUAGACAGUUUGGUCGUCCUAUCCUUACACUACAAACUAACAACAUAAAAGAGUUUGACAACGUCGCCGUCGGUAAUCUCCUCACUUCUCAUGGCACCAUCUUUCGCCUCACUUGUCCUUACACGUUCUAGCAAAAUGGUCGCGAUGAGCGCCUCAUUCGCACUCUUAAUGACUGUGUCCGCACGUUUCUCUUCCACUCCAACGUGCCCCCUCGGUUCUUGCCACUGCCAGCCUCCUCAUUAACAUCCGCCCGGGCCGCCCUCGCUGGAACUAUGCUCCCCACCAGCUCCUCUUUGGUGCGGCCCCAUCUUAUGAUGGCCUUCGCAUCUUCGGGUGCCUUUGUUAUCCUAGCACCGCAUCCACCACUCCUCACAAACUCGCUCCCCGGUCGCUCCCUUGCAUCUUUCUCGGUUAACCGCCCAACACCAAAGGUUACCGGUGCUAUGAUCCAGUGUCCCACCGCAUUUAUACAUCGUGGCACGUGUACUUUGAUGAGCUGGUGUUCCCUUUUCAGCAGGUACCGUCCCUCCCCAUGCAGCCUUCAACGCGUCCCGCGGCGCAGCUUGCCCCCGCCACCACCUACGACGGGUCGUCCCCUUCGUCGAGAAGUGCCCUGGCCCAGGCCCGUCCCGCGCACCCCGCACCCUCUAGCCUGGCCGGCCCUUCCAGAGGCCCCGCAGACAUGGCGGGUUUAGCCGCCCCCUCCAGCGGCGCCUCAGGUGAGGCCCUCUCCACGGACGCCCCUGCCGCCAUGGUCUCCGGUGCCCCCUUGGGUUCUCCCGCCACCGCAGUAUCUGACUCGGUCCCGCCGGGCGCUGCCGCAGAUCUCUCAGCAUCAUUGGAGACCGGCUCGCCCUCCUCAUCGCCGAUCUCCACUUCAGCUCCGCCGACGACGACUGCACCCCUCACCGGUUUGGUCACUCGGGCUCGGACCGGGACGUUUCGUCCUAGCACGCGCUACACCUCCGACGAGUACGCAUGUGUCGCGUCUUCCUCGACCCCGUCUCCGCUACCCACCUCGGCUCGCGCAGCCCUUCGGGAUCCGAACUGGCUUGCUGCGAUGCGUGAGGAGUUUGAUGCCCUACAGCGUAACCGUACGUGGCAGCUUGUACCGUGGCCUCACCGUGCCAAUGUUAUCACUAGCAAGUGGGUUUUCCGCCACAAGACUCGCCCCAACGGUUCCCUCGAGCGCUAUAAGGCACGUUGGGUGGUGCGCGACUUCCGACAGCACGCUGGUGUGGACUUCACGACACCUUCGCCCCGGUUGUCAAACUGGGCACGAUUCACGCCGUUCUCCAGCUGGCUGUCUCUCGCGCCUGGCCAGUUCUCUAGCUCGACGUGUCCAAUGCCUUCUUGCAUGGUCACCUCGAUGAGAAGGUGUUUUAUUAGCAGCCCACUGGCUUCGUCGACAUCGCCUAUCCGGACCACGUGUGCUUGCUCUCCCGUUCUUUUUACGGGUUGAAGCAGGCACCUCGGGCCUGGUACCAAUGUAUUGCGGCCUUCCUCCAGCAGCAGGGGUUCUAGUCCACAUGGUCUGAUAUCUCCCUGUUUGUUUAUCAUGAGGGCGCCGCUAUCGUGUGCCUUCUCCUGUACGUCGACGACACCAUCCUGACUGUGUCCUCGCUAGCGUUACUUCAGCAGAUAACCGCUCGCCUUGGCACCAAAUUUGCCCUCAAGGACUUGGGGGCUCUCCACUACUUCCUCAGCAUCGAGGUCGUUCGCCGUGCCACUGGCUUCUUUCUGCAUCAGCAGAAGUACGCCUACGAGCUUCUGGAGCAAACGGGCAUGCUUAAUUGCAAGCCUGCUUCCACGCCUGUCGAUACGAAGGCUAAGGUGUCCGCCGUCGAGGGAUCCCUGGCGUCCGACGCUCCCUUCUACCGCUCCAUCAUCGGUGCUCUUCAGUAUCUCACGCUAACGCGGACGAAUAUUAAGUAUGCUGUUCAGCAGGUGUUGCUUCACAUGCAUGCCCCUCGUGACACCCAUUGGGCUCUAGUGAAAUGUAUCCCCCGGUACAUACGUGGCGCCAUGGCUAUGGGUCUCACCCUGACGGCGUCCUCUGACACCGGCCUCGUCGCCUACUCCGACGCCGACUGGGCUGGGUGCCCCGAAACACAGCGCUCCACCUCCGGCUACUCUAUCUACCUCAGGCCCUCUCCGAUCUCGUGGUCAUCUAAACGACAACCCACGGUUUCAAAAUCGAGCGCCAAGGCUGAGUACAGGGCUAUGGCUAAGGCCGUCGCGGAGUGCUCCCGGCUCCGACAGCUACUUCAGGAGAUGCUAUGUGAGGUUCCCAAGGCCGCGAUUGUCUACUAUGACAACUCUCCGCGGUCUACCUCUCUGCCAACCCUGUUCAUCAUCGCCGAACGAAGCAUAUUGAGCUCGACAUCCAAUUCGUCCGGGAGCACGUCGCACUUGGUCGUGUUUGAGUUUUGCAUGUGCCCACUGAUCAGCAGUUCACGGUUCGCAGAUGUCAUGACGAAGGGACUACCUACCUCGACUUUCAAGGGCUUUCGGUCCAGUCUUUGCGUCACCGGCGACGCUUCGACUGCGGGGAGGGGGGUGUUGAACAUGUAUGUACGUAUGUAGGUUCGGGUUUUGUAUGCUGCACCUGUUGUGUUUCUCUUCCCCUGUAUCUACUUGUAUCUUGGGAGACAAGACACCGAUCGCCCCCUUGUACCUAUAUAUGUGCCUAGUGCACGAUCAAUGAGAAUAUCGAUGCACACAAUCCCUCUCCCCAAAAUUUACAGUUGAAAUGCUUCGUACUUUUGGUGGAAGCUUAUAAUGAAUCAUGUCCUUUUCGCGAAAUAAAUAAAUAAACUAAACAUGUUCCUAUGUCUUUAUUGUUUCGUCGUCUCACUUGGUUUUGCUAGAAAAAUACUGAGUUUCUAUGUCUUUAUUUCAUGCCCAACCAGACGCAUUAUUUGGUAAUCAAUAAUAGUGAUGCGGCAUUUUUCUACAAUAUCUCCUAGAAUCGGAUAGAAGUAGUCGGUGUAAGAAAAGUCGAUGUAGUCCUUGCAUGAUACUAGGCCGGUCACAAUCCGCCCUCUCUUCCGAGAUUAUCCACGUCAUCUAGAUUGGUGUACAUGAUACAUUGAGAUGCAAUUAUCACUAUGGGUGCGGCUAAUCUGCAUCCGGGCUCAUCUGCACCCACGCUUAGAAAAAAAUUCAAAAAAAAUACCGAAAAAAUUCAAAAAAUUCCAAACUUUUUUGUGGUGGUAGAUAAUUUUACGUGUGAGGUGCGCCCCGAAAUUCAACUCAUUUGAGCAUCUGAGCAGCUCUCGGUAAAAAAGACAAAAUCAGGGUCUGUAAAAAUGUGUAUUGUUCACGCACUGUUUUGACCCCGAUUUGUCUUUUUUGCCGAGAGCUGCUCAGAUGUCCAAAUAAGUUGAAUUUUGGGGCGCACCUCACGCGUCAAAUUAUCUACCACCACAAAAAAGUUUGGAAUUUUUUGAAUUUUUUUAGUUUUUUUUUGAAUUUUUUACUGAGAGGGAGCAGAUGAGCCCGGGCAUCGUUUUGAGUUUUUCUUAUCGCUAUAGUGCAUUCUAUCUUUUGACGUCUGCAUAAUAAAAUCAUCCCAGUAUUCUUUGUGUUCCUCUUUUUCUGUGCCAUGGAACUGUGGCCGCACGGGAUCACUGUAUUUCACUGAGAACACGCAUAUCUGUCCAGAACUUGCAUAGGGAAAAUCUCCCCUCUCAAUUAGCUAGCUUGAGCCAGCAUCAUGUCCACGACAAGGAUUGAUGGACUAUGGCCGAGCUGUCCACGUCAAAGGCACGGGAGUUGAGCAGUACGAGUUGCUAGUUGGGAAAUAUCUGAGUGCACUCGUGCUUGUGAUGCUGCCGGUGCACCGGCUCUCCAUAGCACAUUUUAAAAUGUGAAAAAAAUGGAAACAAUUAAGCACAUCCAAACAACAUCACUAUUUGAUGUCGUAAAUUUUUAAAUCAAAAUUAUCAUUUCUUGAGAUAAAGAAAUGUCAACUUUAACACUAAAUAGUAUAUAAGUUGGGCUUUAGAUUUGAUCCAUUAUCACAUUGAUGUUAAAUUUAUCAUUUCUGUAUCUCGAGUAAUGUUUCUAAUUUUGAUUUGAAAUUUUGUGACAACAAAUAUGGAUGUUCUGGACGGUGAGGUUAGGGUUUCUUGGUGUGCAUUCAAGACGACAAGAUUUCGGCGACUGCAUGGCGUCGGCAACUCGUUCUUGCAGCGGUACUGGUCGUCCAAUGUUCCAGGGAUCUCGAUGUAAUUCUUAAUUAAGCUGGGAUGUUUUUGUACUUCUCGUGAACAUUUAUAAUGGAUCCAAGUCCUUUUCACACAAAUAAAUAAGUAAAGUAAACAUUUUGCUCAGUGGUCUUGGCCUUAUAUUGUUACGUCGUCUUACUUGAUUUUGCUAGAAAAUACUAAGUUUCUAUGUCUGCAUUUCAUGCCCAACAAGACCCACAUAUUAUUUGGUAACUAGAACAGCAUAGUGGCAUUUUUCUACAAUAUUUCCUAAAAUCUAUAUCAGUAUAAAAAUACUCGAAGAGGCGUAUCCAAGUAAUUUCUUUCAUAAAUCCAUGAUAAUAGAAUUACCUAGAUUACUUCCAUGGUGAGCUCUCAACAUGUUUAGUAUGCAAUAAAUACAUAUAUCUAUAUCAAUACAAAUAUAAAAAGACUCAAAUGGGCGGAUCCAAGUAAUCUGAACCAUCAAGUCAGGUUAAUCCAACGACCUAUGCUGCUUCAAUGGUGAGCGCUUAACAUGUUUAGCAUGCAAUUAAUAUCAUACUGAAUAUCAAUAUUAGUGCUAGUCACAUAAUUAAGGCGUAAAUAAUAUCCUAUCAGUAUUUGCAUGCAACUAAUACGUGGUCUAAUAUCAACGUGCAUGACAUGUGCACAUUUAUUAGUAGUAUACAAAAUAUCAAUACCAACACCAAUCACAUAUUACCAUGCAAUCAAUAUCCUAUCUAGUACUACAAUUAAUACCUAAUCCAGUAUCAUCGUGCAAUUAUUAUUCUUUUAAAUAUCAGUGUGCAGGCAAGUACUCCGUCCGUUUCUUUUUAGUCUGCACAUAAGAUUUGGUUAAAGUUUGACUUAUUUUACGGAAAAAAAUAUCAACAUUUACAAUACUAGUGUUAUAUGUUAUGAAAAUUAAUUUUAUGAUACAUCUAAUAAUAUUGAUUUCAUAGUGUGAAUGUUAAUAUCUUUUUCUACAAAGCUAGUCAAACUUUACAAAGUUUGAUUUUGACCAAAUCUUAUAUGCAAACUAAAAAUAAACGGAGGGAGUACGCAUUUACUAGUCGGAUAGAAGUAGUGGGCAGAGAAAAGUCGACAUAGUCACAUUUUACCGUCUCUUUUGAGAUUAUCCACAUCAUCUAGAUUGGUGUGCAUUUAUUUUGCGAAUACGCAAAGCUUGUGUAUCCAUUCAUCGAUAGAAGAAGCUAAAAUGUUAAUGAAGGCAUGGUACAUCACAUGGCAAUACACUAUUAGGGAAAACCUUAUACACAAAACUUUAACAAUAGCGGAUCCUAAAAACAACGCUAGUGCUAAGUAGCAGUAGCACAUUGGUGUAAAGCGCAUUACCGAUAAAAUUGUAGCAGUAGCGCGCCUUCAGAUAACCGCGCUACUACAAAAAUUCCCACGGCUUAGCCGAUGGGCUACACAUAGUAGUAGCGAGCUGCGAAGAACCGCGCUACCGCUACAAGCUUUGUAGCAGCGCGUUUAGGCGGAAACGCGCUACUGAUAUAGGAAAUAAAAUUAAAUAGAAAGAAAAUAGAAAAGUAAAUGAAAAUGAAAAAAAUAGAAAAAGGAGAAAGGAAAAAUUAAAAUGUAAAGAAAAUUAAAUGAAAAAGGGGAAAAGAGAGAAAGGAAUAGCAGUAGCGCGUAUCCAGGAACGCGCAAUAGCUAGCUUAGCAGUAGCGCACUUUCUUGAACGCGCUACUGCUACUUCUAACUUAACCGCGCGAUUCUUUCUUCCCCACGGCCACUUCCCCCAAAUCGAAACUCCUCCGCUGUCGCCGUCGCCCGUUGGCCGCCGCGCGCUCUCCCGUCGCUCUCCGCACACCCUCGACGCCGCCCCCGCCCCCGAAUUCGACGCCGCCCUCGACCACGACCUCGACGCCGGCCCCGACCUCGAUGCCGCCCCCGACCCCGACGUCGACGCCGACCUCCGCCAUGCACCCGCGCCCCGACCACGACCUUGACACCGCCUGCCACUCCCUCGCCGCAGGCACCCGAGGUGAGCACGCCUGCUCCUCCCCCUCUCCUACCUCUGCCUAGGGUUCUUCAAAUUUUAAUUGCAUCAAAUUAGCUAGUUAGGGUUCAUCUAUGGGUGGAAACGAAUCGGAUGCGGAUAUUGCUUAAGUGUAUUAGUCAAUAGCUAUGUGACAUGAAGUAUUCAACUUGUGACAUACAAUAAGUCAAUGAUAAAUAGGUUUAUGAAUAAACAAUAUUGUAAUGCAUAAUAAUUUCUAAGAUCAAUCAUAAAACAAGUAAAAUUUAACCACUUAUUUGAAUUUUAAGUUGGAUAAUUGAAAUAUCCGAUCGAAUACGAAUAUAGGAUAUUUCAGAUUAUCCGCUACCACUUUUUACCCCUAGGUUCAUCAAAUUAGAUGGUAAUUAGAGUAGUUCCUAGGUACUAAUUAGUUAGUCAGAACUAGGUACUAAUUAGGUACUAGUUUGUUUUUAUUUAUAGUAAGUUUAUUUUAGUAAGAACUAGUUGAACAUGUCACUUUUGUUGUUAUUUUUUUAGUUAAAGCAAUUAUUCCCGUAUCGACGUCAACGAUGCCUAUCCCGCAUCCUCGUCAUCGACUCGGCGGAGGACACCUGCUUGAGCAGAUGGGCCAUGUCCGGGACUGGGCUCCGCCGGGCUGAUACUGGGAGGCGCUACCUAGCAGGGGGGCGCAACUUGAUGAGGAGUCAACCCGUCAUUGACCCGAACCUUUUUUGGUGACAGUCACGUGGGCCAGUGACGGUCUAGAGGCUUGAUGACCUCGCGGAGGUGGUGCGUCAUCGUGUCAGCGAGGAGGACACGCACGUCCAUCGCUACUUGGUUGUGUUGGAGCACAGGUUCUGCAAUACCUGGCAGGUUCUCCAGGGAUCACUAGAGCUUUGAUCCUAUGAUGGUUCCUUCUUUUUGGGUGUCCACCGCCCGCGCCGAUACCCGUCGUUCGCUAGGGUUUUAGUUGUAUUAGUGAUACUAUAGGUAUGAUAUUAUUCGGGAUGUUCCAGUGAUAAUAUUCGACGCAAGAGAUGAUUUACUUUUGCUAGUGAUAAUAUUCGACACAAGAUAUGAUUUACUUUUGCUUAUUGAAUGCAUGCUAAAUUGAAUACUUAUUUAUUUUACGAUUUGAUUUUGCUUAUUGAAUGCUCAUGUCAAUAUGAGUCCUAUAAGAUAUUUUGAAAUGUAUAUAUUGUGUUGCUCAAAUAGGAUAUGUGCUUGCCCAAGUGGUCGGUCAUGUUUGCAGGUUACACCUCCGAGUGGCCUAUGUUUUGCCGGAGUGUUGAUUCAUUUUCGUUCCGGCAAAUUUCAGGCGCUCGAUAUGUCCUAUUUUAGCAAAGUCAUGACGGAUUUUUUUCGUGAAUUUUGGCAUGACUUAUGCCAGAAUAUGUAGGAAAUAUCGAGUGCCCUGAAUUUGUGUGUUGAGUAUCCUGGUAGUUGUCUUCGAUCGAUUUUCAAUUAAUGUUUCAACUAUGAACAUAGGAAAUGUCUGACAACGAAAAUGAUUUCAGUAUUUGCAAAUACUGUGAAGACGAGCGCGACCUGUGCGACGGAAUCUUCCUAGAUGAUGAUAGGCGCUUCAGCAUCAAGCUGGACGAGAACUUCGAAGUGGAUACAGUAAGUCACAACGACAAGUCCUUUUUCGUAAUUAAGCAUGACAUCUGCUUCAUUUGCUUCAACUUAUAUUUUUUUUACUAUUCUACUAGCGUAUCCCCUGCCAUGCAAGAGCUUUUGUCUUGGAUAAAAUAGAUUUCAGUCGUAUGAAAACUACUAUGGAGGUAAAGAGAGUUUACUUGAAGAUCGAGUAUGGUUAUACUUUCCACGCAAAAUUAUACAACGCAGACACCUACACCUAUUUUGAAUGCAAAACUUGGCAAGCACUAUGCAAGGCCUAUGCAUUUGAGCCUGAUAUGGUUAUCACCUUUGAUAUUCGUCCGGAAGAUGAUAUUGAAGGUAAUACCGAUAUUUGGGUCGAUGUGCAGAUGCCUCCAGUUCUACCAUUAUGUGAGUGUUCCUCAACCAUAUUUAUGUCUUCGAUAUUGUUUAUUUCAAAAAUAGUUCACAACUAAUUUCUAUUGACAGCUUAUUUCCAUUCAAACAAACAUGUUCAGCGCUUGGUAGACAGGACCUACUACUGUCCCGGGGCUGAAAUAAACUGCUAGGAGAUAAGUCAUUAUGUUUCAUGGCUUGAGAAUCUCCAUACUGUCAAGACAAAUUAUUUUUCUGGACUUAAAAAUCUUAGUACUCAAAACGUGCAACCUAUAGUGUUCGUACCGAACUACGGUCACAUCUAUUUAGGAAAGAUGGUAAGAUUUUUACUAUUUGUCCUCGGUGCAUCUUUUGCAUACAUUAUUUUUUAAGCUAAACUUCAUUGCUAAGUAUGUUACUAUACGAUGUUCUUCAACAGGGACUCCCGAUGAAUGUUGUGCCUCAUUGGAUCGAGACUAAAGGUUGCAUGAGAAUUGUUAGCUUACGGCCAAGACAUCCUACAAUGCACUUUAGUGCAUUCAGGAUUCCUAAUAGCGAGGAAUGCUUAAUAGUGAAAGACUGGAGCAAAAUUGUGAACGAUCGCUGAGAAGUACUAGGGGCAGCAAUCAGAAGAGCAUCCCAUGAUUAGGAGACAGGUUCAUCUGCAUGCUCCAACAUGAUGAAGAAGGAGUGUGACACAUAUUUUAUGCUAUUUUACCUGAGAGAGAGCAGCAGGAGUGAUUAGCUAGCUAGAAAUGAGUUUGAAGAUGAUGAUGUGCUACACUAUGACUAUGAUGAUUAGAUAGCUAGUGUUGGUGGUAAUGACUGAUGAUUAUUAUUAGCUAGUGUUGGUGGUGAUUAGAUAGCUACCGUAGCUAGUGUUGGUGAUGAUUAGCUAGCUAGAAUGAGUUUGAAGAUGAUGAUGUGCUACACUAUGACUAUGAUGAUUAAAUAGCUACUGUUGGUGGUAAUGACUAUGAUGAUGAUUAAAUAGCUUGUGCUGGCAGAUUAGAUUCAAGUGGAGUCAACAUGUGGUGCACAUCGAAAUUACUACUAGUCCAAACUUGAUCAAGUUUGGAUUAGUAGUAUACUUUUGACAUGCACCACAUGUUGCCUCCACUUGAACCUAAUCCACCUUCAUUUGACACACUGUUAUGGACAUAAUGAUAUAAACCUCAUAAUUGGUAUUGUACCAAAAUUUGUAUAACGGCGUAUAAAUAUACUAAAAAUAAAAAAAUGAAAAAAAAAGAAUACUAGUAGCGGUUGACAGUAAACACGCUGCUACUAGCUAGAUUAGCAGUAGCCCGGUAGCGAACACAUGCAGCGGCUAUAUGUCUUAGCAGUAGCGCAUGUGGCACCCGCUACUGCUAAGUAAUAGCUGUAGCGCCUUACUAUUAGCGCGGUGUCCCGCGCUACAAGUGGGCAUUAAACUCGCGCUACUACUAGGGUUUUACCUAGUAGUGCAACCUCAAACUGGCAUAAAUAUAGUGCCCGAAGUAGAAAAAAUUGGGAUGCUCAGCUCAAACAGAAUUGAGUUAAUUGCAUGGAGAUACCACACUUGGGGCAGGUGUGAUGGAUCAAUACCACUAUUCAUUUUUUGCAUGUCGGUACCAUGUCUCGGGCAACUUGUUAUAAAACGGUAUAAACAACGUAUGACACCGUAUUGAUGAUGUAUCUGACCAUGCAGCCCCACAUGUUAGGUGACUUGGUGGCCAAUCGGCGCAUGCCACUCCGCUAAAUAGGACGAUGCCGGCUCGGUUAGUCUUGGAUGGGUCAAACCGAUUCAAACCAUACGAACCCUAGUUCCUCCUCUUCCUCUCCCCAUGCGGCUCUCAGGCGAUGGCGGUGGUGACUCAGGGUGGAGGUGCCGGUGGCUGUAGUAGCGGUGGCGGUGUGGGCGGCUAUGGAGACCUUCUUGGCCUUGGGAGUGAUGCACACGGAGGAAUCGACAGUGGCUACUCUAGUUCUUCAUAUUACUAUAACGACAAUGACGCGUGCAUGGAGCCGCCAUUUUCCAUGGAGCAGCGGGUGUGGCUGGCUGAGAUUUGGGCGGCCAACCCGACCACGAGCCAUCGUUGGACCCACGGAGUGGGUGGCGUGUUGUAAGUUCCUCUCCUGCCACUAGUAGAAAAAGGCCCAUUUGUCCCGGUUCAUGAGGCCAAUUUCUCCCGGUUGACGAACCGGGACUAAAGGGUCGGUACUAAAGCCCAACACCUUUAGUCCCGGUUCGCCCAAGAACUGGGACAGAUGGGCUCCAUGUGGCCGUUGCGGCUUUCCCAGGCAGGAGGGCCUUUUGUCCCGGUUGGUGCCACCAACCGGGACCAAAAGGCUUCCACGGGUCAGCNNNNNNNNNNNNNNNNNNNNNNNNNNNNNNNNNNNNNNNNNNNNNNNNNNNNNNNNNNNNNNNNNNNNNNNNNNNNNNNNNNNNNNNNNNNNNNNNNNNNNNNNNNNNNNNNNNNNNNNNNNNNNNNNNNNNNNNNNNNNNNNNNNNNNNNNNNNNNNNNNNNNNNNNNNNNNNNNNNNNNNNNNNNNNNNNNNNNNNNNNNNNNNNNNNNNNNNNNNNNNNNNNNNNNNNNNNNNNNNNNNNNNNNNNNNNNNNNNNNNNNNNNNNNNNNNNNNNNNNNNNNNNNNNNNNNNNNNNNNNNNNNNNNNNNNNNNNNNNNNNNNNNNNNNNNNNNNNNNNNNNNNNNNNNGUUAAUUUAGGGGUUUCAUAUAUUGUGUUAGCUAGCUAACAGAGAGAAGUGUCCUCUCUUAUCUCCGUGCUAGCUAAUAUAUUAUGUUAGCUAGUUAAUUUAGGGGUAUAUAUAGGCACAUCAUUGGUCCCGGUUCGUGGCUUGAACCGGGACUAAAGGACACCCUUUGGUCCCGGUUCAAGCCACCAACCGGGACCAAUGGUGGUGGGCCAGGAGCGAGGCCCAUUGGUCCCGGUUCAUCCCACCAAACAGGACCAAAGGGGCCAGAAAAAUCGGGACCAAUGCCCCCACGAGGCCCGGCAAGCUCCCCGGCCUCAUGAACCAGGACCAAUGCCCCCAUGGGUCCCGGUUCGUGACUGAACCGGGACUAAUGGACUUAUCUGGCUUGAACCAAAGCCCUGUUUUCGACUAGUGUCCCUUCUUUCUAUCUUCAUUUUAUGCCAUACUUGGGGGCUAGGGUUUACUGAAAAUGUACAAAUUUGCUGUCACUUGUAGUUUAGAUAAUGAUGUUUGGGGUGUUAGGAUUCACUUUGAUGCUCAGCAUAAUUUGGAUAGGCAGAUAUGCAACUCAUAUGUCACAUUUCUGAAUGUGUGUGCAUUCUUGCAAAUGCAAGGAUUUACUUUGUCAGAUAAACUGUACCACAUGGAUAAUCCAGGCAUAGGAGAGCAGAGAGAGCAUGUCUUAGAAUUGGUAGACACAAACAUCAAAUCGCGGCAACUUAAGAGGCAGUAUGAGGAGAGUAGAGUUCUGAAUUUUUUAGUGAGGGCAACAACACCUGACAGUACUAUAUCUCACAGAGAAGAAGAAUUAGCCGCAAUUGUAUAUGAAGCACCUCUUAUGUAUGAUCUCAGUGAGCUUGUUGUGCUUGUUGUUGAUGAUCAAGGUAUUGUUUUUGAGAGCCAGUGCAACAGCAGUAGUGAAGUACAACCUCCUGAUAUGUGCACACAAAAGAGCAGAAAUGUUUGUAAGUAGAAGCUCAAAGCUGUGGUGGAAGAAGUAGCGGAGAAGGGAUAUACGAGUACUGAUGACUCAGAGGGUGCAACAACCCAAAGUAAACUAAAGAACAUCAGAGCAUCCGCAUUGCAAACUAAUCUCCUGGACAAAUAAUUUAAGAAAUGAACUUUACAAAAAGUACAACAGCUAUAAUGCAUUGAACAUUGAGCAUCUACACUAAACAAUCAUCGAGUUGCCCAAUUAAACAAUGAGCACCUUCACUGCAAACUAAACUCUGGGUCAAAUAUAAAAUUAACAUCUUCUUGCCAAAUUAAAUAUACAAGGAGUGCAUGAGCACAUGCCUACACAACUUACUCAAAUGAUGAGCAUCAGUACUACUAAAUGGCUAAAAAAUGACCACUAGUACUACUAAGAGCAGAAUCUUACUUGCUAGCACAAACUAGUACCAAUUUUAAUACAGAGAACAUGCUACUACCAAUUUUAAUACAAGCAAUAGAGAAUACACAGAAUCGUACUCUCCGAGGACAAACUAGGAACCUCCCGCCCAUCUCAAAUCCUUCACAGACUACAUGCCUCUCAGCUGGCAGAAGAUGGAGCUCGCAACGAACAAUGGGUCCUGUCUCAAUGCCCAUGUAGUCUUGGUCUUCAAUGCUAGCAGGGAUCUAUAGGAGAAAAAUAAACCAAAACCACGAAAUCCAAAAUCAAAUCCCCACUAGUAGAAAAUGGGCCUUUUGUCCCGGUUCCAAAGGGCCUUUAGUCCCGGUUCAGGAACCGGGACAAAAGGGUCGAGACUAAAGCCCCCCCCCCCUUUAGUCCCGGUUGUGUUACGAACCGGGACUAAAGGCCCUUCACGUGGCCGCUCUCUGGAGCUUCACCUUUAGUCCCGGUUGGUAACACCAAGCGGGACUAAAGGUUGUUUUUUUGAAAUUUUGUUUUUCUGAAUUUUUUGAAAAAGAAAAUUGUAUUUUUUUUGAUUUUUUUUACUUAUUUUUAAAUUUCUGAAUUAUUUGACAAUUCAGUCUCUAAUCACCCAUCAUCACUGCUCAAUUAUGAACCACUCAUUCCAAAUCAUCUAACUUCUCGACCGGUCACUCAUCCUCUCACUACUCUAGCCUGAGCACGCUUAACUUACUAGUUCUAUUCCCCCUAGUUUUCAAGUCUGCACUUGUUGUUUUCCUGACAAUACUAAGUUGUCAAUCCUAUUAACCCUUAGGAGUUGAACUUGAGCAUUAAGCAUCGUUUGAGUUUGAAACUAUUAUUCUAAAAACAAUAAUUAUUUAAUAACAUUAAUAUUUCUUGAAUAAGUAGUUUACCAUAGUUUGACCACAGUUUGACCAUAGUUUGACCACAGUUUGCCAUAGUUUGACCACAGUUUGACCAAAAGUCAAAAAAACUAAAAAUAAUUAUUUAGUAACACUAAUAUUUCUUGAAUAAGUAGUUUGACCAUAGUUUGACCACAGUUUGACCAGAUUUGACCAAAAGUCAAAAAACUAAAAAUAAUUAUAUAUUAACACUAAUAUUUCUUGAAUAAGUAGUUUGACCAUACUUUGACUAGAUUUGACCAUACUUUGACCAGAUUUGACCGUAGUUUGACCAUAGUUUGACCAAAAGUGAAAAAAAACUAAAAAUAAUUAUUUAUCAAUAUUAAUAUUUCUUGAAUAAGUAGGUUGACCAUAGUUUGAUCAGAUUUAACAAAAAGUAAAAAAAACUGAAAUUGAGCAUAUAUUUUUUUUCCUUUCACAAUUUGAGGAUUCUAAAAAUUUGCAAACAGGCCUAUGGCUGUCAAAAUCAGAUGCGGACUUUCGUGAUGAUUUUUUUGAUGUAUUAUGCGUUUCUUUUCGACAUCUUAUGCAAAAGAUAUGGCCGUUUUACAUUUUAUAACACCUUUUUGCAAAAUAUGUCCAAAUUUAAGUUUUUUAAUUUUCCUAACUAAUAGAAGUAGUAACAUAACUACAUCUCGAAGGAUUUCAAUUUUUGAAGAUUUUGUCAUUUUAUUUUUGUUUUUUACAAACUGAAAAGGCGAUAAGGGGGGGGGGGGUAGAGUUUGAACUUUUAGUCCCGGUUUGAGAAAUGAACCGGGACUAAAGGGCAUCACACCCUUUAGUCCCGGUUCAUGUCUCAAACCGGGACUAAAGGUCCCAUUUGAACUGGGACUAAUGCCUUCCUGACGCCUUAGCCGCUCGAACCGGGACUAAUGCUCACAUUAGUCCCGAUUCGUGAUGCAACCGGGACUAAUGUGUACAUUGAGCUGUGACCAAUGCCAUGUUUUCUACUAGUGCCCCAAAGCAGAAACCCUAACCCUAGCUCUACCACUCACCAUCUACUGCGUGCCAUUAGAGGAGUUGUUGUACUACAUGUUGGAGUAGUCGUCGCUGCUCUCAUCCUCAUCCACCAUGGUGUGGAGGCGGUGGCGGACUACACGAAAGUCGAUGGCGAAUCAGAGACAGGAGGGCGGGAGCAAGAGAGGGGACUAGGGUUCGAGGGGAGUUCGUCCGGUUCGAAUCGGUUCGACUGGCGCACAUACACCGACCGAGCUCGCUUCGUCCUAGUCAGCGGAGUGGCACACGCCCAUUGGCCGUCGUGUUACCUGAAAGGUGAGACCGCACAGUCGGAUACAGUGUCAAUACGACGUCAUACAGUGUUUAGACCGUAUUGUAACAAGUUGCUCCAGACAUGAUAUUGACAUGAAAAAAACAAGCGAAUAGUAGUGUUGAUCUGUCACACCUGUCCGGAGUGUGGUAUCUUCAUGCGAUGAACCCAACAAAAUCUACAACACAACGAGUCUGUUUGGAUCCAUGGGUUAGAGUUAGUUUGGACUCAACUAACCUAAAAAUAUCCAAACAGGAGGGUUAAUUUGGGUUAUAGGCAUCUAACCCUCCCAAAAAAAAACCACCCAAGAGGUGCUUAUUUGGGUUAGUUUUCCUCGGGACCACUAAAAAGCACAUUUUUCUCUUGCUUUCUCCACAGCAGAUCCCUCCUCACUUCCUCAAAGCUUCUCGUCCUCUCCCUCCCUCCCUCUCGCACCACCCUUGAAAGUGCCUCGCCAUAUCCGCGCUCCUGUCCGCCGCCGGUAAGUAGCCCCGCCCUAUCCUCCAGUUCCAACCCCCUCGUCUCCUCGGGGCCCGUCCACCCGACUGUAAGCAGUCGCGGCUCCUUGCGCGGCCCGUCCCCGUCGGCCUCGGCCGGCGCGGCUCCUUGCGCAGGAACGGCGGAUUCGGCCGGCGGGCUACGCGAGAGGCCAGCACGGCUCCUUGCCGAGCGCAUCCCCGUCUGCCUCGUCCACACCAAAUCCGGCAGAAAAUAGGAUCCAAAGUAGCCAAAUGAUUGAGAAAGAGCAUUCAUUGACAAUCUAACCCUGCCAUCCAAACACCUCUUUAGAUAGAGUUAGUUCGGGAUCAAUUCAGGAUUAGAAUCUAACUCUAACUGAGUUACAGUAUCCAAACAGGACCAACAACGCAAAACUAUCCUGACCAAGACGAAGAUGGGUGUGCAUGAGAUGACACGAUCGCCACAGUGCAUUGUAUCUUUUGACGUCUGCAUAGUAAAACUACCCAGUAUUCUUCGUGUUCCAUCUUUUUUCUGUGCCAUGGAACCGUGGCCCCACGAGAUCACUGUAUUUCACUGAGAUUAGGCAUAUGUGACAGGAACCGUAUCUGUGUUUGCAUAGGGAAAUCUCCUCACUCUCUCUCUCUCUGACUACUCAAUUACCUCUCCGGCAUCAUGUCUACGACAAGCAUUGAUGGACUAUGGCCGAGCUGUCCAUGUCAACAGCGCUUGAGUUGCUACUAGCGCCUGCGCCCAUGCCACCCACGAGUAUACAGUAGCAUUGCCCUAGGUUCCAGGGGGAAUCAUCCACAAGCAUUCAUGGACUAGGGCCGAAUCUGUACACGACAACUAGAGUUGAGAAGGAGCGGUGGCCAGCUCUGAGUCCUUUGCGCCCACGGGUUUGCGUCGGCACACAACAACAAAAACCAAGAUUGAACCGGGAGUCAGAGCAUCUCCAACAGCCGCGCUAAACUAGCGCCGCGCCGCAAAAUAGGCCUUUUUAGCGCGCGCGCAAUGCGGCGGCUCGCUCCAGCGUGCGCGCAAAAACGGCGCGCGCGCAAUAACGGGUUGGGCGCGCGGUCAAAAACACUUAUCCGCGCGGUGUAUUUGGAGCGCCAGCUACAGCGCGCGGCACACUAGAGCACUCGCGCCCGCACUCUCUCCCUCUCCUCCUCCUACGCCCCGCGCGCGCCGGCGCCGGCGCCCUGCCCCCCGCCAUGGACGCGCACACCGGCGCCCCGCUCACUCCGCUGUACAUCCGCGACCCCCCCGCCGCCGCCGCCGGAAACCCUAGCGCGGCGAGCGCUGGCGUCGCCACCGCCGGAGCUCCGCCGCCUCGCGCGCAGUCUCUUCUUGCCGCCGCGGAUGACUACGGCGCCGGCGCCGGGUGGCGUCGCGCCGGCGCCAUCCCGUGCCGCCGCCGCACCGUCGAAGAAGGUACCCAAUGCGGCGCGGGCGAAGAAGGGCAAAACAUCCGCGAAGAAGAACAAGGCGGCGGACGGCUCCGACAUGGCGAGGGGGAAAAAGCUUGCAGGGCGUCCGCGAAGAAGAACAAGGCUCCGGCAGGCAUGGGUGCACCUCCGGCCGCCAUGGGUGCACCUCCGGCCGCCAUGGCUUCUCACACACAUUCCCAUGAAGAUGCCGUUGAAGAUCUUGCCAACACCGUCGGAGCUUCACAUGAUGCGGUGCGUGAUGCGGUGCGUGAUGAAGAUAGGGAGGAAGGUUCAUCUUCGGAGGCGGAAGAGUCGUCUUCGGAAGAGGACGAAGACGAAGAAGAGGAAGAUGAAGAUGAAGCUUGAUGUGUCUUUCAUGUCUUGAACUUUUAGUUUGCAUUUGAACUUGGUUGGAUGAACUUGUGGGCAUGAUUUUGAUGAACUUGUGGGCAUGAACUUUUAUUCAUCAACUUGUUUGUGUCAAAUUUUACAUGUUCAUUUUUGUCCAAAAUAUCCAUAUAUGCAAAAUGCCCGGCGAGUCGCGCGCGCUGCUGGAGCGGCAUUUCAAAACCAGCCGCAGCGCGCGCUAACAGGUUUUUUGCGCGCGGCGCUUUAGCGCGGCCGUUGGAGAUGCUCUCAGUCGUGGGCCUGGUGGCCACGGACUAAUAGUACUGUAGUAGUAGUACUGAAUCACUUGCAACACGUACGCAUGCUUACCACGCGCGCGCGCACACGCUAUAAGAUGAGACGCACCGCCCAGCAGGUUUCUUACAGAGUAGCUGCGUUCGUGUAUACAUAGCAUAUAGCAAACCACCACUGAAUCCAUCAUCCAUGGCGAGAUGCUGGCUGCUGCUCGUCUUCAUGGCGUUCAUCUUGCCGGCGGCGAACGCGACGCCGUGCCACCCUGACGACCUCCACGCUCUGCGGGGCUUCGCCGGGGAGCUCGGCGGUGGGGGAGCCCUCCUCCGCGCCGCAUGGUCCGGCGCCUCGUGCUGCGGCUGGGAAGGUGUGGGCUGCGACAGCACCAGCGGCCGCGUCACGGUGCUGCGGCUCCCCUGGCGCGGCCUGGCGGGGCAAAUCCCUGGAGGCUCUCUAGCGGGCCUCGUGUGGCUGGAGGAGCUCUUCCUCGGCUCGAACCAUUUCGUGGGCGUCCUCCCAGACGAGCUCUUCGGCCUCGUCAAGCUAAGGAAGCUCUCCCUCGCAUCCAACGAGCUCACCGGCGAGGUGAGCCCACGCCUCGGUGAGCUCACACACCUUACCUUGUUGGAUUUGUCUGCUAACCGCUUCUCCGGCCCCCUGCCCGACGUGUUCGGUGACCUCACGUCGCUAGAGCAUUUGGCCAUGCAUUCUAAUGGCUUCUCCGGCUUCUUGCCACCGUCUCUUUCAUCACUAUCUUCUCUCCGUGAGCUCAACCUCCGAAACAACUCCAUGUCCGGUCCGAUUGCUCGUGUUAGCUUCUCCGACAUGCCACUUCUUGCCUCGCUUGACUUUUCCACAAACUCCCUGACUGGGUGGAUCCCGACUAGCCUCGCCGGCUGCGGUGAGCUCAAGUCGCUCAAC
rnacentral:lncRNA from 1 species